CAGUUCAGGACCAACUAUUCAUUGUUUAUGCCAAUCUAUGAUUACAUCUAUGGUACAAUGGACAAAUCUUCGGAUACCUUAUAUGAAAUUUCACUCCAAAGAAAAGAGGAAACUCCCAACGUGGUGCAUCUAAUGCACCUAACCACACCUGAGUCAAUCUAUCAUCUCCGCGUUGGAUUUCCCUACUUGGCCUCUAAACCAUACUCAUCAGCUUGGUACUUGUGGUUGCUCUGGCCUGUUACAUUGUGGUUCAUGAUGCUUACCAGGAUUUAUCGUCGCACUUUUGUUGUUGAAAGGAACCGAUUCCAUCAACUUAGAUUACAGACAUGGGCCAUACCAAAUUUCAGAGAACAGGUAAGGAAGCUUUAUUAGUGCAGCUGUGAGUUGGUGCAACCAAAUACUGAAAAUGAAUAUAUGCAUACAUGCAUAGUCUUAGUAGUUAACAGUGUUGCAAUUAAUUUUCAGUACCACUUGAAAUGGCAAAAGGAAUCCAUCAAUAACAUGAUUGAGGAAGCCGUAUUAGAGGCUGAGGAAAAAGGUGCUAGUGUGUUGAGUCUAGGCCUCAUGAAUCAGGCAAGUUUGUGCCCUUCUUCCCACAAAUCAAUCACCAUGCUUGCGGAUAAAUUACAUUAAAAAUAUUUUUUUAAAGAAAAGGUAAAAAUAAUUUUUAACAGAAAAUACGAAGUAUGAUGGUAAAAUGAACACUAUGUAGGGUAAAGAGCUAAACAGAUAUGGUGAGGUGUAUGUGAAGAAACAUCCCCAGCUUAAAGUGAAAUUAGUGGAUGGGAGCAGCUUGGCAGUCGCAGUUCUUCUAAAUAGCAUACCAAAGGGAACAACCCAAGUACUUCUUAGAGGCAACUUAACUAAAGUUGCUUUUGCAGUCGCCUUUUCCCUCUGCCAAAAGGGUAUUCAGGUACCAUCCCAUCCCAUUGCUUACUCAUUAACUAGAUAGCCACAUAAAUAAGCAGUGCCUAGCUUGCCAAAUUCUCAACUGUCUAAAUUUUUCUAAGGAAAUUUGAAGCUCUAACUCCAUAAUGCAUUGUUUUCGUAAUCAUUUUCCUCUUUUAUGAUAUCAUAAUCUUUAAUUUUAAUUCAUUUUAGGUCACUGUAUUGCGUGAGGAUGAAUAUGAGAAGCUUGAUAAAUCACUAGGCACCAAGUCUGAGGGUAAAUUGGUUAUCUCAAAGAGUUAUAGCUCUUGCAAGGUAAUUAAGUCUCAUGCCUCAAACCUAGGCCUUUCUAGAUAAAAAUAGUUGAAAUGGCUAGCAAGUGAUGAUGAAUUAUUGAUAUGUUGCAGGUAUGGUUAGUGGGAGAUGACUUGACCGAAAAAGAGCAAAGAAAGGCAAAUAAAGGAACACUAUUUAUUCCCUUUUCGCAAUUUCGACUGAAAAAUUUGCGCAAAGACUGCUUCUAUCACACAACACCAGCAAUGCAGACUCCGAAGGCCCUUGAGAAUGUGGAUUCUUGCGAGGUUGGCCUUGAAACUUAUUCCAUAUGUCCCGUUAUCUCUAAAAUUAAUUAAAAGUUUCAAAAGCUUUUGUUCUACUUUGUUAAAAUAUAUGUACUAAAGAGUAACAACAUGAAUGCAUGUAGCAGAAUUGGUUGCCAAGGAGAGUGAUGAGCGUAUGGCGCAUAGCUGGGAUAUUGCAUGCUCUGGAAGGAUGGGAGGAGCAUGAAUGUGGUUACACCAUCUCUAACAUUGACAAAGUUUGGGAAGCAUGCCUCAAGCACGGAUUUCAGCCUUUGACGGUCCCAACUCAAUCAAAAUCCUAGAACACAUUUGGCAAUUUAUGGUCCCAACUCAAUCAAAAUCGUAGAACACAUUUGGCAAUUUAUCUAUCUACUUGGUGCUAUAUUUUCUAUGUAUAAGCAAUUUACCUAUAUACUAUUAUCCUUAUCUUGGACUCAUCAUGCGAGUCUCUAGCAAAUUAUAUGUUCCUCUACAAUGCCUCCAUAAUUCGUAUUGGGAGAUCUCAGAGUUAAAACUCUUUAUAUAUAUCAUCUAUGAAUUUCAAAUUAACUACUAAAUGAAACAUCUAAAUACCCUUUAAAUAUUUAAAAUUAAUAAAAUUAUAUUAUCUAAUUUUAGUUAAACUUAAAUUAAUUAAUAUUUUAAAAUAGAAAUUGACUUCAACCGUUAAUAAAUUUAAUUCUAAAAUUUUAUUUAAAUUAUUUAAAUUUAAAUUAAUAAUUUUUAUCUAUUUAAAUAUGUCAUAAAAUAAAAUAAUUCAAUCUAAUUAAAAUAUAAUUUGUUAACUUACCAUUAAAACAUUAAGUUUUAAAGUUUUAAAGUUUUAAAUUUUUUUAUAAAUUUUGUUGCAAGAAAGUUUUCUAACAUAAUUUAUGGAUAAAGUUAUUCUAAAUUAAUGUAUGAAAGAAUAAUUGUAUAAUUUUAAAAUUUUAUAAAAGUUAUUAAUAUAAAUUGUUAAAGAUAUGUGACCCAAAUUCUUGUUAAAAUAAAUUACAAGUGGCAAGAUAGGGGGAUCUACAAAGGCAAUGGUCAGUAAAUAAAAUACAGGCUGCACAAGUGAAAUCCGUGUAGAAGUAUACUACCUCUAUUUGAUGUUGAUUAGAAUAAGGUGUUUUAACCUUCCUGCAUUACUUCUAUUUGACUUUGAUUAGAAUAUGGUUUUACAAACCUAUAAAUAGACAUAGUCGUCUCUCCUCUUGUAUCAUUCGAAUUUGAUAUAGUAAAUUUUCUUCUCUCUACUCGUGGUUUUUUCCCGAAAAGGUUUCCACACAAAAUUUGUGUGUUUUAUUUUUCAUUCUUUUCUUUGAGAUACAUUGCCAUUAUUGACAUUCUAUUAUCACAUAAAUGAUAAGAUUUUUUUGCUUAGAUGUAAAUUAGUGAACACAAUUCAGUUUACUUACAAUUUUUGCACUAAAAAAACAAUUCCUAAUCGGUGUGCUUUAUAGUUUAUAUCUUUUAACCUAAACAAGUCGUUAGACAUAUAUGCAUAAAAGGCUUGUUCUCUAACACCCUGAAAUUUUCAAUUUCGAAUUUCAUGUUGAAUCGAGAUAAAUUCAAUUAAUUUUUUUAAUAUUUUAUUGUAAUGAUUCGAUUUUCAACGGUGCCAAAAAAUUCGGUUUAGGACCAAGUUUAUUGAAUAGAAUUAGUAGAUAAUUAAAUUAGAAUAAUUAUGUGUCAAAUACGAAUCAGAAAGGUCAAAUGAGUGAAUGUAAUUAAACUGAAUUGGUUAAUAAAACUAGUAUAAGGACUAAAUUGAUUAAUGACUAAAGUGAAAUGAAAGAGAUUUUUAAAUUCAUAAGUUCCUUCAAUGGAUAUUGUCGAAACCAUUUUUUUUGAAAACAGGAAUCGACUUUGUUUGAAAAUGAAAAUUAAAACGGGAGUCGCCACCGAUCUUUAUUAGGUGUGAUCAGAUCACCUUUGUUUUAAUAAAAUGUCUUAGUUUACUAAAACGGUGUUUUUGGUCUAUGAAACUCUAGAGAACGGGUUCAGGAGUCGGUUACGUGUGAGGAAGGAUUAACACCCUCGUCACGCCCAAAAUUGGUACCGAAUUGAUUAGUUAGUGUCUUAAUGUCGAAAAUUAAAAAUCGGGAACGGAUUUAAGAUAAGAUCCUUUUUUAUCAAUAUCAAUUUUUAAAAAACUCUUGAAUUAGCUCAAAGCGAUUGCCAAAGAUUUUCUCAUCUCAAGAUAUCGGAGUUUCACAUCCCGUAAGUUAGGACGCGAUACCAUGAACUCCCGAGCGCAAGUUUAUCUUUAAUUUUAAUUGAAAUUUCAUGUGUUUUGGAACUCAGAAAGAUAUUUGGCCAUUUAGGUUAAACAAGAAAAUCGAAACCCUGUAAGUUAGGGCACGAUUCCUCGAAUUUCCUAAAAUGCGAAAUAUUGCCUUAUUUAGAAAAUUUUCUUUUUGAAAUAUAGCGAGUAUGAUAUUUAACAACGUACAUUUAUUUUGUUUGAAAUAAAAUAAAGCGAUCUAAGUUAGAUAAAUGUGUUGGGGUUUAAUUUAUGAGGCGAUGAUAUGAAAUAAAAUAUUGUAAUGAGUGUGGACAAUAAUACAUGAAUUCAAUAUUACGCAAGCGAAUGACAAUAAUAUGAACAAGAAUAAACAAUAAAGAACACACAAUGGCAAUAACCUCACAACAUACAUCAUUUAAAUGCUAGUAUUAAUAAUUAAAGACAAAUGAAUUAAAUAAUGCAAUUUAAAAAUAAAUAGUUGAAAGCAAACUAAAAUAAAACAAUUGCAAAAUAAACUUUAAAAUGAUAAUGAAUGAAUUUAAAACAAAUAUUGUAACAAAAAAAGAAAGAAAGUAAAAAUCAACAAUAUACAAAAUGAUUCUUUUUUUUUAAAGAAAGAAUGAAAUAUAUAUAUAUAUAUGGAGAAUUUUAAAAUAGAUAAUAUGUAUAUAUUAAAAUAGUUUGAAAUAAAUAACGUAUAAAAUAUCUAAAUAAAUAAUAUGUAAAAGAAGUUUGAAAUAAAUAAUAUAUAAACUAAUCCCAAAAUGAAUAAUAUAUAAAACCUUAACGUAAGAAGAUAUAUAUAAAUAAUCUCAAAACAAAUAAGGUGUAAUAUCUUGAAAUAAAUAAUACAUUUAGAAUUCAAAAUGAGUAAUAGUUUUAAGUAUAUAUAAUAUGUAAAAAAUGAUUUAAAAUAAAUAAUAUAUAAACUUAAAAUGAAUAAUAAUAGUCUUUUUUUUUAAAUGGAACAAUAAAUAAAAUAAUCAAUAAAUAGACUAAGGAUUAGGCUGAAAUAGAAUUAAAAUUUAAGGUAAAAAUUGUAAAUAAUGAAAAGAAGGCUAUCCAGGACCGAAAUGAAUCACGCUGAAACGACGAGGGACUAGCUAGGAAAUAUUCUCAGCCUUUAUGCGCAUCAUUUCAACAGGGACUCAAAUGUAAUUAGAAGAAAAUUAUGUGGCCAGAUUUAUAAGAAAUAAAUAAAGUGAAUGAAGGGACCAAAUGGUGACGCGCACAAAAGCGGAAGGACCUCGCGCAUAAAUAUCCCAAAAAUGGGAAACACACGGAUCCUGGUGCCCAUGCAGGUCGGGUCGGAUUGGCCUGUUCUUGAGCAAAACGACAUCGUUUUAGGGCUUCAGAAGACUACCCUAAACGACGUCGUAUUGGGGUGCAUAUAAAUACAAAAAGUAAACCCAAAAAUCUCAUUUUAGCCACUUCUUUUUAAAAAAAAGAUUCAAAACUCUCUCAACUCUCUUCUCUUUUCCCUUCAGCCCCAUGCCCAGCCAAACUUUGGUCGUCGGCCACUGUGGUGGCUAUCGGUCAUUGGCGACGGUGCCAUAAUCCACGGUGGCCGAAAAAAUCAAAAGUCCCCUUUUAAUCCCCUUUUCAAAAAGAACCCAAAUAUGGGGUUUAAAACCCCAAUAUCUAACCGAUGUCUGGCCGUGGGAAAAGAAACAGAAAGGUUUUGUCCCUUUUCUGAUGAGGUAUCCGAUAGUGGCUAGAUACGGAGUAAAAGGUAGAUUUCCACCCAUUUUUAUUUGUUCUUUUGUUUUAUUUAAAAUAACUCAAAUUAAAAAAGAGGAAAAGUAAAAUAAAAAUGAAAAAUAUAAAAAAUAACCUUCUUUUUGACUUUAAGUUUCUGUUUUCUAUUGAUAUUGUGUCCGAAAAAUUUAUAACGAAAUUGGUUUGGCUUUUAUAGCCAAAUUACAAGACUUCUAGUUUUUAAUUUUUUGUCGUUUUGCUAUUAUUUAUUCUAUUUGGUUCUUCUGCUUGACUUUUUGCGUGUUGUUUUUUUCUUACAGGUAACAGUGGUGUUAGACGCGUAGAGGUGGCUGAUGUGUGGUGCUGGUGGCGCGCGUGAGGGGGCUGACAUGGGAGGAGCGGCUAGGGUUUCUUCGUUUCUUUUUUCUACUGAAAAUGUUUUGGGUUAAUAGGGCUAUUAGGCUUUAGGUUAUUUGGGCCUUUAUAAUUUGGGCUGACAAUUUGUAAUGGACUUUGAUAUAAUUUUUUAUUUUGGGUUUUAUUUUCAAAAUUAGGCCAGGUCAAAAUUGGCCUAUUACAGCUGCCCCUCUUUGCUCGUUGUCGUGUAACGAGAAUGGAGCAAAGACUUCAAAAGGGCCAAUUUUGCCUAGUCUUGUUGAAACUUGACUUUUGGUGCUUCUUUUUUUCAAGUAACCUGAUUUCAUCCCACUGCAUCUUCAAAGGUAUAGGAGUUAGUGUUUCGAUCCACUCCACUAAAACUUUAGGGAGAUUAGACUCGUGGCUUCAAUCUUCUUCACUGCAACUUCAGGAAGAUAAGGUUUGCUAUUUUUAGUCUGUUCCACUGCAACUUUAGGGAGAUAAGACUUGUAACUUCGACCUGCCCUACUACAACUUCAGGGGGAUAAGGUCCGUGCCUUCAAUCUGCUCCACUGCAACUUCAGGGAGAUAAGAUUAAUGGCUUUAAUCUGUUCCACUGCAACUUCAAGGAGAUAAUAUUUGCCAUGAUAGAUUUGAUCCGAGCUACUGCAAUUUCAGAGGUAUAGGACUUGUAACUCGUAGUUUUAAUCUGUUCCACUACAACUUUAAGGAAAUAAGAUUCGUUAACUUCAGUCUGCUCCAAUACAACUUUAGGGAGAUAAGACUUGUAACUUAAACCUACUCCACUGCAACUUUAGGGAGAUAAGGUUCGUGGCUUUAAUUUGCUCCACUGCAACUUCAGGGAGAUAAGAUUAAUGGCUUUAAUCUACUCCACUGCAACUUCAGAGAGAUAAUAUUCACAAUGAUAGAUUUGAUCUGACCUACUGCAACUUCAGAGGCAUAGGACUUGUAACCUGUAGCUUUAAUCUGUUCCACUGCAACUUCAAGGAAAUAAGAUUCGCUAACUUCAAUCUGCUCCACUGUAACUUCAAGGAAAUAAGACUAGCAACUUCAACAUGCUCCAUUGCAACUUCAAGGAGAUAAGAUUGGUGGCUUCGAUCUGCUCCACUGCAACUUCAGGGAGAUAAAAUUCGUCAUGGUAGAUUUGAUCCGACCUGCUGCAACUUCUGAAGUAUAGGAUUUAUAGCUUUAAUCUGCUCUACUGCAACUUCAGAGAGAUAAGAUUCGCUAUCUCCAGUCUGAUCCACUGCAACUUCAGGAAGAUAAGACUUGUAACUUCAACCUGCUCCACUACAACUUCAGGGAGAUAAGGUUAGUGGCUUCGAUCUGCUCCACUGCAACUUCAGGGAGAUAAGAUUCGCCAUGGUAGAUUUGAUCCAACCUGCUGCAACUUCAGAGGUAUAGGAUUUAUAACUUCAAUGAUCUGUUACACUAUUUUGGGGAACAUGACCUGUAGAGUCCAUUCCAUGGAUCUCUAUUUAUGCUGAAUGGUUAGGAUGUCAUGAUCAGAAUGAAUCAAAUGCUCCUAACUAGAUGUGUAUGAAUGAUGUUUGUAUGAAUGGAAAAAAUGUCAUUUUUUUAAUUCUUAAUUUGAUAUUACUCAUUUUUCAUCAAGGUUUUAUCACUGACGUAUUGUUCUGUCUUUUUCUUUGACUAGUAUCUUUGGUAGAAAACCCGAAGAAACAAUCACAUUCUGUUCAGCAAGCUUGCCCCGCUGUAAUUUCAGAGUCACUUCCACUGUACCUUCUGGGACAUAAAGUUUGUACCUCCUACUGCAACUUCAGGGGAAUAACAUUUGGUUUCUUCCAUCCACCCUGCUACAACUCAAGGGUAUAGGAUUUGUAUCAUCUUCAAUCAAUUUGAUCUGUUACACCAUUCCCUGGGUGUAAUGACCAGAUGUAUAUGUCUGAUAUUUGCAUGAAAGCAGGGUAUCAUUUUUCUUUUCCGGAGAAUGAUCCCCUUUUACACUUGGGUUGACAUUGCUCGUUAUUUGUCGAGGUUGUAUCAUCGACAAAAUGUCUUGUCUUUUUGUUCAACCAAUAAAAAAGUCCAAAGAGAUAAUCAUCUUUCUCCAAUAUUUUCAACCCUUAGGCUUGGUAUGUUCUAAACAAUAGUCCUGUUUCAGGUUCUUGUAUCAUUUAAAAGCUUCCAAAGUAAUAUGCAAAACUUCUUUUAUGAAAGUGUUAUUAGUCCACUAAUCGUUAUUUCAAUACAAAAUGUUUGAAAAAGAUCAUAACAAUGGACCGGAAGGAAAUUAAUUAGGAGCAUAGCUCGAAGCAAGUAAGUUAAUCAAGGAUAGUAAAUGCAAUUAAAAAGGAAAUUUAUUGGGACGUAUCAAAGAUAGCCAAUUCAAAAUGGGUAAAAUGGAAAGCUAGGUGCCCUAGAUAUUACAGCUUGAGCUUCUUUGUACCAACUUCUUGAGAACCAUUUUAAGCUCGACAUGUGUUUAAAAGAUCUAAAGUACUUUGUCGAUACCCCAAGAUGUAGCACACCUCAUCUUUUUUUAAUUCAGGCAUAGCAAGACUACUGCAUGCCCUACUUUUUAUCAAAAUUUGAAUUGCCCUUUACGAGUUUUCAACUCAAAAUCCCUUUGGUCUCAAUGCGCCCUUUGCGGGUUUUCGCAUUGGCCUCUCAUUUUUUUAAACGAAGUAUUUCGUGAUUUGAACUCAUAGGAUUAGGCAAGUCCUUGUUAUCCCUUUUUGGUCGAUAAUUAAUGCUUUUCCAAAUAAGGCCUUCUUUACCACACAAGGUCCUUCCCAAUUGGCAUCCACUUUCUUUUGAAGUCCAUUUAUAUGGGAAGGAUCUUCUUUGAUAUCAGGUUCCCAUCAUGGAUUUCUCUAGGGCGAACCUUUUUGGUAAGCUCGUGUUAUUCAUUUUUUUUGGGGGUACAUUUGACCAUGGAGGCUAGUUUUUACCUCUUCUCUUUGGUCUAAUUUAACUGUUCAUAUCGGGAUUGAAUCCCUUUUAUUUCAUCCGGAUUCAGCCCAGCUAAAAUCCAGAGAGAGAAUCCCGACUCCAAUGGGCAAAACUACUUCCAUUUCAAUGAGAAAGGUGUUGCCCUGGUGGAAGUCUUUUCUCGAUGUUCAAUGGAUGACAAUCUUUACGAGUCAAUCAUUUUCUCCACGAUCUCCUUUUGUGUUUUUUUGAUUGUUGACUUUGCGACAUUGGCAAAUGAACUGCCCGUUUAGUGAAGUGAUCGACGACCACAAAGAUGAAUCGAUACUCGCUAGAAGCUUUUGGCGAAAUCAGCCCACUGACGUCCAUACCCCACAUGGAAAACGUUUAUAGAGAAGUCAUAACAUAAAAAGAUGAAGGAGACACAUGAAUCUUAUCUCCAUAAAUUUGGCACUCAUGGCAUUUCUUGAUAUAACUGAUGCAAUCCCUUCCAUAGUGGACCAACAGUAUCCAAAUCUCAUAGUUUGCCUAGCCAUUGUAAAAACCAUUAGCAUGUGUUCUUCAGACACCCUUUUGGACCUUUCUUAAGAUUUUCCUAGCCUUAACAGCAUCCACCGUCUUAGUAGCCUAGGCAUAUCUUAUUAUGAUCAUGCGAAAACAUCUUGGAAUUCUUGGGAUGACGUCUCGCUUUGUCUUCGUGAUGAUACAUGCUCCGAUUUUCACCUUUUUAUCUUCUUCUAGGCUCACAAUUUCCACUGACUCUUUGUAAGGUAGGAUCUGUUUUCGUCUUGUUCUACCAUACUUAACAAAUCAGGAGAUACGUUACAAUCUUUGUCAUCUUCAAAGUCCUGAGAUCUCUCUAGACACAUAUCUCGCUCAAAAGGAGAUUCUGGGUUAGUUGCAGUGUCGCUCAUGUCGUUGAUAUCUGGGUACCUAUUGUAGGUACGAAAGAAUAUUCCAAAAAAUAAAUGAAUCUAAGAAUAGUUAUUUUAUGGUAUGGCCAUGAAUGAAGAAUAAAAGAGUUGUAUAAGCCCAAAUUGCCCGGAACCAAAAACAACCCAUCAGCUAACCCUUACCCAAACCCUAAUUACAUCAAAACCCAAUUAACCUUAGCCCAAACAUAAGAGGCCCAAGUUCUUGACCCAAAUUCUGACUUAGGGUUUUAGUUUCUGAAACCCUAACCUACUCAACGCCGCAACGUUCCAUCACCCAUACCAGCCUUUACUUCACCUACUCCACCUGCUUCACCGUCUCUGUCACGCCACUGUUGCCACCAUCUACAAGUUGCAUCUGCAAGAAUUAUAAGAAAAGGACAACAAGCACAAACAAAAAAAAAGAGGAGCAUUUAAAAAAAAAGAGGCUAUAAAAAUCCAAUAGGAACUUUGUAACAGGGAUCGAUUUUAUUUCAUGAAUAAAACAAGAUAUUCGGCCAUACCAAGCAAUGGAUUUCAGGUAUCAAAAACAUCAAAAGCAGUGAAUAUCAGAAUACAAGAAUCAGAAUCGAAGAAAUAGGAGGUGACGCUCCGAAUUUUGAAUUUUAGAUUUCUUUUUUCUUUUUCUUUCAUUUUCUUAUACAUACGAAUAUAUAUACGUUUAUCUAUAAACACAUAUUUAAUAAAUAUACAUUAAAAAAUAAUAGUAAAAAAAAAAGAAAAAAUUUACCUUUCCGGCCACCGUGUACGGUGGCCGGUGCCGACGACAGACGGCGGUCCGACAGUCGACCGGUGACCAGCCCAUGGCCGGAUUUCCUCCCUUUCUCCCUCUUCUCUCGUUUUUUUUUCUUUUCACCGUUCAGAUGAAUUUUUUUUAAAAAAAUUGUCUUUUAUAAGGACCAAAACGGUGCGUUUUGUUCCCCCCAUUUAACCUGAAACGGCGCCGUUUUGGCCUUGGGCUGGGUCGACCCGACCAGCUCCAAUUAGGAUCUGCGUGUUUUUAUAGCGGAAGGGCUAAUUGCGCUUUUGGCCCUUCCGCAUUUUUGUUAUUUUACAAUCAAGUUUUCCGUUAUUUUAAUUUGGCCCAAAUUACGUUGUGUUUUGCAAUUUAGUCCCCUUACAUACACUGCGUUUUGACAAAAGGGGUAAUUUCUGUUUUGGUCCUUCUAGGUUACGCACGUAUUGCAUUUUGAUCCUUCUUCUUUGUUUCUUUUUUUAAAAUCGCCCCAAAACUUCGUUUUUUGUUUCAAAUUUAGUCCUUUUUUUAGUUUAAGUUUAUUUUCAUAUUAUCCUUGCUGUUUUAUUUUUAUUUCUAAUAUUAUUUAUAUUAUUCUCAUGAUUAUCAUUUUUAUUAUUGUUAUUUUUAUUCCUUUUAUUAUUUAUUAUUAAUAUAUUAAGACUAUAGCUACUAUUACUAUUUCUAAUAUAUUUAUUACGUACAUAUUUUUUAUAUAUUUAUAUAAUAUUAUUAAUAAGUUGUUUUUUUAACAUUAUUAGUAUUCAUGUUAUGUAUAUUACGUAAGUAUUCUAACACUAUAUUAUAUAUAUAUUUUUUUCAUACUAUUAUGUAAAUGCUUUUAAUACCAUACUUUUAUAUAUUAUUAUGUACAUGCAUUAGUAUUAUUAGUUAUGUAUCUUUAUACUAUUAUAGUAUAUUCCUAAACAUCAUUAUUAUUUAUAUAUAUAUACAUAUUUACGUAGUGUACGAAUAGUUUUUUUUAUAUAUAUACUAUUAUAAUUUCUAGUAUAGGUAUAUAUUUUUAAUGUAUUAGUUAUAUAUUUUCUUAUACUCUUCCAUGUAUAUAUUUUUAUAUCAUCUUAUAUAUGUUCCUAAAUACUAUGUUAUAUGUAUAUAUUUUAAUACCAUAUUAGUUAUGUUUUUGUACUAUCUUAUGUGUAUGUCUUAAACACUAUAUUAUGUAUGUAUUUUAAACACCUUAUUUUUAUAUAUGUCGUGUACAAGUUUCUAAUACUUUAUUACAUAUAUAUUCUUAUAUAUUUGGUGUAUAUAUUUUAGUGUUAUGUUUUAUAUAUCUAUCUUUUUAAUACCAUAUUGUAUAUAUUUUCAAUAUUAUAUCACAUAGAUUUUUUACCAUAUUAUGUAUGUCAUGUAUAUAUACAUUUUAAUGUUUUUGUACUCUCUUAUGUAUAUAUUUUUAAUAUCUAUACGAUGUAUGUAUUUUAACACCGUAUUAUAUAUGUAUAUAUAGCAUUAUUAAUAUUUUUAAUAUCAUGUUUUCAUAAUCAUAUUAACCAUUAUUAUAUGCGUGUACCUGUACGUUCGUUGUUUCCCUUUCAUGUUUAAUUCUAGUAUUACGUUUAAUAUCGCAUACAUUUUAUCGUUUUUAAAAUUAUUAUCACAUUUAUUAUUUGCUUCAAUAUAUUUCUGGUUCUUUCAUUUAUUUAUUUUUAUCAAUAUUGCUUUACAUUACUUCGAAAAUCAUUUUCUUGUUUUCUAAUUAAUUUUAAUACACGAGGCAACGUAUCAGUUUGAUGCUAAGUCAUUGAUUUCAUUGCUAUGUUGGGUGAAUCAUAUUGGCUCGUGUUGAAAACGGAACGCCCUUCUAACAAAUCAAAAUUUAAAAAUUCUCGUGUUUUGGUCGGAUCACGAUUAAAAUUUAAAUUGAACUUGUAUUUUUGAGAAUUAAGACAACACGUGUUUUACAAGAUACCAAUUUUGGGCAUCGCGAGGGUGCUAAUACCUUCCUCGGGCGUAACCGACUCCCGAACCCUAUUUUACUCUGAUUUUCACAUAGACCCAAAUUUGGCCUUCAUUUUUGUUCGAGAAUAAAUUUUCUUAAAAAAGAUGAUUUAUUAGGUGUCCGAUCACACCUCGAAGAAAGAUCGGUGGCGACUCCCUUUUUUAAUAAAACCGAAAGUUGGUUUUCAAAUUUCCAAUAAGUCACCUCAACUAGCGUCCGAAGCAAAAUUUUUAUGUCGCUACAGCUGGCGACUCCACUGGGGACCCUUUUUGAGAGUCGUGUCUGGAACAAACUCGCGUUGUCAAAAUUUUCAAAGUUCCUUGUUCAAAUUAACAUUUAGUCGUGAUCCUCAAAUUUUUGUUUUCAAAAAGUCAUGAAUUCGCAUUAUGUUGUAAAUGUUUUUCUAACUUGUUUUGUCCUUUUGUUUUUCAGCUUUAAGUUUUAUGGUUUUAGUUUAGUAUUUUUUUUAAAUAAAAUGAAAUGUUUGUGAGUUUCUCCCCACACACCGUGCACGUGCAUCUUUGCAUAACAUGAGCUCUAUACCCGGGCUCUGUCCGUUUAAGUGAAAGUAAACGCUAUGCCUUCGUGAGUUAACUCGUCCUUCCGUACAGGCUAGUGAAUACUUUCGCGUUACAUAUGACUUAUGCUUUCGUGAGUAACUUGUCUCUCCGCAUAGGCAUAAGUAAAGGUAAUCCCUCGAAUUUAUCUCGUAAGCCUAUGAUGGGCCAUGACCGAGGCUCUGUACUAAUCUUAGUAGAUGUCAGUACAGACAAUUCGAGUACCCACCUAGAACUAAAACCGCAUAUAGUGAACCGUACGAACCCCCUAACUAGAGCCAUGCUGAACCUCUGCUCGUUUAGUAGUCACCAAGAUAAGUGCAUGGGAGGAACGCCUCUUACCUUUUGCAUUUUCACUUACAAGGGGAUUGGGUCUGUUUAAUAAACGAGAUUGGGUAGUUCGAUUUGUUAAAUUUUCCAUGUUUUUCUGCCUGUAUUUAAUUACUAAUCAAGGUUGUAUGUCUUUGCCUUUUUUUCAUCAUGCAUUAUAGGCAUCAUAUUAGGAAGGUGUUGACUAGAGAUCGGUUGCCAAAAAAUGGGUUUCUAAUGGAAAAGUCAAUUAUACAAACAACCGAGAAGAAUGUCGUGGUUCGGGACUGGUCUUUAAAAACUCAAAAAGAAAAAGGCGAUAGUUUAGUGGAGGGAUAUAUUGCCAAUCUGCCCGAGCACGUAACUGUGAAUGUUCAUCAGAUUAACCUUGAAGAUUUGGUUCGGGUUUGGAAUCAGUGGGACUCGGACACUAGGGGUAUUUUCACUGAGAGGUACGGAGAUAUAGCCCACCUGAUCACUAUCAACUUAGACGAGCGUUUGAUUCAAGCCAUGGUCAGAUUCUGGGAUCCAGCUUACCAGUGUUUCACCUUCAAUCAGGAAGACAUGACCCUGACUAUAGAAGAAUACGCUACUUUUCGUAUUGAUAACGUACAAUCCUACAAAAUAUAUGUGAAAGAGCCCAAGCUGAUGACCUUCAAGAAAAAGUUAAUGAGAUUGACAGACAUGACCGAUACAUGGGCCGAAAAACAGAUAAAGAAGAAGAAUGAAAAUAGCUGUAUUCCGUGGUUUUCCCUGCGGGAUUUAGUCCUAAAUCAUCCCGAUAUUUUGAAAAGAGUGAAUCUGUUCGCUUUGGCCAUUUACAGAUUGGUCGUAUUCCCAAAAGUUUUGGGACAUAUAGGGGUUGCAGUAGUGGACUUCUUUGAAAAGUAAAAACAAGGAAUCAACCCUAUCCCAACUAUUUUGGCCGAGACCUUCAGAUCCCUAAGCAGUUGUAAGAGGAUGUCACUGAAGCCUAUCUUGAGGAAUCAACACCGUACCACAUGUUUUCAAAAACCUUCGCCCCGUUGGAAGCCUAUCUUGAGAGAGAAUGGCCAAAGGAUGUCACUGAAGAGCAUUGGGUUUUAGUUUUUCAGAACCUCCGAGCUGAAGAUGUAACCUGGAGAGCACCGUGGAUCCGCCCUUCAGUUCUGUUAUACAAGGUUGGAAAUCAAGAUUGGGUGCCACUACUUGGGUUAUGGGGAGGAGUUGGAUACGCUCCGUUAAUGGUCCAAAGGCAAUUCUCUUCACGACAAUUCAUACCCGCCACCAGAGGAUUAGCACAGUUUGAGUUUGCUUUUGUGGGUGAGGGAUAUAUGAAGAGGGUCCAAGAUACCGCAAAGUCUUAAAAGAGAAUUCAUCUCAUGGAGUUAACUCUAUACGCUGACACUCUCACCCAAGAUUAUGUUAUAUGGAGAAAGCAACGAGUGAAUAGUCAGCAUGUCUCGUCGACAAAUCACACCGUCCAGAAUCCUUUCUCGGAAGAAGUGCCAUCUAAGCUAGAAAUGGCAAGACAAAAAUUUGAACGAGAAAAGGACAAGAUGUCUCGGGACCUUAGUGCUCUUCAAGAGGAAAACUACCAACUGAAGAUCGACGUUUAGAUUGAAAGAUCCAGAACCGAGAAAGUGCAAAAAGAAGCUGAAGUCGUAAGAAAUGACUUAAGGGACCUCCAUCUGGAAAAUAAAAAGUUAAGAGGCACAAUAAAAAAUAGUGGGUUGGGCAAAUCGUCAGCAGAAUGGAAGGAGGAAAUUAGCAACAUCAAAGGAAUGAUGGAAUUCUGGAAAGGGAAAGCGAAGUAAGAAGAAGAAAAGGCUACGCGGGCUAUGAUGGAGUUAAGGAAGAAGAACGUCGAAUAUGAAGCUGUGUCUACCAAGGUAAUGACUAGUCGAUCUAAACGUCAAGAACUAAAAGAGAGGAUACGAGAUUUAGAAGACAUGCUGCAAGAUCGUCAACAACAGCUAGAUACUCUCUUGGAGGCUUUGGAAGAAAAGAAUAGUCAGUAUGAUAGAGACAUUUGUGCUUACGAAGAGGGCCUCUAAGAAAAAAAAUUCAACUUAGCUAUUUGAUCAAUGAAAUUCAUAGGGUAGCGAUGCACGUGGUACAACUAUCGGAAGAAGCUGAAAUUUUCAUUUGCCAAUUCCUCUAAGCCGAAGAUCAAACAUAUCAGAAUUCUUAGCAUGAGUAAAGAAAUAUGGCGAUAUAGCUAGGAAGUUUGUGUAAUGGCUGAAUCGAAAAUGACAAAAUAUUUUGUAAUGGACUCUUUUGAUAAAUAAAAUGCCUAAAUAGGGGCUAUCUUGAAAUCAACACUAAAUUCUUGCAUGUUCAUUCAUAACUAACAUUCAUUUGACAUUUAUACAUUCAUUCAUUCAUUCAUUCAUUGCAUAUCCCAUAAUCGCUUGCUAAGGUUAAAACAUACAAUUCGCAGUUGUAAUAUCGCAAGACUGGAACCACGUCAUUUGUAUAGGACACACCGACAAGCUAGAGUAAUGGAGGCUAAAUUCAAUGAAAGGAUUGAAAGGAUAGAAAGGAUUCAAAAGGAAUUACAAGAGCAGUUGGUCAAGUCGCAACAAGAGACAAGGGACUUAAUGGUGAGAUCUCGAGAAGAAUCGCUCGAACAAAGGGACCAAAUGGCCAAAAUGAUGGAAAUGAUGUCAGCUUUGGUAAAAGGAAAGGGGCCUAUGAACCCUGAGUUGUGGAACCACAGUCAAGGGUGAACCUCGAUCAGGAUCCGCCCCAUCCGUUAGGAUUUACUCCACCGCACGCCCAUACAACACAAAGAGGGUACGCUCAAUGGGAACCUACAGGCCUGGAGCAAUGACCUGUGCCACCUACUAAUCUGGGGUAAGGAAUGUUCGUAUCAAACCCGAGGACUAGUCCUGCUGAUCCACUCGUUCCAGAUUUGGACGAUCCAGUAGUGAUAGGCAAGUUGAAAUUUGAUGAUCACGAUGCAAAGGAGAAAUAUAGGAGCCUAGAGGAAAGACUCAAUACGAUAGAAGGCACUGAAGUUUUCUCUGUACUGAGCGCUAAAGAGCUCAGUUUGGUACCCGAUUUAGUUUUGCCUCCAAAGUUUAAGGUAUCAGAUUUUGAAAAGUACGAUGAGACAAGAUGCCCAAAAGCGCAUCUCAUCAUGUUUUGCCGGAAGAUGACCGGCUAUGUGAAUGAAGAUAAGCUGCUCAUACACUGCUUUCAAGAUAGCUUAGUCGGAUCGGCUCUUCGGCGGUACAACCAGCUUAGUAGGGAAAAGAUCCGAUCCUGGAAGGACUUGGCAUCAGCAUUCUGUGAGCAGUACAAGCAUGUAUCGGAUAUGGUGCCUGAUCGAAUGACUCUACAAAUGAUGGAAAAGAAACCAGCAGAAACCUUUAGGUAAUACGCUCAAAGGUGGAGAGACGUUUCGGCCCAAAUGGAACCCCCGCUAACAAAAAAGGAGAUAACCGUCCUCUUUAUCAACACCUUAAAGGCUCCAUUUUAUGACAAACUAGUGGGAAGUGCCACGAAGGACUUUACGGAUAUUGUAAUAUCUGGCGAGCUUAUAGAGAAUGCCAUAAAGAGUUGAAGGAUGGAAGGUUCCGACAGUUCAAGAAGGGCGGCACCCGUAAAGCAAAGAGAGCCAGAAACCUAUAUGGUGGGAACUGGAAGCCGUUACACUCCAAACCCAUAUCAAAAUCAACCCCGACCUCGAAAUUAUCCACCUCUAAAUUUCUAUUAUCCUCCUCAAACCCCUUACUACCAAGCACCACCUCCUUCUUACCCCGUAUACACCACAAACAACCAAAGACCCGUCGUCACAUUCCCAGAAAGCAAUGUACCCGCUCAAAGCCAACCCAGAAACAAACAAAGGCCAGUAAGACCCAAUCCUGAGAAACAACAAUUUACUCCUAUUCCUUUGUCAUAUGGGGAACUGUACCUAAAACUCUUGGAGAAGCAAUUAAUAUCUCCCCAUUACAUGGCACCCCUUAAGCCCCCAUACCCGAAAUGGUACGAUCCAAACACUAGUUGUGCAUACCAUGCCGGGAAUCAAGGGCACUCUACGAAAAACUGCCUUGCCUUCAAAAGGAGAGUUCAAGGACUCAUCGAUGGGAGCAUUGCGAUUUGAUGGCACUGGCGGUACGGCCGGGAACCCAUUCCCAAAUCACACUGAAGGAAAUGUGAGCGCAGUGGGAGAAGAGGACAAACGGCAAAGUAGAAGAUGGGUUUCUGAAAUAAGAACACCUCUGCAGAAAAUCUGGGAGGUACUAGUUGAAAAGGGGUUGCUCUGUCAUCUUAACAGAGUAUUCGAAGAAAGAAAUGUAAAAGGUCAAAGUUUUUGCGAAUUCCAUGGUAUUGGGGGGCACGACAUUCAGUCCUGCGAGGAGUUUAGGAGAUUACUGCAAAAUAUGAUGGAUAAUAAGGAGAUUGAGAUUUUUUAUAAAGGUAGAGAGGCCGAUGAGGAGAAAUAUGUGCCUCUGACAAUCAAUUGUCAGGUUUCUCGUACAGCGCUGAUCGACCGCUAAUAAUUUAUUACGACGCGAAGAAGGAGCUGGUGAAAUCAAAAGUGAUAAUCGAAGUACCAUCUCCUUUCCCCUACAAGGACAAUAAAGCAGUACCAUGGAAAUACGACGUCAAUAUCGUCACACCUGAAGAUGAAAAACCCAAAGCCAUGACUGGAAGCAUUGGGGAAGUAGGUCAUUUCACUUGUAGUGGAAGAAGAACAGUGACUGGAAGCAAAAAUGGAAGGUAGUGAUGUACGAGGCCGAAGUCGAGCAGGAAAUUCCACCCGUGCAAGAAACUAAAAAGCCUGUGGAUGUGGAGGAAGCACAGGAGUUCUUGAAAUUUAUUAAGCAGAGUGAAUACAAUGUGAUGGAACAAUUGAAUAAGCAACCAGCACGAAUCUUGAUUUUAUCUCUACUACUAAAUUCAGAGCCACACCGGGACGCUUUGUUGAAGGUGUUAAAUCAAGCUUACGUAGCAAACAACAUAUCUGUUGAGAAGCUUGAUAGGUGGGUGAAUAAUCUGAACACGGACAAUUUCAUCUUUUUUAGUGAUGAUGAAAUACCACCCAACGGUAGAGGCUUCAUGAAAGCAUUGCAUAUCACAACCCGCUGUAGGGGUUACACAAUACCGAACGUGCUCAUCGAUAAUGGGUCGGCGCUCAAUGUCAUGCCUUUGGCCACGCUUUCCAGAAUUUUAAUGGAUCUGUCCUAUUUAAGGCCCUGUCAUUCCACGGUAAGGGCGUUCGAUGGGACAAGGCGUGAUGUCAUGGGAAAGAUUGAUAUCCCUCUAGAAGUGGGCCCUUAUAUAACGAUGUUGAAUUUCAAGUCAUGGAUAUUACACCAUCAUACAAUUUCCUUUUGGGAAGACCCUGGAUCCAUUCUGCUGGGGCGGUCCCAUCAUCCCUCCAUCAAAAUGUGAAAUUUAUCAUGGAUGGCUAUUUGGUCACUGUCAAGGGAGAAUAAGACAUUGUAGCAUCUAUUUCUACCAACGCACCAUACAUUGAAGUGAGUAAAGAUGCUAUAGAGUGUUCAUUCCAAUCCCUUGAAUUUGUCAAUACCACAUUCGUCGCUAAGGGAAAUAGAAUUCCCGGGCCAAAAUUGUCGAGAAAUACCAGGAUGGGUAUCAAGCUGACUGUGGGGAGAGGAGCCCGAGCGAGGAAAGGUUUGAGAAAAUUUCAGCAAGGAAUAGUCAGAGCUCUAAAGCCAGUGCACCACAAGGCCCGAUACGGUUUGGGGUUCCAGUCGGACAUGCGUCAAAGAAGAAAACAAUGGAAGAAAGAUCAAGAAAGAAGGAUCGCAAGAACCUUAGGCUAAGAAAUAGAAUGAGAGCCCAUAACGUACCCUCCUUUUGUCAAAAACAUUUACAUCUGUAGGGAUGAUAUACCCCGGACAGGAUAAUACACAAAGCACGAUGUUAUUAAUUGAAAGGGGUCUUCAGAAUGUCAGUAUAAAUGUCAUUGACAAAGGAAGUGAGACAAGUAAAGAUGUUUCAACGAUAUGCCCUUGUCCUCCUGGUUUCAUGUUGAACAAUUGGACUGUCGAGGACCUUCUUGUAGUUUAUAAGUCUUCAGAGUAAUGCUCAAACAUUAACCCUCUAUUGUGUCCUUAAAUAUAAUAGAAUUCUUUUGUAAGAGCUUGCAUUCGCUCGUUAUCAUUUAAAUGAAUAUAAAUGAAGAUGCAUUUUGUCACGAUCUUUCGCAUUAUCACUAAUUUCAUAAUCAUUUUCUCAUUUCAUAGCCUAUCCUUACAUUUGCCUCAUACCAUGCCAUAACAUUUCGUUUGUUGGUUCCAAUACUUGGAUGCCCCUCUAUAGUUUCCUUUUCCAUUCAACUUUCAGGUGCUCUGAUAUCAACAGCAUGAACAAACUCGUUACGAGUCCUAAAAUCGAUUUUGAGAAGGCUGUUUGUUUAGGAGAAUUCAAAUUCGAAGAAAAUGUUGAAGACUAUGUCUCAUCUCCUGACUUGCUAAGAAUGGUGAAACAAGAGGAUAAAUAGAUUUUGCCUCAUCAAGAAUCUGUUGAAACAAUAAAUUUGGGAACUGAAGAAAGGAAGCAAGAAGUGAAGAUUGGGACCUCUAUUUCAAGGGACACCAGGCAUAAUUUGAUUGCUUUGCUCCGCGAGUACAAAGAUGUAUUCGCAUGGUCAUAUCAGGACAUGCCAGGAUGUCAAAUUAUGAGACCUGAUGCAAACCCAUUAAAGCCAGAAUGCAAACCCAUUCAACAAAAGCUAAGACGAAUGAGACCUGAAAUGCUGUUAAAGAUAAAAGAGGAAGUCAAGAAGCAAUUUGAUGCUGGCUUCCUACAAGCCUCCAAAUAUCCAGAAUGGGUGGCUAACAUAGUCCCGGUACUAAAGAAAGAUGGCAAAGUACGAAUGUGCGUGGAUUAUCGUGACCUGAAUCGAGCAAGUCCUAAAGAUAAUUUUUCCUUACCACAUAUUGAUAUGUUGGUGGAUAACACAACAAAACAUUCAUUGUUUUCCUUCAUGGAUGGAUUCUCGGGGUAUAAUUAGAUCAAGAUGAACCCUGAGGAUAUGGAGAAAACUACCUUCGUAACAAUGUGGGGAACAUUCUGUUACAAGGUGAUGCCAUUUGGGUUAAAAAAUGCUGGGGCAACAUAUCAGAGGGCUAUGGUGACGUUAUUUCAUGACAUGAUGCAUAAAGGAAUAGAGGUCUACGUCGGCGAUAUGAUUGCUAAAUCCCGAGGGGAAGAAGAGCAUGUAGUGAACCUCAAGAAGUUGUUCGGAAAGCUGAGAAAGUUUCAACUAAAGCUUAACCAGCCAAAUGUAUGUUUGGGGUUACCUCGGGAAAGUUGCUAGGCUUCAUUGUCAGUGAAAGAGGUAUCAAGGUUGAUCCAGAUAAAAUAAAAGCCAUUCAAGAGUUACCACCUCCGCACACGCAAAAGGAAGUCAGAGGAUUUUUAGGGAGGUUAAACUACAUCGCUCGGUUCAUUGCUCAACUGACCAACCAGUGCGACCCAAUUUUUCGACUCCUUCGAAAACAUAAUCCAGGAGAAUGGAACGAGGAGUGUCAAGAGACUUUUGACAAGAUAAAAUAGUAUUUUUCUAGUCCGCCGGUGCUAGUACCACCAACUCCAGGAAGGCCAUUAAUAUUAUAUCUGACUGUGUUCGAAAAUUCAAUGGGUUGCGUACUGGGGCAACAUGAUGAGUCAGGGAAAAAAGAAAAGGCGAUUUACUAUCUCAGCAAAAAGUUCACAGAGUAUGAGGCAAAGUAUUCGCCAAUUGAAAAAUACUAUUGCACUCUGGUUUGGGUAGCUCGGAGACUCAGGCAAUAUAUGUUGUAUCAUACGACAUGGUUAAUUUCAAAGCUGGAUCCAAUAAAGUACAUGAUGGAAUCACCUGCACUCUCAGGAAGAAUGGCACGAUGGCAGAUCUUACUAUCGGAAUACGACAUUGCCUAUAUAAGUCAAAAGUCGAUAAAAGGAAGCGCAAUAGCUAACUUCUUAGCAACUCGAACAACGGAUGAAUACGAGCCAUUGAGAUUUGAUUUCCCGGAUGAAGACUUGAUGUGCAUUACAGAAAAAGAGUACGAGUCAUCAAAAGAGAAGUAAUGGAAGAUGAGCUUUGAUGGUGCAUCGAACGCAUUGGGGCAUGGGAUUGGAGCAGUCUUAGUAUCGCCAGAGGGGAACCAUUAUCCGUUCACUGCUAGGCUGAAUUUCUUCUGUACCAAUAACAUAGCAGAAUAUGAGGCCUGUAUCAUAGGACUUCGUGUAGCUAUUGAACGAAACAUCGAAAUCCUGGAGGUGUACGGGGACUCAGCGUUGGUGAUAUACCAAAUCCGUGGAGAUUGAGAAGUGAAAGAUUCGAAAUUAGUCAAAUACAGCAAUCUAGUGGUAGGACUGAUCAAAGAAUUCAAAGAAAUAACUUUUAAUUACUUCCCACGAGAAGAAAACCAAUUGGCUGAUGCCCGAGCCACUUUGGCUUCAAUGUUCAAAGAAAACAAAGAAACAUAAAUAAUGCCUCUUCAAAUGAGCAUAUAUGAAGUCCCUGCACAAUGUUUCAGCAUUGAAAAAGAGCCAAAUGGACGGCCAUGGUUCUAUGAUGUCUUAGAAUACAUCAAGAAUCAAAGGUAUCCCGAACAAGCAAAUGAGAAUGACAAAAGAACAAUUAGGAAAAUGGCAGCGGGAUUUAUUCUUGAUGGAGACAUUCUAUACAAAAAAGGAAAAGAUCAAGUGCUCUUGAGAUGCGUAGAUGUUGUUGAAGCCAGAAAAAUAAUUGAAGAAGUCCAUGAGGGAAUUUGUAGGACACAUGCCAAUGGUUUCACUAUGGCCAGGAAAAUUAUGAGACUCGGUUAUUACUGGAUGACGAUGGAAAGUGACUGCAUUAGUUUUGCACGAAAAUGCCACAAAUGUCAGAUUUAUGGUGAUAAAAUUCAUGUAGCCCCUUCGCCACUUCACGUCAUGACUUCUCCGUGGCCUUUUUCUAUGUGGGGUAUGGAUGGGAAGGAGUUACCGAAUCCAGUGAACUCAGAUGCUGUGAAUAAAUAUUAUGCCUAAAAAAAGAUCAAGGUGAAAACCCGGAAAGGGCGUCUUGAUUAACAUAAAAGAUUAGGAUAAAAACUCAAAAGGGCAUUCUAAUGAGGCAAACCCGGGCUUAAAAAACAAGGCGGUUGAAUAGUGGGUCAAACAGCAAGACUACAGCAUUUGAAGCAUUUUCAACAGCUUGAAAUCUUCUACUCAAGAAGUCAUGCUCGAAAAGAUUCUUGAUUGAAGAACGGGGAAGAGUUCAUGCGUUGAAUAUCUAAAGUAUUUGUACCCGUUGAAUGUGAUCCCUUUUCUCUUUAUGACACUUUUUCACUAUCUUUGGUUAAUUUUCUUUGUUUACUACAUUUGAAAUGAAUAAAUGUGAGGUAUCCUUUUGUCCCUACCUGACCAUUUUCAUGCAUCUAAAUAUGUGGUUUAUUUAAAUGAUAAAUAGUGAAAUGGCAUACUCUAAACAAAAGAAAUGUUGAGCAUUACCUGGACGAGAAUUUGAUAAGUACAAAAGCCUCAAAGCAAGAACAAAGUUCAACCAGGGGCAAAAGAGUGAUAUUUGAGAAACACAGAUUGUUCGUGAAGCUUAAGGAUAGGUACAGGGCCUAAAGAGAAAGUCAAGAGCCGAAGUAAUGAAUGCAGAUCAUCACGAAAAUUGUGAUGAAAAAGGAUAUACGACAAACAUGCCUAAGGCGCAUAGCAUGAUCAUGUAGGCAUAUAGGCAUUUAAGACCAACAUGUGCAUAUCAUGAUGACAUCAUGCAUGACAUAUACAAGUACUCCAGUAAAGCAAGAAGAUGUGAUGAUAGCUGUAUUGAAACAAAAGAAAAGACACCUGAGUUCUACCAAAUGACAGGUUUUGGUAUUUUGAUGUUUUUAUUUCUGUUUUCAGAAAUCAACUCAUAUUGCGAGAGGUGAGUUGAGCCACAAUACACGUUGAGGUAUUUUCAAUUUAUGUAUUUUCAAUUUAUGUUUCAAAAAUCAACUCAUAUUGCAAGAAAUGAGUUGAGCCUUGGUUUACGUGCUGAGGUAUUUUCAAUUUCUAUUUUUCAAAUUUCUAUUUUCAAAAAAAUAAACUCAUAUUGCGAAAUGUGAGUUGAGCCUCAAGACACGCUGAGGUAAUUUCAAAUUCUGUUUGCCAAAAAUCAACUCAUAUUGCGAGAAGUUAGUUGAGCCUCAGGGCACGCUGAGGAAUUUUCAGUUCCUGCUUUUCAAUUUCUACUUUUUAAUUUCUGCUUUCAAAAAAAUGAACUCAUAUUGCGAGAGGUGAGUUGAGCCUUAGGAUACGCUGAGGUAUUUUCAAUUCCUGUUUUUUCAAUCUAUAUUUUUCAAAAAAAUCAACUCAUACUGCGAGAAGUGAGUUGAGCCUUAGGGCAUGCUGAGGAAUUUUCAAUUCCUGCUUUUCAAUUUCUGUUUUUCAAAAAAAUCAACUCAUAUUGCGAGAGGUGAGUUGAGCCUUGGCUCACAUGCUGAGGUAUUUUCAGUUUCAGUUUUUUUUAAUUUAUAUUUUUCAAAAAUCAACUCAUAUUGCGAGAGGUGAGUUGAGCCUCGGGUCACAUGUCGAGGUAUUUUCAAAAUCUGCUUUUAAGUUUCAAAAACCAAUUCAUAUUUGCGAUAGGUGAGUUAAGCUUUGGCUCACGUGCUGAGCUAUUUUCAAUUUCUAUUUUUAAUGUCUGUUUUUAAAGAGUCAAUUCAUAUUGCGAGAAAUGAGUUGAGCUCAAGAUCACAGACUGAGUAAAGAAUAAAGAUUGGAGCUGAUGGAAGACACUAGAUUUGGCCUCCUUGAAGUUGUAGUGUAGCAGGUCAAAGUUGCAAGUCUUGUCUCCCUAAAGUUACAGUGGAGCUGAUCGAGGAUAUCAGAUCUUGCCUUUCUAAAGUUACAGAAGAGAAGACCACAAACCUUAUCUCACUGAGGAGAUAGAAGAGUAGAUUGAAGCUAUAAAUCUUAUCUUUCUGAAGUUACAGUGAAGCAGAUCGAAGCCACAAAUCUCAUAUCCUUGAAGUUACAUUGGAGUAGAUUGAAGCUACAAGGCAUAUAUCAGAAGAUGUAGUGGAUUGAACCAAAGCUACAAGAUACGGUGGACUCGAAAGAGAUUACUUGAACAAGAGGAGCACCAAAGAAAUCAAGACUGGGCAAGACCGGGCAAAUUGGGUCUUCCUUGAAAGUCUUUGCUCUAUUCCCGUUGCACAGCAAUGAGCAAAGAGGGGCAGCUGUAUAAGCCCAAAUUGCCCGGGCCCGAAAACAACCCAUCAGCUAACCCUUACCCAAACCCCAAUUACAUCAAAACCCAACUAACCUUAGCCCAAACAUAAGAGGCCCAAGUUCUUGACCCAAAUUCUGACUUAGGGUUUCAGUUUCUGAAACCCUAACCUACUCAGCGCUGCAAUGUCCCAUCGCCCAUACCAGCCUCUGCUUCACCUGCUCCACCUGCUUCAUCGCCUCUUCCACGCCACUGUUGCCAUCAUCUACAAGUUGCAUCUGCAAGAAUUAAAAGAAAAGGACAGCAAGCAUAAAAAAAAGAGGAGCAUUUUAAAAAAAAAGGAGGCUAUAAAAAGCCGAUAGGAACUUUGUAACGGGAAUCGAUUUUUUUUCAUGAAUAAAACAAGAUAUUCGACCAUACCAAGCAAUGGAUUUCAGGUAUCAAAAACACCAAAAGCAAUGAAUAUCAGAAUACAAGAAUCAGAAUCAAAGAAAUAGGAGGUGACGCUCCGAAUUUUGAGUUUUAGAUUUCUUUUUUCUUUUUCUUUCAUUUUCUUAUACAUACGAAUAUAUAUACGUAUAUCUAUAAACACAUAUUUAAUAAAUAUAUAUUAAAAAAUAAUAGUAAAAAAAAAGAAAAAAUUUACCUUUCCUGCCACCAUGUACGGUGGCCGGCACCGGCGACGGACGGCGGUCCGAUGGUCGACCGGUGACCGGCCCAUGGCCGGAUUUCCUCCCCCUCUCCCUCUUCUCUCUUUUUUUUUCUUUUCACCGUUCAGAUGAAUUUUUUUUUAAAAAAAAUUGUCUUUUAUAAGGACCAAAACGGUGCGUUUUGUUCCCCCCAUUUAACCUGAAACGGCACCGUUUUGGCCUUGGGCUGGGUCGACCCGACCAGCUCCAAUUAGGAUCCGCGUGUUUUUAUAGCGGAAGGGCUAAUUGUGCUUUUGGCCCUUCUGCAUUUUUGUUAUUUUACAAUCAAGUUUUCCGUUAUUUUAAUUUGGCCCAAAUUACGUUGUGUUUUGCAAUUUAGUCCCCUUACAUACACUGCAUUUUGACAAAAGGGGUAAUUUCUGUUUUGGUCAUUCUAGGUUACGCACGUAUUGCAUUUUGAUCCUUCUUCUUUAUUUCUUUUUUUAAAAUCGCCCCAAAACUUCAUUUUUUGUUUCAAAUUUAGUCCUUUUUUUAGUUUAAGUUUAUUUUCAUAUUAUCCUUGCUGUUUUAUUUUUAUUUCUAAUAUUAUUUAUAUUAUUCUCAUGAUUAUCAUUUUUAUUAUUGUUAUUUUUAUUCCUUUUAUUAUUUAUUAUUAAUAUAUUAAGACUAUAGCUACUAUUACUAUUUCUAAUAUAUUUAUUACGUACAUAUUUUUUAUAUAUUUAUAUAAUAUUAUUAAUAAGUUGUUUUUUAACAUUAUUAGUAUUCAUGUUAUGUAUAUUACGUAAGUAUUCUAACACUAUAUUAUAUAUAUUUUUUUUCAUACUAUUAUGUAAAUGCUUUUAAUACCAUACUUUUAUAUAUUAUUAUGUACAUGCAUUAGUAUUAUUAGUUAUGUAUCUUUAUACUAUUAUAGUAUAUUCCUAAACAUCAUUAUUAUUUAUAUAUAUAUACAUAUUUACGUAGUGUACGAAUAGUUUUUUUUAUAUAUAUACUAUUAUAAUUUCUAGUAUAGGUAUAUAUUUUUAAUGUAUUAGUUAUAUAUUUUCUUAUACUCUUCCAUGUAUAUAUUUUUAUAUCAUCUUAUAUAUGUUCCUAAAUACUAUGUUAUAUGUAUAUAUUUUAAUACCAUAUUAGUUAUGUUUUUGUACUAUCUUAUGUGUAUGUCUUAAACACUAUAUUAUGUAUGUAUUUUAAACACCUUAUUUUUAUAUAUGUCGUGUACAAGUUUCUAAUACUUUAUUACAUAUAUAUUCUUAUAUAUUUGGUGUAUAUAUUUUAGUGUUAUGUUUUAUAUAUCUAUCUUUUUAAUACCAUAUUGUAUAUAUUUUCAAUAUUAUAUCACAUAGAUUUUUUACCAUAUUAUGUAUGUCAUGUAUAUAUACGUUUUAAUAUUUUUGUACUAUCUUAUGUAUAUAUUUUUAAUAUCUAUACGAUGUAUGUAUUUUAACACCGUAUUAUAUAUGUAUAUAUAGCAUUAUUAAUAUUUUUAAUAUCAUGUUUUCAUAUCAUAUUAACCAUUAUUAUAUGCAUGUACCUGUACGUUCGUUGUUUCCCUUUCAUGUUUAAUUCUAGUAUUACGUUACAUUUUAUUGUUUUUAAAAUUAUUAUCACAUUUAUUAUUUGCUUUAAUAUAUUUCUGGUUCUUUCAUUUAUUUAUUUUUAUCAAUAUUGCUUUGCAUUACUUCGAAAAUCAUUUUCUUGUUUUCUAAUUAAUUUUAAUACACGAGGCAACGUAUUAGUUUGAUGGUAAGUCGUUGAUUUCAUCACUAUGUUGGGUGAAUCAUAUCAGCUCGUGUUGAAAACGGAAUGCCCUUCUAACAAAUCAAAAUUUAAAAAUUCUCGUGUUUUGGUCGGAUCACGAUUAAAAUUUAAAUUAAACUUGUAUUUUUGAGAAUUAAGAUAACGCAUGUUUUACAAGAUACUAAUUUUGGGCGUCGCGAGGGUGCUAAUACCUUCCUCGCGCAUAACCGACUCCCGAACCCUAUUUUACUCUGAUUUUCACGUAGACCCAAAUUUGGCCUUCAUUUUUGUUCGAGAAUAAAUUUUCUUAAAAAAGAUGAUUUAUUAGGUGUCCGAUCACACCUAGAAGAAAGAUAGGUGGCGACUCCCUUUUUUAAUAAAACUGAAAGUUGGUUUUCAAAUUUCCAAUAAGUCACCUCAACUAGCGACCGAAGCAAAAUUUUUACGUCGCUACAGCAGUAUUUGAAGGAAAGCCCAAAAAAUAAAAGAAUCUAAGAAUAAUUGUCUGUAUAGUAUGAUUAUGAAUGAAAUAAAAGUAUAUUUGCUGAAAAUGAUAGCAAAGAUGCAUUUUAUUGAAAUAAAGAUUUUGGACAUAAGCCUAUUUCACAAAAGGCCUCUUAUUGCUCCUAGGCUUAGAGUAAUAGGCGUGUUUUGGACAUUACUCUGAAUUAGCUCUAAAAAAUACAGGGAUUUCUUCCACAGUCCCCUUGUUCAAAACACCCCCAAGUAUGCAAGGGCUUGGAAACCUUUAUUCCUCAGUUUUCUCUUCGGAUACGUCGUUAAGGUCCAGAUUCCUCGAUAUUACCUCCAGGCUUCUUUUUCAAGGGAUCGCAACUCUCUUGCCACCUUCUUCAGUUAUCGUAUUUACUGCCUCGUCAAAGUGAUUAGGUUCUGAUGAAUCGUCGAACUUCACAAUUCCCAUUUUAAUGAGCCUUUCGAUCAACUUUUUAAACGUAGUGCAGUUUUCGAUUGAGUGCCCCGUUAUUCUAGCAUGAUACUCGCAUUGGGCAUUCGCAUCAUACCAUUUUGGGAAUGGAGGUUGCACAGGUUCAGAGUAGAACGGAGACACCACAUGCGCAUCAAACAGAUUCUAAUACAGCUCCUCGUAUGUCAUUGGGAUGGGUACGAAUUGGAGCCUUUCUACUUAUCUCGGAGGGGUCUGAUAGUUGGUGGUUACUAUCUUCAGUUGGUCUACAGUGACCGAUUUAGAAUACCCUUUGUUCAUAUUAUUCACUUCAUUUUCAUUUCUCUUUGGGUUUGACCUAUUGGCGUUUUCUCCAGCGUUUAUCCUCCCGCUCCUAAUUACAUUUUCAAUCAUCUCGCCGGACAUUACUAUAUCUGAUAAGAUCAUGGUAGCGCUUCCCAACAUAUGGGUAAUGAAUGGGGCUUUCAGAGUGUUGAUGAAAAGCAUCGUGGUUUCUUUCUCCAAAAGAGGUGGCUGGACUUGUGUUGCUAUUUCUCUCCAUCUUUGGGCAUAUUGUCUGAAGCUCUCACUUUGCUUCUUUUCCAUAUUCUGCAAUGUGAUUCUGUCAGGCGCCAUGUCUGUCACGUGGCCAUAUUGCUUCAUGAAAGCCUGUGUCAAGUCCUUCCAUGAGUGAAUUUUAGCACGGUUCAGUUGGUUGUACCAUUUGGCAGCUGACCCGAUCAGACUGUCUUGGAAGCAGUAGAUUAACAGUUGAUCAUUAUUAACGUAUCCUGUCAUCCUUCGACAGAACAUAGUGAUGUGAGCUUUUGGACAGCUAGUCCCAUUAUACUUUUCAAAUUCUGGAGUCUUGAAUUUCGACGGGAGUACUAGGUCUGGGACCAAACUCAGAUCCUUGGCGUCAACCCCACAAUGGUAAUCAACAUUCUCCAUUGCUUUGAGUUUUUCUUCCAACCACCUCUACCGAUCUUCAAGUUGCUUUGGCAGUUCCACUUUUACUUUUUCUAUUUCUGCCAUUUCGUUAAGAUCAGGAACUACAGGAUUGGUUGGAUUGUUCUCCAAAUUGGAAACUGAGCCUAUCGAGUAGUUCAUUAGUACCAAGGUACCGGUCUGAUAUUGUUGGGGCCUGAUAGUAACGGGUGUCCCUUGUGGACGCACGUCUGGUUCGGCUUAAGUGUUUGUUGGGGUAAAGCCUGGAGGAUAAACAGGGUCUUCAUUAUCGUUUGUAGUGCUCUUUUCUUUUUCACAUUCUCUAGCCAGGAACUGCUCCAAUUGGCUUAUCAUACUAUUUUGGGACUCUUGCAUUUGUUCUCUUAUUUCUUAUUGUAUUUUAACCAGUUGCUCUUACAUCCAUGCUUGCAAUUGAUCUUGCAUAUCUUUUUGCAUUUUUUCCAAUCUUUCUAAUAUUUGAUCCAUUGCUUUGGUUUUGCGAUAGGUAUUGUAGCGGUAUUCGGUUGGUUGACUCUUGUUGGUUUCCAGAUUAAUUGAAAUAAUUUUACCUGAUUAGGGUCUUUUAGUGAAAGUCUAAUACAAAUGAUGCAAUGCAAUGUAAAUGCAUGGAAUGAAUGCAAAAGAAAGAGAGGCGUUGAUUCUGAAUUCAAUUUCAUUAGAACAACUUUUCUAGAAACAAAUUCCUUUACAUAAAACGGAUUACAUAUGCAGCCUUGCCCUCAUAUUCUAGGCGAAGACACCUAUCUUCCUCUUCAUAUUCGAAUGUCAUGGUCAAGUCUUGCAAAUUUUCCAAAAGAUGUCCCUAUUAACUCCUUUUUGCUUGAUCCAGGCCACGACUUAUUGCUCACUUAUCUCUGCGAUACUUGUCAACUCCUUUAAGAAGGUCAAGAUGUGACGGCUCUUGAAUAAUCUUUGUCGGCUUGAAUCCUCGGGCAAUGAAACAAAGUUUUGUAUUACUCCGCAGACUAUCAGCCUUCUUUCAUUGUGUUUACUUGGACCAUAUUCAGACAAUCGUAUUAUAAUCCACUUUAUCAAGAAACCCAUCUUCCCAUGACAAGCUCUUCUAUUUAGCAAUCGAAUAUGAAUCAACCCCUCAUUUCUAUGAUGAUGCAAUGCAAUACAAUCAUAGACAAAACAAAACAAAAUACGUCAGUACAAAAGAAAUAAACAACAACAUAGAACACCUAUCUGGGUGACCACUAGGGUUUGGUGUGGCUCUACCUAGGGUAGGCUCCUAGGUCUCUCUAUAUGUGGUUUAGUUCUAAAGCAAAAGUACUAGAACCACCAGAUUCCUUGAUCCUCACCCAUAUUAGGCUCAUACAGAUCGAGUUCAGUUCAGGGGAAUACAUUUCCCUACGGCUAUACGGAGAUGAAAAUCUCACGAAGAUGUAAGUUACGGAUGUAUCCCGAAAGCGAUCUACUAUCCUAUACGGAGGUGAACACCUCACAAAGGAAUAGUUUCUCAGUCCCACUUAAAAGGGUAAAAUUGACCAAUUUAUGUGAUGCUAUAUGCAAAGAUACAUCAAAAGAAUUAAACCACUAAAGCAAGCAUGUUACGAAAGUGACAAAUAAAAUGCAAUGGAGAAACCGUAGAUUUAAAACAGACUUUCAAUUUUCGACAAAAGACAAAAAAUUAAUCAAUUUAUGGCUUGACUCUCAAAGUGUCCCCAGCGGAGUCUCCAAGCUAUCGAAACCAUUUUUUUGAAAACGGGAAUUGACUUUGUUUGAAAAUGAAAAUUAAAACAGGAGUCGCCACCGAUCUUUAUUAGGUGUGAUUAGAUUACCUUUGCUUUAAUAAAACGUCUUAGUUUACUAAAAAGGUGUUUUUGGUCUACGAAACUCUAGAGAACGGGUUCGGGAGUCGGUUACGUGCGAGGAAGGAUUAGCACCCUCGUCACGCCCAAAAUUGGUACCGAAUUAAUUAGUUAGUGUCUUAAUGUCGAAAAUUGAAAAUCAGGAAUAAAUUUAAGAUACAAUCAAUUUUUAUCAAUGUCGAUUUUUAAAAAAUGCUUGAAUUAGCUCAAAACGAUUGCCAAAGAUUUCCUCAUCUCGAGAUAUCGAAGUAUCACAUCCCAUAAGUUAGGACGCGAUACCAUAAACUCCCGAGCGCAAGUUUAUCUUUAAUUUUAAUUGAAAUUUCAUGUGUUUUGGAACUUAGAAGGAUAUUUGGCCAUUUAGGUUUAACGAGAAAACUGAAACCCCAUAAGUUAGGGCACGAUUCCUUGAAUUUCCUAAAACGCAAAAUAUUGCCUUAUUUAGAAAAUUUUCUUUUUGAAAUAUAGUGAGUAUGAUAUUUAACAACGUACAUUUAUUUUGUUUGAAAUAAAAUAAAGCGAUCUAAGUUGGAUAAAUGUGUUGGGGUUUAAUUCAUGAGGCGAUGAUAUGAAAUAAAAUAUAGUAAUGAGUGUGGACAAUAAUACAUGAAUUCAAUAAUACACAAGCGAAUGACAAUAAUAUGAACAAGAAUAAACAAAUUAAAGAACACACAAUGGCAAUAACCUCACAACAUACAUCAUUUAAAUGCUAGUAUUAAUAAUUAAAGACAAGUGAAUUAAAUAAUACAAUUUAAAAAUAAAUAGUUGAAAGCAAACUAAAAUAAAACAAUUGCAAAAUAAACUUUAAAAUGACAAUGAAUGAAUUUAAAACAAAUAUUGUAACAAAAAAAAAGAAAGUAAAAAUCAACAAUAUACAAAACGAUUUUUUUUAAGAAAGAAUGAUAUAUAUAGAGAGAGAGAGAGAGAAAGAAUUUUAAAAUAGAUAAUAUGUAUAUAUUAAAAUGGUUUGAAAUAAAUAACGUAUAAAUUAUCUAAAUAAAUAAUAUGUAAAAGAAGUUUGAAAUAAAUAAUGUAUAAACCGUUCAAAUAGAAAAAUAUGUAUAUGAAUAAUCCCAAAAUGAAUAAUAUAUAAAAGCUUAAAAUAAGGAGAUAUAUAUAAAUAAUCUCAAAAUAAAUAAGGUGUAAUAUCUUGAAAUAAAUAAUACAUUUAGAAUUCAAAAUGAGUAAUAGUUUAAGUAUAUAUAAUAUGUAAAAAAUGAUUUGAAAUAAAUAAUAUAUAAACUUAAAAUGAAUAAUAAUAGUCUUUUUUUUAAAUGGAAAAAUAAAUAAAAUAAUCAAUUAAACAGACUAAGGAUUAGGCUGAAAUAGAAUUAAAAUUUAAGGUAAAAAUUGUAAAUAAUGAAAAGAAGGCUAUCGAGGACCGAAAUGAAUCACGCUGAAACGACGAGGGACUGGCUAGGAAAUAUUCCUAGCCUUUAUGCGCAUCAUUUCAGCAGGGACUCAAAUAUAAUCAGAAGAAAAUUAUGCGGCCAGAUUUAUAAAAAAAUAAAUAAAGUGAAUGAAGGGACCAAAUUGUGACGCGCACAAAGGCGGAAGGACCUCGCGCAUAAAUAUCCCAAGAAUGGGAAACAGGCGGAUCCUGGUGCCCAUGCGGGUCAGGUUGGAUCGGCCGGUUCUUGAGCAAAACGACGUCGUUUUAGGGCUUCAGAAGGCUACCCUAAACGACGUCGUAUUGGGGGUGCAUAUAAAUACAAAAAAUAAACCCAAAAAUAUCAUUUUAGCCACUUCUUUUUUAAAAAAAGAUUCAAAACUCUCUCAAUUCUCUCUUCUUUUCCCUUCAGCCCUAUGUCCGGCCAAACUUUGGUCGUCGGCCACCGUGGCGGCCGCCUGUCACCGGCGACGGUGCCACCGUCCAUGGUAGCCGGAAAAAUCAAAAGUCCCCUUUUUAAUAUCUUUUUUGAAAAGAACCCAGAUCUGGGGUUUAAAACCCCAAUAUCUAACCGAUGUCCGGCCGUGGACAAAGAAACAGAAAAGUUUUGCCCCUUUUCCGACGAGGUCUCCGACGGUGGCUAGAUACGGAGUAAAAGGUAAAUUUCGACCCCUUUUUAUUUGUUCUUUUGUUUUAUUUAAAAUAACUCAAAUCAAAAAAGUGAAAAAGUAAAAUAAAAACGAAAAAUACAAAAAAUAACCUUCUUUUCGACUUUAAGUUUCUGUUUUCUAUUGAUAUUGUGUCCGAAAAAUUUACAACGAAAUUGUUUUGGCUUUUAUAGCCAAAUUACAAGACUUCUAGUUUUUAAUUUUUUGUCGUUUUGCUAUUGUUUCUUCUACUUGGUUCUUCUGCUUGGCUUCUUGCGUGUUAUUUUUUUCUUGCAGGUAAUAGUGGUGUCAGACGCGUGGAGGUGGCUGACGUGCGGUGCUGGUGGCGCGUGUGAGGGGGCUGACAUGGGAGGAGUGGCUAAGGUUUCUUCAUUUCUUUUUUUCUGCUGAAAAUGUUUUGGGUUAAUGGGGCUAUUAGGCUUUAGGUUAUUUGGGCCUUCAUAAUUUGGGCUGACAAUUCGUAAUGGACUUUGAUAUAAUUUUUUAUUUUGGGUUUUAUUUUCAAAAUUAGGCCAGGUCAAAAUUGGCCUAUUACAGAUAUUUAACAAAGGUUAAUUAGCAAUUAAACCGUUUUAAUUUCAUGUUAGUGCUUAACUAAGUGGAGUGUCAUCAUUUUCCUCUAAGUGAAUAUUAAGUUAAUCUAAUCAUUUGAUUAGUGACUUAAUUAAUUUAAUUAACUUGUUAAUUACCCCUCUUUCUAUAUAUACAUAUAUAUGCUUUGAUAGUGGGAGGGAGAAAAACAUUAAGCUCAUUCUUUCCCCCUUUCACCGUCCCUUAAAGAAAGAAAAACAUAAAAUGAUUUAAUAUAUUUUAAUUAAUAUCUAUAAAAAAAGUGUUAAUUGUAGUAAUAAAAUAUAUUAUAUUCUAAAAAAAAUUUAAGUUUAAAUCUUGAAAAUAAAAUUAUUACACUUCAAAAAAAAUUAAUUUUCAUGAAGGGUGAAAAAACGAUGGACUAUAAUAAAGAAAAAAGGAUAAAUUCUUGUUUGUGUUGUAGGUGUCGAAACCAUCUUUAAAUUAAAAAAAAAAAGAGCGAUCGACUUUGAAAAAGGAAAUACGGAGUCGCCACCAAUCUUUUGUUUCGGUGUGAUUGAAUUACCUUAAAAUAUUUUACUCCAUUUAAACCGAUUUUGGCCUACGUAAAUUUGAGGAAACGGGUUCGGGAGUCGGUUAAGCAUGAGGAAGGAUUAGCACCCUCACUACGCCCAAAAUUGGUACCAAAAUGAUUAAAUACUAUCCUUAUGUCUGAGAUUUAAGAUGUUUUUGAAAUGUGAUUGCUUUAAAAAUAUUUUAAUAGUCCAAGUUGGUCAUCGAAAUUCUCUUGUUUCGGAGGAAUACAGCAUCACAUCCAGCACGAUAGGACACGGUCCUUUAUGCCCUCGAAAACAUGAUAAAUUUCGACUUCCAAAAGUUCAUAUGUUGAAAAUCAAAAAAGGAUGCCCAAUUGUUUAGUCCAACGAAAAACCGAAACCCAGCACAGUAGGGCACGAUUCCUUGCAUUUCUAGACAUCGAACAUUUCAUUCAUUUUAAAGAAUUUUUAAAAACAUGAGUGAAAUUUCAAAGGAAUAUUCGAUUGUUUUGAACGAACGGGAAAUCGCAACCCAGCACGAUAGGGCACGAUUUCCCGAAUUGCCAAACAUCGAACAUUUCCUUCGUUUUUAAGAAUUUUUAAAUGAAUAAUUAUAAAACUAGCUUAAAACGCAAUAAUUUUACUUGAAAUAAGAUGGAAUAAUUAAAUUUAAAGAGUUGGACCUUAUAAUGUAACAUUUCGUAAACCAAAAAGAGCAUGGGAUAAUAUAUGCACACAGGAUACAAUACUUGAUGAAUGAGGAUAAUGUGUCUUAUUUAAUCAACUAACAAAAUAAACAAUUAAAUAUAAUUAACCUAAAAUUAUGACUCAAUUUCAAUCAUGCAUGAAAAAUAAUUGAUAUAGUAAUACAAAAAACGAAAAUAAUAUGCCACAAUAACAUACAUAACCUAAUACAUUACCAUUAAUACAAAAUAUCCAAAAUAAAAUGAUAAUAAAAAGACUAUGGUAUAAGACAAAUUUACAAUAAUGAUGGACACGAUAUAUGCAUUGACGAAUUGAUAAAUUAGAAAAUAUUUGUAAAAACAAACUAAAUAUAUAUAUGCAAUUAUUAGAAAACAUAUUAUAGAAUGAAUAUUUUUAAAAUCAAGAAAUAUACAAAGGGCAAAAAAUGUUUACUGAAAUCUAUACAUGAAAGUUUAAACAAUGCACAGGACAUUCAAGGAAAACAAAAAUACAUUGUAAAAUAUAAUCUUAAGAAAUGCAUGCAAUAGGUUUAUAAAAACAUAUGUAUGUAUUAAUAGAUUUAGAAAUAAUUAUUUAUAAAGAAUACGCACUUUAGUAAGGCAUCUAAGAUUAAAUUAAUCUUAUUAUAAAUUAUACAUUUAUAUAAUAGAUUUAAGAACAUAUUUAUAUACGAAGAAAACUAUAUAUAUAAAAUAACAUGGAUCUAAUGAUAUAUAAACCAAAUAUAUGUGCUAAUAUAUACAUGUACAUGCAUAAUAAUCAUUUAAAUAAUAUGUAAAACAUGUAUGCAAAAUAUAUUAUAAUAACCAAAAUGUAUGUUAAAAUGUAGGAAUAGAUUCAAAAACAUGGAUGAAAUAAAAUAACAUUAAUAAUUUACAUAGAAUUGAAUUAUUUAUUAUACAUAUACCAAUAUACAUGAUGCAUUUGAAGAAGUGUUAUAGAAUGGAUAUUUUAAAUCAAAUAAUAUACGAAGCAAUUCAAAAUAAGUAGUUUAUAAGACGAUUUAAAAUAAUAUAUAAAAUGAUGCAUGAAAAGAAAUUUAGAAUGCAUGACAUACAAAACAAUUUAAAUAUUGGUAGAACAAUUUAGACUAAGUAAUAAAAUUAUUUUUGAAUACAAAAAGAAAGAUUUAAGAUAGACGACAUAUAAAGCUCUUAAAAGUAAAUAAUACAAAUAAUCUUAAAUAAUAUAUAUAGUAAAACAAUUUACAAUAAAUAAUCUGAAAGAAAAAAUGGAGUUAAAAAAAAUUAACGAUUAACUUGCAAUCAAGAUAAAAUAUGAGGUACAAAUUAUGAAAUACAAAAGAUUAAUAAAACAUGAAUCAGGGCCUAAAUGAACUCGCGAAGAAAGACGAGGGACCGAUCACGAAAUUAUUCCAAGGCCACAAGAUGCGUCGUUUCGACACAGGCCAAAAUGAAUCAAAGGCCGAAGUCUUGGGGAAAAAUUAAAAAUACAAAACAGAGGGAAGGGAUCCGAUUGAAGGUAGGAAAAGCGGAGGGACCAGGAGCGUAAAUAACCCCAAAAAUAAUGAAGACACGCGGAUCCCCUGGUUAGCGGGUCGGGUCAUCGGGUUUGGCUUCAAAACGGUGUCAUUUUGAAGCAUUUCGGGACUAGAUGAAACGGUGUCGUUUCUUGGUUACCAUAAGAACCCAAAAUUUUCCUAAACCCUCAUUUGAAGCUCUAAUUCAAAAAAAAAAAAAACUUAAAAAUCCUUCGUUUUUCCGUACUUGGCCGACUCAAGGAGAACACCCCCCCAAUCUGUUGUUCGGUUAGGGAUUCAACCCCAAAAGACUCGCCAUCGUCGGACCACCACUAUAAUCGGUGGUCGUUAACGCGUGAUAGAUCUCCGUUUUAAAUAGGAGGCUCGAUCGACAGAGGCUAAACACGAAGGUAAGUAUUCUCUUUAUUUCUUUCCAUACAUUAAAACAGAACAAAAACCGAAAUAAAGAAGACUUUUGAAUACUCAAAUCGGAAACCACCUCUCAAUUUUGAUAGUCUUUUUCUGUAUUUCAAUAUGCGAAGUGUGCCCCUCUUUUACAUUUUGAUUAUCUUUGGCUUUAUAGCCGAGAAAUGAAAAGAAAAAAAUAAAAUAAAGAAUACAAAUUUCCUUGCUGUCUUUUUGUUGUUAUUUGCUGCUUUCUCUUUUUGUUUAUUAGUCUAUUGCAGGUGUGCGUGGCGCGUGGAGGUGUACGGCGUACGGAGGCUGCUGGUGGCGCAGCUACUACGGCGUUAAAGUUUCAGAAACCCUAGGGUUUCUGAUUUGGGUUUAAGUUUUUGGGCCUGUUAGGCUUGUUCUUUUGGUUGGGCCACAGGUCUUUGGACUGUGAAAUUGGACUAUUUAUUGGGUUUUUAUUUUUAUUUUUUAUUUUUGGUUUGUUUGUUGUUUAGUGGGCCUGGGCGGAUUUGGCCCAUUACAACAGGUAUGAAAAGAUUUUUAAUUUAUAUGGCUACAGUGGAACUUGAAUGCACCUUAUAUAUACUACCACCCCCUACACAUGCAAAGCAUCUCUGCCUCGUACUAGUAAAAAGAUCCCGUUCCAAAGCCAUUUCCAGCUAGCCAUCCAAACUAGUUCACCAAACGAUGGCUUCUAAAUCAGGAAUUCUCACUGAUUGGCCAUGGAAGCCUCUUGGAAGCUUUAAGGUAAGAUGAUCUCCUUCCUUCACUUUUUUAUUAUUCUAAACCAGGGAUUCUCCCAUGCGCUUAUACAUUGUGUUGUUGGAUGGAUAUAUUUACAGUACAUAAUCCCGGCUCCUUGGAUUACGGAGAGAAUAUACUCGAUUAUAGUUAAAUAUGCAAAGCAAUGGAUGUUUCCAACCUUGCGAUACUCCCACUUAUGUUAUGGAGAAUGAUGCACAGCCAGCUUUGGAUUAGCCUUUGUUGUUAUCGAACUGCCAAAGGCACCAACAGGAUUGUGGACAAGGGUAUCGAAUUUGACCAAAUUGACAGGAAAAGGAACUGGUAAUAUGAGUUACAUCUGAGUUACAUUUUCUUCUGAAAAUUAAUUAAUUUUAAAAGUGGGUAUUAAUAUUUAUUAACCAUGAACAUUGCAGGGAUGAUCAAAUAUUGUUCAAUGCAGUCCUGUUUUACUUGGUAAACAAUUACUUUCCAUGAGGUUCUCACUCACCCGUAUGGAAAUAGGAUGGUGUGAUUAUAACCAUGUUGCUCCAUGCCGGCCCUGUGGAGUUCCUUUACUACUGGUUGCAUAGAGCUCUGCACCAUCAUUAUCUUUACUCCAGCUACCAUUCUCAUCACCAUUCUUCCAUUGUCACUGAGCCUAUUACUUGUAAGCACCUCCGCCUUUGCUCACUGAAUCCACUUCGCAAACUUAAUUAUUCGUUAAAAUGAUAUUAUAUAAAAUAUUUUUCAUUGUUUCGUAAAUUUUAUUCAAAUAAAUUUUUAAAAGAUAUUUUCAAAAGCAACAUAAACUAUAUUAGUUAUAAAUUUGACAACUGAAAUUUAUCUUAUAAUAACUAUAUUAUUUUAAUAAACAUAAUAAUAAUAAUAAUCAAUCUCUAAUUAAAACUUAAAUGCAUAGUGACACAUUUGAGCUAAAAGGGAUAACUAAAUAUUCAUAUUUAUACUAUUAAAAUAUUAAUAUUUUGCAUUAUAAAAUAUUUAUUGCUAAAUGUUUUUAAAUUAUAAAUUAUAUUUAUUAUUAAAAUAUUAAUAUAAAAUAUUUUCAAGAAUAUUAUUAAAAAAUUUAAUUUCUUAUUAGGAAGAAUAUUUGAUGCACUGUCGGUACAUAAGUCUUAUGUAUCAGAAGUGAAUAAUAACAUGAUACAUCAUCAUCAAAUAAAAUAAAAAAAAUAGUAGAAGACUUAUAAAUAAAUACUAAAAACUUUAUUUAAACAUAAUUAAAUAAAUAUUAAAACACUAAUUAUGAGAUCCUAAAUAUGAGAGUUAUUAAUAUUUACUUAUAAUAGUUAAAUUUAAUGCUUAAUUAAGUUUAAAUGAAAUUAUCGAUAUUUAUUUACAAGUCUUCCAUUUUUUUGUUUAAUUUAAUGAUGAUGACAUGUUAUUAUUCAUUGAUAAUAUAUGAGAGUUAUGUGUAUCAAAUAUUAUUCUUUAUUAUUAUUAAUAUUAAAACUUAUUAAGAAAAUAAGAUUGUAAUAUUAAAUAAUUUUAUUAAAGUAAUAAAUUAUAUUAAUAAGGCAUUUUUCAUUCUCCAAACUACUUUACAAACAUAAAAAAGAAGAACAAACACACCCGUAAAUAUGAUGUCGGUACUGCUGGGACACCCUCAAACCGUGACUAUAUCAACUCUUUCUACGUUCUAAGAUGAGAUCAAGAAUACAUAAAGAUAUAAAUAAUAUAGAAUUUGUUAAGAAAAGUAGGAAAUAAUUGAAGAGUGUGCGUGUUGCAGCUGUGAUACAUCCAUUUGCAAAGCACAUAGCAUACUAUGCCCUGUUCUCAAUACCAGUGUUGACAACGAUGCUAACUGGAACUGGAUCCAUGAUCUCCUUUGCUGGCUACGUCACUUACGUCGACUCCAUGAACAACAUAUGGGGCAUUGCUCGAACUCAUUCCCAACUGAGUCUUCUCUAUUUUCCCCCCUCUCAAGUCCCUCAUGUACACUCCAUCGUAAGUCCUCUCUCUUAAUGAAAACUAUACAAGCACGUAAUGUGGAAUUAAUGGAAAUAAAAAAGCAAUUGACCAAAUUCUCCCAACGGCUUUCAUUCUUAAGCCUUAGUUAACCAAGUUUGACUGACAUGACAAGAUAAUGAGAAUAAUGUAGACAUUUUAUGUUAGGAUUAAUCUAGUUUUUGGACCCCAAAGGUUUUACAUCCCGCAUCAAUAUUUUCUUAAUCCAGGUUAGUAUUUAAAUUUAACAAUUAUUCUUACGUUUGGGUUUGAAUUAGAGAAUUGUUUUUACAUUUGGAUCUGAUUUUUUUUUCAUUCUUGAAUUUAGUAAUUGUUGUCAUAUUAGUUGAACAUUUUUUAUAAAACUAUUUUUGGAUUAAUGCACACUUUAGCCCUUGAAAUAUACUGUUUUCCCCACUUUAGUUUUUAAAGUGUUUUUGGUCCAUUUCAAUCCCUAAUUUUAUCAAAUGUUCUCAUUGUAGUCCUUUAAACAUUAAAAACUAAGAACUAGUAUAUUCAGUAAAUCAUACACUUUAAUAUUAAUUUUUUAAAUUUAAAAAAAACAAUUUACUAAAUUUUAUAAUUUUUUUUUCUAAUUUUGAUUUUUUUUAAAUUUUUUGUAAUUUUUAUAGAUUUUAAGGCUUUUUCAAAUGAUAACAUCAUUGUGAUGUCAUUAUAUGAUAUGUGGCAACAUAUGAUUGGUUGGUCGAUUUUUUUAAAGUCCAAUGGACCAAACUGAGAAUGUCUUAUAAUGUUACGGACUAAACUGGGAACGUCUGGUAACAUUAAGGAUUGAAGUGGACCAAAAAUUUUUUUUAAGAACCAAUGUGGAAAAAGCGGUAUACUUCAUAGACUAAAGUGAGCAUUAAGCUUUUUUCUUCAAGGAAAUAUUAUGGACUAACUUGGUAAAAAAAUUUAAAGUCUCAAUACAAAAACAAUUAUUAAGUUUAAAAAUAAUUGUCUAAUUAAAAAACUAACUUCGACCAAAAUUAAAGUUUAUACUCUGAUAAGAAAAUAUUUUUCAAAUUUAAAUCUCAAAUAAUACAUUAACCUUUUUACGUUGUUGAUUAAAUUACCGGAGCAGGAUUGCAGGAGACAAUUAUCUUACAUGUAAUUUUUCAUUUAAAUUUUGUUAAGAUGUUUAAAUUCUUAAAAAGGUAAAUUGUUUUUUAAUUCAAAAUUUUAUAUUAACCUUUUAUCAUUUAAUAAAUAAAUAUUUUUUUUAGAAAUUUGAUUAUGUAAUUUAAUUGAAACUAAUAUAUGCUGAUAUGAUAAUGUUUCAUGUAAUCCUUUAUGAUAAUUCGUUUCCCUUCUUUCUUGAUAAUAGCACUGAUUGCUAUAGAUGCAGUUACAUCAUUAAAUCCAUAGCAUGUAGCAAAGCAUGCAUAAUAUAACAGUAUUUAAGUGUCUACUUAGUACUUGUGAUAUGACGGACAUAAAUAAUGUUAAAUUUUGUUUGAUUAUUCGGGCAGGUUUCACUCACUACACCGCAUGUAGUUCAGAACUAACUAUUCACUAUUUAUACUAAUCUACAAUUACAUGUAUAGUACAGUGGAUAAAAAUCGGACACCUUGUAUGAAAAUUUUGUCAAAAGAAAAGAGGAAUCGCCCAACGUGGUGCAUCUAACGCACCUAACAACACCUGAGUCAAUCUAUCAUCUCCGCCUUGGAUUUGCCUACUUGGCCUCUAAGCCAUACUCAUCAGUUUGGUACUUGUGGUUGCUCAGGCCUGUUACAUUAUGGUCCAUGGUGCUUACCAAGAUUUAUCGUCGAACUUUUGUUGUUGAAAGGAACCGCUUCGAUCCGGUCAGAUUACAGACAUGGGCUAUACCCAAGUACAGGGUACAGGUAUGGAAGCUUUAUUAGUGCUGUUGCUAGUAGGUGCAGCUGCAAAUACAAAACAUGUAUAUGUAUGGUGUUGGAGAUUUUAAACUUGAACAAGCAAUGUUCAGCAAAAGCUUGAGCAGCUAGGCUCGAUACUUGCUGAAGAAACAAGCAAGAAAAAUGAACAAAAUUUUAAAGCUAAAGCAAAGAAAGAAAAAAAUGGAGAGAGUGAAUGUGUAUGAAAUCUGAUGAUUUUCAUUCAUAUAUCAACUUUAGCAUAAAGCCAUUACAUAUAUCAAACAUAAGCCAAACACUUACAAGCAAAUUUUACCUAAACUGUCACCUAACACCACUAUAACUUAUUGAAACUUGAUAAAAUAACUUGUUCAACAAAGCAAAGCUGAUUUUUCAGCUCAAUCACUACCUAAUUACAUCAAUCAUCAAACUAACAUAGUUCAAAAUGAAAAAGAUUACAUUACACCAACAAAAUGAAUAAAAAAGAACUAAAUGAUAGCAGGUGCACUUGGUUCUGCUGCUCAAGCAUGACUGGUGCGCUUGGUUUGCUUCUUAGUCCUGCAUGCUGACCAACCUUCAUCACUCCUCCUUGGUUAACAUGUUGCAAACUCCCAAUUUAGUCCUCAAAUGAAGAAAUUGUGUCACACCAAGAGGUUUUGUAAAAAUGUCAGCAAGUUUCUCCUCUGAACUGCAAUGAAUCAGUUUCACCUCAUGUGCUUGCUCCAUUUCUCUCACCACAUAAAGCUUAAUGCUGAAAUGCUUUGUCCUGCCAUGAAAAAUUGGAUUCUUUGCAAUUGCAACAGCAGAUUGGUUGUCACAAUAGAUCUCCGUUGCUCCCUCCUGGUGUAAAUUUAAAUCUGUUAAGAUUUUUCUCAACCAUAUAGCUUGAUUCACAGCCCCAGCAGCUGCUACAUAUUCAGCUUCAGCAGUUGACUGUGCAAUUACAUUUUGCUUCUUCGAACUCCAACAAAAGAUAGUCAAGCCAAGGGUGAAGGCAAUACCAUGAAGUGCUCUUCAUGUCAUCAUUUGAGCCUGCCCAGUCACUAUCAGUAUACCCAACUAGCUUCAGCCUUUCAGUCUUGCUAUGCAACAAGCCAUAACUCAAGGUACCUUACCUGACCACCCUUUUUUCUGCCCGAAAAUGCUCUUCAUUGCAACAAUGCAUAAACCUUGAGAGUAGACUCACUGCAAGCAUUAUAUCUGGUCUAGUGGCUGUUAAGUAAAGCAAGCAUCCAACUAGACUUCUAUAGGUUGUUUCACAAACCUUUUCUGAGUUGCUUUGGCUUGUUAAUUUUUCCCCAACAGUAACUAGAGUAUUUGUUGCUUUACAGUUCUACAUUGAGAACUUGUUCAAAAUCUUCAUAGAAAAAGUUCUUUGACUUAGAAAGAAUCAUUCCUCUGAUUGUACCACUUCUAUGCCUAGAAAAUAGGUCAUUCUUCCAAGAUCAGACAUCUCAAAAAUUUGUUGCAUUUUAGUUUUGAAAUCAGCAAGUAUUGUUUGAUCUCCUCCUAUAACCAGCAAGUCAUCCACAUACACAGAUACAAUAAGCUGUGUUUCAUUAUUUUACUUCUUGAUAUAUAAAGUAGGUUCACUAAAGCUUCUUUGAAAUCCCAAACUUAGCAGGUAGCUGUCAAUUCUGCUAUACCUGGCCCUUGGUGCUUGUUUCAAGCUAUACAAGGCUUGCUUUAGCCUGUAGACCAUAUCUUCCUUGUCUGGCACUUUGAAACCUUGAGGUUGCUCCACAUAUAUUUCUUCUUCUAGAAAGCUAUUGAGAAAUGCUGACUUCACAUCAAGCUGGUGGAUUUUCCACUCUAUUUGAGCUGCUAAGGCAACCAGCAGCCUGAUGGUGUCUAGCCUAGCCACUGGUGCAAAGGUUUCCAAGUAGUCCAGGUCAUACUUUUGGCUAAAACCUUUCAUAACUAGCAUGGCCUUCAACUUUUUCAAACUCCCAUCUGCGUUGUGCUUGCCUCUAUAGACCCAUUUCACCCUAAUGAUCUUCCUAUUGCCUGGUCUUGCAACUAACUCCCAAGUUUGGUUCUUCUCAAUCAUAGCAAUCUCAUCAGACAUAGUUUGUUUCCAGCCUUGAUGUGCUUCAGCCUCUUCAAAACUGCUUGGUUCAGCUAUUCCUACUUGAGCCCUUUCAUAAGCUUCAGCCAAUGGUCUUCUGCCCUUGACUGGUUCAUCAUUAAUGUCCAUUUCUGGACCAUUUUGACCAGGGUCAGUCUGUUCAACCACAAAUUCUUCAGAAACUGUCUUUGGCUCAUUUUUAUCCCAAUUCCAGCUUGCUUUCUCAUUGAACACUACAUCUCUGCUAACUAGCACUUUGUUUGUUGAAGAUUCAAGGAUAAUAUAGCCUUUUUUUUACCAGAAUACCAGGUUGAGCUCUUUUGGAAAAUUUGUCCCUUUUCACAGCUAGGACAUGUGUAUAACAUAUGCAUCCAAAGACUUUCAAAUGAGCCAAUGAUGGCUUGAACCCGAACCAGACUUCAAAAGGUGUUUUGUGAGUCAAGGCCUUGGUUGGGAGUUUGUUUUGAAUGUAGACUACUGUGUUGAUUGCCUCAGCCCACAAAUUUUUAGGCAGAUUCUUCUCAAACAUCAAACAUCUAGCCAUAUCCAUCAAGCUCCUAUUCUUUCUUUCACUUACACCAUUCUAUUGAGGUGUGUAAGUGUUAGUGACCUGAUGUUUGGUUCCUGCUUCAUCACAAAAGGCUUGAAACUGAGCUGAGGUGUACUCAGUUCCAUUAUCAGACAUUAGAGUUUUAAGCUUGCAGCCUGUCUCAGUUUCAGCAAUAGCCUUGAACUUCCAAAAUACUGAAGCUACCUCAGAUUUUUACUUCAGGAAGUAAAUCCAACAAAAUCUUGAGUAAUCAUCAAUAAAUAAGAUGAAAUACCUGCUUCCAUUUAAUGAUUCAGUCUUCAUAGGGCCACACACAUUAGUGUGCACAAGCUGAAGUUUUUUUAAGGCUCUCUAGGCCUUGUUUAAAGGAAAUGGCAGCUUGACCUGUUUUCCUAACUAACACACUUCACAGAUGUUACACCCCUUACCUAUAUUCGUUAUUAGGAUAGAGUUUGAGGUAUUACCGGAACUUUACAUUUAAAACAUACUGAAUUGACUCACCAGGUUUAGCUCAGAUCUGAAACUUUCAGGCAUUCACAUCUUGGCACUUAAAUGGUCCUUCAAGGCCCUAAAUAUACAUAGAGAUAGUUUGGGAUAGAACCGGGAACAUUUAAUAACUUUAGAAAAUUUCCUUAUUUAGAGGUGUCACACGCCCGUGUAUGAUGGGCCGUGUGGUCACCCACGCCCAUGUGGCCUAAGGCUUGUCCAUUCUUUUAACUCGUGGGCAACACUAACAUUUAGGCACAACCAAGACACACGCCCGUGGGCUCACCCUGUGUCCAAAACUUGAGCAUUUUGUUAAAUUAACACGACUCAGACACACGCCCGUGUGUCCUACCCGUGUGCCAAAUUGAUUUAAAGUUUUAGGUGCAGGGGACACACGGCCAUACCACAUGCACAUGGGGAUGAACCGUGUGUCACAGACGGCCUAGACACACGCCCUUGUGUCUAACCAUGUGGACCUUAAUAGGCUAUUUUCCAAGCCUUUCUCACCCCUUUUUACUACUUGUGCUUAGUAGCUACCAAGUUUGAGAGAAAACAUAAUUUUACAUUAUUAAAUAAUCUUAAUGAAAAUGGUUGUAUGAAAACCUCAUAUCAUUGGUUUCAUACAUAAAUGGUUAUUUCCCCUUUAAUGUUAUGGGUUCCCAUGUUGCUUUAAUUCGUCCAAAAUUGGCUCCUUCAUGCGACUCAUUGCCAAUUGGUAACGACUCAUCAUAUAAGAACAUAAACAUGCAUAUAAAGGUAGGUCAUGGCUUACUUCCAAGAAUGCUAAUUUCCAUGGCCUUCUACAAAAAAAGAUGAAUACAUCUUUACAUGCCUUCAUUUAGCAAUUCAAAUAACACAUAUGAUAAAAUACUCAAAGCCCUAUACAUGCCAUUAACAAAAUAGAAGUGUCUUUAUACCAAAGCUUGACUAGUUGAUAGUGUGUUGCUUCUCCAACCGUUUUCCAAUCCUCAUGAGUCCUCGAGCUCUGUAAAACAGGGAAAAGAGAGGGGUUAAGCAUUUUCAUGCUUAGUAAGCUCGAAUAACCGGAAAGUAAACUUACCGAGUAAUUAGCAUACAUCCAUACUUAAAUCAUGAAAUUAUCCAUUAUGAAAUAAUUUCCUAUCAUUUGCACUUAAUCAAUGAGUUAGUCACAUAAUCAUGUUUCAAGUAAUUUAACUAGAUGAGCUCAUCAUUCAACAUUUCAUUCAUAUAUGUAUACCAUGUUAAUCUCGUUGAAUUUCUAGAAAAUCUUGAUGGAAUACCCAUUAUCCGCCAAUUCAUACGAACGACCAUUUCAUGCUUAGUAAGCUCGAAUAACUGGAAAGUAAACUUACCGAGUAAUUAGCAUACAUCCAUACUUAAAUCAUGAAAUUAUCCAUUAUGAAAUAAUUUCCUAUCAUUUGCACUUAAUCAAUGAGUUAGUCACAUAAUCAUGUUUCUAAGUAAUUUAACUAGAUGAGCUCAUCAUUCAACAUUUCAUUCAUAUAUGUAUACCACGUUAAUCUCGUUGAGUUUCUAGAAAAUCUCGAUGGAAUACCCAUUAUCCGCCAAUUCAUACGAACGACCAUUUCAUAUAUACACUCCCGCGAACCUCACAUCAUAUGGCAAGAUUACCAGUCCAGGCUAAAUCCCCCAUUAUUGAACUCAUGAGGUGUUGUCGGGAUUACCAGUCCAGACUAAAUCCCUUAUAACGAAAAACACCCUUAAUGAGUUCGGAUCUGAAUUAUCAGUCCAGGAUAAUUUCAGAUCCUGGUCGGAUUACCCGUCUGGGCUGAAUCCAUCAUGCACACAUAUUCUUCAGGAGGCUUGAUCAUUCAAGGAACACCAGUCUAGGUUAGAUUCCUUUUCAUACGAGAGAUCUCGGAUUACCCGUCUAGACUAAACCGUUACUCCAACACAUGCAGGAUCUCAGUUCACAUGUCAAUGAGGGUUUAUCCAUCGAAUUCCCUUUGUCAACCUCAACCGAGAUAUUUUUCAUAUGUUAUCGUUAAUAUACAUUGAUAUUUCAUUCCAAUAAUAAAUGCAAUCAUCAAGCAUUCAUAAAUCAUACAAUUAUGCAUAUUAAUGGUUUACUUUAAGUUAUCCGAACCUACCUGGUAUCCGUUUCAGAGUUAUGUUUCGAUUAUUCCGAAACCUUGUAUUUACCAUGAUCGACCUUCGAAAUUUGUUCCUUGGGGCAUAUAUCAACAAAAUUAACUCAUUAAUACACUAUAUUAUGCAUUUCAAGUUUAAUAUCUACCCCCGGUCCAAAUGAUCGUUUUGCUCCUAACCUUUGACAUUUUUACGAUUUAGUCCCUAAGCUCGUAUAAUGGAACAUAUGCACUUUCUAUCUUAACCAAACCUAGUCGAACACUUUUCUUUCUUAUGGUAGCCCACAUUAUCCAUUAUUUACUCAUUUCUACCAUACAUUUACAUCUUUUUCAAAAUAGUCCCUAUAAGGGUUUUUCAUGAAAAUCAACUAGGAAAAGAUGUUUAAUACACAUUCAUCUUUCAUAUUCCUCCAUAAUCCAUCAAAAUACAAGCAACUCAUGCAUGGGUAAAUUUUUAAACAUGAACCCUAGCAUGAAAUAUGGGUAGAAAUGGAGAGAGCAAGCUACCGGGAUUUCGAAAAUACAAAGAGCAUGAAAAACGGGGCUUGAGAGCACUUACUAUUAAGCUUGAAAAUGUUGAAAACCCUAGUUAUGGUGUCUCUUCAAUUUUUAGUAGCCAUGGAGAAGAAAAUGGCUGAUUUUGGCUUGAUUUUUCCCAUUUUAAUUUAUUAAAAUGACAAAUGACCAAAAUGCCUUUAUGCCAUUUCUUUAAAAUUUCAUCCAUGCAAGCCCAUUUUUGUUCAAAAAUUUAGAAUUUGGGAAAAUUGCUCUCUAAGACCUUCUAAUUCAUAACCUAAGGUAAUUUCAUACAAAUUGCUUCUAGAAUCCAAGUUUUGCAAAUUAUUCAAUUUAGUCUCUAAUUUCCAAUUGGACACCUUAUACAUAGAAUUUCUUCAUGAAACUUUAACACAUGCAUAUACUCAUAUUAUAGGCCUUAUAAUAAUCAUAAAAUAAAUAUUUUGAUGUCGGAUUUGUGGUCCCAAAAUCACUAUUUCGACUAGGCCCUAUUUCGGGAUGUUACAUUUCUCCCCCCUUUAGGGACUUUCGUCCUCGAAAGUCUUACUAGAAAACAUAUUUGGAUGCCUACUUCUCAUGGUUUCUUCUGACUCCCAUGUAGCUUCUUCUACACCAUGUCGAUGCCACAGAACUUUUAUAAGAGCCACAUCUUUAUUUCUCAACUGGUUAACUUCGCGAGCCAAUAUCUUAAUUGAUUCCUCUCCAUAGGUCAUGUCCGGUCGAAUUUCAAUCUCCGUUGGUGAAAUUACAUUAGAGGGGUCUAAUCGGUAUCUCCUUAACAUGGAUACAUGGAACACGUCAUAAAUCUUUUCCAAUUCGGGUGGCAACGUCAAACGAUAGGCUAACGGUCCAACUCUUUUAGUGAUCUCGUACUGUCCGAUAAAUCGUGGACUCUGUUUACCUUUCCGACCAAAUCUCAAUACCUUUUUCCAUGGAGAUACUUUCAAGAAUACUCUAUCUCCAACUUGAAACUCAAUUUCCUUUCUUUUCAGGUCAGCAUAAUACUUUUUCCUAUUUGAUGCCACUUUUAAACAAUCCCGUAUCACUUUAACUUUUUCUUCAGUUUCUUUAAUCAGAUCAACUCCAUGAAUCCAAUUUUCCUUAAGUUCUGUCCAGUACAAUGGAGUUCAGCACUUCCUGCCAUACAAGGCCUCAUAAGGCGCCGUUUUCAAACUUGUUUGGAAACUAUUGUUGUAGGCAAAUUCUACCAAUGGCAGGAAUUUUUCCCAGCUACCCUGAAAUUCGAGGAUGCAACAACGCAACAUGUCCUCGAGAUUCUGAAUCAUCUGCUUGGACUGGCCAUUGUCUGAGGGUGAAAAGCUGUGCUAAAGCUCAACUUUGUACCCAAGGCUUCUUGUAACUUCUUCCAGAAUCUCGAAGUGAACCUCAGGUCUCUAUCCAUAAUAAUCGACAGUGAUACUCCGUGCAAUCUUACUAUCUCAGAAAUUUACAAAUCGGCCAAUCUAUCAAGAGAAUAAUCCGUCCUUACCGGAAUGAAAUGAGCCGACUUUGUCAACUUAUCCACUAUAACCCAUAUGGUAUCUUUCUUUUUCGGAGUCAUAAGUAGUCCUGUCACGAAGUCCUUGGUAACUCAGUCCCACUUCCAUUCGGGGACCAAUACAGGCUGUAACAAACCUGAAGGCACUUGAUGUUCAGCUUUAACUUGCUGACAUACCAGACAUUUCGAUACAAAUUCAGAAACAUUUCUUUUCAUGUUGCUCCAUCAGUACAUCUUCUUUAAAUCGUUGUACAUCUUAGUACUUCUCGGGUGAACAGACAAACGACUGUACUGGGAUUCUUACAAAAUCUUCCGAAUAAGUUCAUUGUCUUUGGGUACACAAACCCUUUCUCUAAACAUUAAACAUCCAUCAGGACUAAUUCGAAAAUCUGACUCAACACCAGACUCACAUUGAGCCUUUUUUGCUUGCAAGUCAUCAUCAUUAAGUUGAGCAUCAUGAAUUUCCUACAGAAAUGUCGGCCUAGCCUCCAGCUCGGCCAAAAUUGAACCAUCAUUAAGCAAUGUCAAACGAGCAUCCAUAGCUCUCAAAGCAUACAAGGAUUUCCUACUCAAUGUAUCGGCGACUACAUUCGCCUUUGUCGGGUGAUAGUUGAUAAUCAAAUCAUAAUCCUUAAUUAAUUCUAACCAUCUCCAUUGUCUUAAAUUUAAUUCCUUCUAAGUCAUCAAGUAUUUCAAACUCUUGUGGCCCGUGAAUAUAGGCAAGUCUCGACAUACAGAUAAUGCCUCCAAAUUUUUAAGGCAAAAACAAUAGCGGCAAGCUCUAGGUCGUAAGUUGGAUAAUUCUUCUCGUAAGGCUUCGAUUGCCGUGAAGCAUAGGCUAUCACCUUGCCAUCUUUCAUAAGUGUACAACCCAAUCCGUUUAAGGAUGCAUCACUGUAGACCACAAAUUCUUUUCCCAGUUCGGGUAGUACUAAAACAGAAGCUUCAGUCAACAAUGUUUUUAAUUUCUCAAAAAUUUGCUGACACUUCUCUGUCCAUUCAAACUUAACGUCUUUCUAUAGCAACUUUGUCAUCGGAGUCGCUAUCAUGGAAAAUCUUUUUACAAACCUUCGAUAGUAACUGGCUAAGCCUAAAAAGCUUCUAACCUCGGUUACAUUUUUAGGCGAUCUCCAUUUGACAAUUGCAGAAAUCUUACUUGGAUCAACUCGGAUGCAUUCACCCGAAACUAUAUGACCCAAAAAUCCAACUUCCUAGAGCUAAAACUCACUCUUGCUAAACUUAGCAUACAGUUGCUUUUCCCGCAAGGUCUGCAACACAAUUUUCAAGUGCUUCGCAUGCUCUGUCUUAUCUUUAGAGUAGAUCAAAAUGUCGUAAAUAAACACAACGACAAAAUUAUACAAAUAUGGCUGAAAGAUCCUAUUCAUUAGAUCCAUAAACACAGCCGGUGCAUUCGACUGCCGAAACAGCAUGACAAGAAAUUCAUAAUGGCCAUAUCUCGUUCUGAAAGUUGUUUUGGGUACAUCCGAGUCUUUAAUUCGCAGUUGAUAAUAGCCAGACCUCAAGUCUAUCUUGGAGAAUACGGUGGCUCCUCUCAACUGGUCAAACAAAUCAUUGAUCAUUGGCAAAGGAUACUUAUUCUUAAUAGUUACCUUAUUCAAUUGCCGAUAAUCGAUACAUAGCCUCAUCGAACCAUCUUUCUUCUUUGCGAACAACACAGGGGAACCCUAAGGUAAAAAACUUGGCCUAACGAAUCCUUUAUCCGUUAGCUCUUACAACUGUGCUUUUAACUCCUUCAGCUUUGUAGGUGCCAUUCUGUACAGGGCAACAGAAAUGGGAGUUGUCCCUGGCACCAAUUCAAUACCAAACUCUAUCUCUCUUUCUGGAGGUAAUCUGGGUAACUCCUCCGGAAACACAUCUGGGUACCCACAUACUAUCGACACGGACUCAAUCUUUAGCUCUGUUUCUUUAGUGUUCAGUACAAUUGCAAGGUAAGCUUCAUAUCUUUUCCUUAUAUAUCUCUGGGCAACCAUUGCCGUGAUUACAAUCGGCGGCGAAUCCAAUUCUCUUGAUUCAACUUGUAGAAUCUUACCAUCCAGGCAUCUUAACUUAAUAUACUUACUACCAUAAUUCACAGUUACAUCAUUAAGGGCUAACCAAUCCAUACCAAGUAUUACAUCAAAUUCAUCAAAUGGUAACAACAUAGGGUUAGCCGGGAAACAAUAACCUUGAGUCGUCAAAGGACAAUUCUUACAGACUCUAUCAACUAGGACUGAUCUGCCUAGUGGGUUCGACACUCUAAUGAUGAAUUUUGUAGGUUCAACAGAUAUAUUCAUACUAGACGCCAAUCUCAUACAGAUAUAUGAAUGCGUUGACCCUGGGUCAAUUAAAGCAACAACACUUGUAUUAAAAAGAGAGAAAGUACCCGUAAUAACAUCAGGAGCAGAGGCUUCCUCUCGAGCACGUAUCGCGUACGUUCUUACCGGGGCUCGAACCUCUAAUUUUGCAGUGUCUUUCGUCACAACUCGACUGCCACUAACACUUAUAGGGUAUUUUGGAGGUCUACCUCGUGGUAUAGGAGCAUUCGACUUCAGAACUAAUUCCUCAUCUUUUUUAGCUCGUUUCGGGCAGUCUCUGAGAAAAUGAUCAAGAGAACCACAUCUGAAACAUGCGUUGCUUUUCAUUCAACACUCUCCGAAGUGAAAUUUGUUGCAGCUCUUACACUUCGGUUUUUGAUCAUCUACACUCUGAGGAAGACUUUUGACCUCGUCACUUAGAGCUUCUUGAUCUACCCAAAUAUCCCACUGACGAAGUGGAACGAUCAUGCAGGCUCCUGACUUUCUUCGUGGAGAACGUGAGUGUUUUAUAGCUAGAUCUCUUGCUCGCAACUCGAGCCUCUUUUUUAGCUUGUUUUCUUUCAUUAUUAAGUUCUUCGGCCUUUUUGGCUCGAUCGGCCAAUACGACAAACUCUCAUAUUUCCAAGAUCCCAAUCAAUAAUUUGAUGUCCUCAUUCAGGCCUCCCUCAAAGUGUUUACACAUUUCCAAUUUAGUUUGGACCCAUUCAGUUGCGUACUGACUUAGUCGUACGAACUCUCUCUUGUAUUCUGCUAUAGUCUUGUUACCUUGUUUGAGUUCCAGGAAUUCCUUUCGCUUCGAGUCCAAAAACCGUUGACUAAUGUAUUUCUUCCUAAACUCUGCUUGGAAGAAAUCUCAAGUAAUAUUUUCUUUCGGCACUACCGAGGAUACAGUCUUCCACCAAUUGUAUACAGUGUCCUUCAAAAGGGACACAGCACACUUCAAACAUUCCUCAGCUGUGCAUGACAAAUCAUCUAGCACCCGUAUAGUAUUUUCGAGCCAAAACUCCGCUCUUUCAGCGUCAUCAUCAACUUUCGCUCUGAAUUCCUCAACCCCAUACUUUCUAAGCUUAUCUACAAGGGCUUUUUCAAUUCUCACUGAUGCCAUACCUCGUGGCACAUCCUCAUCAAGUUGGUUAGGGGGUGGAGGAGGUCUCAGUAUAUUGGGGUGAUUUCUUAGAUAAUCCCCAAACCAUUCAUCCAUCAAAUCAAAGAAGGCAGCUCGGGCCUCUUCUCGGCCUUCUGACAUUAGUCUUCUACUACUACUAGAUACAGCUUGUUGUGCGGAAGCUGGAGCAUGGCUCUCGGCUCCCUCGGACUCAUCUUGUGCUUGAUUGGUAGACAUUUACUAUAUUCAAAACAAUUUAAACAAUUAGGAGACGACACACUAUCAACAUUCAAAUAAUGGCAUGUAUAGCGAACUUUAACAUCCUCUACGGUAGUCCUAGAACUGACUAAACCGUAGCUUUGAGACCAAUAAAUGUAAUACCUCUUAUAUGUAUCCAUUAUCAGGAUAGGGUUUGAGGUAUUACCGGAACUUUACAUUUAAAACAUACUGAAUUGACUCACCAGGUUUAGCUCAGAUCUAAAACUUUCAACCAUUCACAUCUUGGCAUUAAAUGGGCCUUCAAGGUCCUAAAUAUACAUAGAGGUAGUUCGGGAUAGAACCGGGAACAUUUAAUAACUUUAGAAAAUUUCCUUAUUUAGAGGUGUCACACGCCAGUGUAUGAUGGGCCGUAUGGUCACCCACGCCUGUGUGGCCUAGGGCAUAUUCAUUCAUUUAACCCGUGGGCAACACUAACAUUUAGGCACAGCCAAGACACACGCCUAUGGGCUCACCCUGUGUUCAAAACUUGAGCAUUCUGUUAAAUUAACACGGCCCAGGCACACACCCGUGUGUCCUACCCGUGUGCCAAUUUGACUUAAAGUUUUAGGUGCAGGGGACACACGACCAUGCCACACACCCAUGGGGAUGAACCGUGUGUCACACACGGCCUAGACACACGCCCAUGUGUCUAACCAUGUGGCCCUUAAUAGGCUAUUUUCCAAGCCUUUAGUCACCCAUUUUUACUACUUGUGCUUAGUAGCUACCAAGUUUGAGAGAAAACAUAAUUUUACAUUAUUAAUAAUCGUAAUGAAAAUGGUUGUAUGAAAACCUCAUAUCAUUGGUUUCAUACAUAAAUGGUUAUUUCCCCUUUAAUGUUAUGGGUUCCCAUGUUGCUUUAAUUCGUCCGAAAUUGGCUCCUUCAUGCGACUCAUUGCCAAUUCGUAACGACCCAUCAUAUAAGAACAUAAACAUGCAUAUAAAGGUAGGCCAUGGCCUACUUCCAAGUAUGCCAAUUUCCAUGGCCUUCUACAAAAAAAAAAGAUGAAUACAUCUUUACAUGCCUUUAUUUGGUAACUCAAAUGACACAUAUGACAAAAUACUCAAAGCCUUAUACAUGCCAUUAACAAAAUAGAAAUGUCUUUAUACCAAAGCUUGACUAGUUGAUAGUGUGUUUCUUCUCCAACCGUUUUCCAAUCCUCAUGAGUCCUCGAGCUCUAUAAAACAGGGAAAAGAGAGGGGGUAAGCAUUUUCAUGCUUAGUAAGCUCGAAUAACCGGAAAGUAAACUUACCGAGUAAUUAGCAUACAUCCAUACUUAAAUCAUGAAAUCAUCCAUUAUGAAAUAAUUUCCUAUCACAUGCACUCAAUCAAUGAGUUAGUCACAUAAUCAUGUUUCAUGUAAUUUAACUAGAUGAGCUCAUCAUUCAACAUUUCAUUCACAUAUGUAUACCACGUUAAUCUCGUUGAGUUUUUAGGAAAUUUUGAUGGAAUACCCAUUAUCCGUCAAUUCAUACGAACGAUCAUUUCAUAUAUACACUCCCGCGAACCUCACAUCAUAUGGCAAGAUUACCAGUCCAGGCUAAAUCCCCCAUUAUAUGAACUCAUGAGGUGUUGUCGGAAUUACCAGUCCAGGCUAAAUCCCUUAUAACGAAAAACACCCUUAAUGUGUUCGGAUUUGAAUUACCAGUCCAGGAUAAUUUCAGACCUUAAUCGGAUUACUCGUCCCGGCUGAAUCCAUCAUUCAAGGAACACCCGUCCAGGCUAGAUUCCUUUUCAUACUUGAGAUCUCAGAUUACCUGUCCGAGCUAAAUCUUUACUGCAACAUAUGCAGGAUCUCAGUUCACAUGUCAAUGAGGGUUUAUUCAUCGAAUUCCCUUUGUCAACCUCAACCGAGAUAUUUUUCACAUGUUAUCAUCAAUAUACAUUUCUAUGAUAUUUCAUGCCAAUAAUAAAUGCAAUCAUCAAGAAUUCAUAAAUCAUACAAUUAUGCAUAUUAAGGGUUUACUUUAAGUUAUCCGAACUUACCUCGUAUCCAUUUCAGAGUUAUGUUUCGAUUAUUUCGAAACCUUGCACUUACCAUGAUCGACCUCCGGAAUUUGUUCCUUGGGUCCUAUAUCAACAAAAUUAACUCAUUAAUACACUACAUUAUGCAUUUCAAGUUUAAUAUCUACCCCCGGUCCAAAUGAUCGUUUUGCUCCUAACCUUUGACAUUUUUACGAUUUAGUCCUUAGGCUUGUAUAAUGAAACAUAUGCACUUUCUAUCUUACCUAAACCUAGCCGAACACUUUUCCUUCUUAUGGUAGCCCACAUUAUCCAUUAUUUACUCAUUUCUACCUUACAUUUACAUCUUUUGCAAAAUAGUCCCUAUAAGGGUUUUUCAUGAAAAUCAACUAGGAAAAGAUGUUUAAUACACAUUCAUCUUUCAUAUUCCUCCAUAAUCCAUCAAAAUACAAGCAACUCAUGCAUGGGUAAAUUUUUAAACAUGAACCCUAGCAUGAAAUAUGGGUAGAAAUGGAGAGAGCAAGCUACCGGGAUUUUGAAAAUACAAAGAGCAUGAAAAACGAGGCUUGGGAGCACUUACUAUUAAGCUUGAAAAUGUUGAAAACCCUAUCUAUGGUGUCUCUUCAAUUUUUGGCAGUCAUGGAGAAGAAAAUGGCUGAUUUUGGCUUGAUUUUUCCCAUUUUAAUUCUUUAAAAUGACAAAUGACCAAAAUGCCCUUAUACCCUUAUGUCCUUUCUUUAAAAUUUCAUCCAUGCAAGCCCAUUUGUGUCCAAAAAUUUAGAAUUUGAGAAAAUUGCUCUCCAAGACCUUCUAAUUCAUAAUCUAAGGUAAUUUCAUACAAAUUGCUUCUAGAAUCCAAGUUUUGCUAAUUAUUCAAUUUAAUCCCUAAUUUCCAAUUGGACACCUUGUACUUAGAAUUUCUUCAUAAAACUUUAAAACAUGCAUAUACUCAUAUUCUAGGCCUCAUAAUAAUCAUAAAAUAAAAAUUUUGAUGUUAGAUUUGUGGUCCCGAAACCACUAUUCCGACUAGGUCCUAUUUUGGGAUGUUACAACAGACUUUAUCUUCAUCUUCAAGUUCUCGAAGUCCCUUCUCAAGUUUAGAAGCUGUUGUUGCCUUGUUCUUUUAGUCCCUUGAAACUCCUCCUUUAGUCUAUCUCAGGCCCAUAAUCCUUGUGAAGAUGACAUCUGAUACACAGUUCUGAAUACAGGAGAUGGCUUUGUGCCUCUUGGUCCUUUCAUCAGCAUGUUGCCUGAUCUGAGCCACUGUUGGAUUGGCUCUCAAUGGUGCUGGUUCAGCAUCUGAGUUGAACACUUCCCACAGAUCGAAUGCCUGGAGAUAGGUCCUCAUCUUGACCACCCAAAUGUGGUAUCCUUCUCCACUGAAGACUGGAGGUGCAGUUGGUGAGAAGCCUGAUGAAGCCAUCGUUUUGAAAGUAUGCAAAGACAGGUUCACUGAAAUUACAGCUCUAGAUACCAAUUGUUGGAGAUUUUAAACUUGAACAAGCAAUGUUCAGUAAAAGCUUGAGCAGCAAGGCUCGAUACUUGCUGAAGAAACAAGCAAGAAAAAUGAACAAAAUUUUAAAGCUAAAGCAAAAAAAGAAAAAAAUUGAGAGAGUGAAUGUGUAUGAAAUCUGAUGAUUUUCAUUCAUAUAUCAACUUUGGCAUAAAGCCAUUAAAUAUAUCAAACAUAAGUCAAACACUUUCAAGCAAAUUUUACCUAAACUAUCACCUAACACCACUAUAACUUAUUAAAACUUGAUAAAAUAACUUGUUCAACAAAGCAAAGCUAAUUUUUUAGCUCAGUCACUACCUAAUUACAUCAAUCAUCCAUUUAACAUAGUUUAAAAUGAACAAGAUUACAUUACACCAACAAAAUGAAUCAAAAAGAACUAAAUGACAGCAGGUGCACUUGGUUCUGCUGCUCGAGCAUAGUUGGUGCGCUUGGUUUGCUUCUUGGUCCUGCAUGCUGACCAACCUUCAUCAUAUGGAUGUAUAGUCCUAAUCAUUAACAUUGCUGUAAUUAAUUUCCAAUACUGCUUGAAAAGGCAAAAGGAAUUCAUCAAUAACAUGAUCGAGGAAGCCGUAUUAGAGGCUGAGGAAAAAGGUGCUAGUGUGUUGAGUUUAGGACUUAUAAAUGAGGCAAGUUUUCCCCCCUCUUCCCAUAAUCAGUCAAUAUGCUUGCAGGAAAAUUACAUUAAAAAAUAGGUAAAAAUCAUUUUUAACGGAAAAGAUAAGGUAUGAUGCUAACGUGAACACUAUGUAGGGUGAAGAGCUAAACAGAUAUAGUGAAGUGUAUGUGAAGAAGCAUCCCCAGCUAAAGGUGAAGUUAGUGGAUGGGAGUAGCUUGGCAGUUGUAGUUCUCCUAAAUAACAUACCAAAGGUAACAACCCAAGUAUUCCUUAGAGGCAACUUGACUAAAGUUGCUUUUGCAGUCACCGUUGCCCUAUGCUAGCCAUAUAAACUGACAUUGCUAAGCUCUCAAAUUCUCAACUAUGUCUAACUUUUCUCUUAGGAAAUUUGAAGCUCUAACUCUAUUCUUGCAUUGUUUUCAUAAUCAUUUUCCUCUUUUGUGAUAUCAUAAUCUUUAAUUUUAAUUCAUUGUAGGUCAUUGUAUUGUCUGAGGAUGAAUACGAGAAGCUCGACAAAUCAUUUAGCACCAAGUCUAAGGAUAACUUGGUUAUCUGAAAGAGUUAUAGCUCUUGCAAGGUAAUUCAGUCUCAUGCCUCAAGCCUAGGUCUUUCCAAAUAAAAAUACUUGAAAUGGCUAGUAAGUGAAGAUAAAUUAUUGAUAUGUUGCAGGUAUGGUUAGUGGGAGAUGACUUGACCGAAGAAGAGCAAAGAAAGGAAACUGAAGGAACAUUGUUUAUUCCCUUUUCACAAUUCCCACCAAAAAAAUUGUGUAAAAACUAUUUUAUCACACCACGCCAGCAAUGCAAACUCCGAUGGCCCUUGAGAAUGUGGAUUCUUGUGAGGUAAACUUACUCAUAUGUCCAUGAUUGAUGCUCAUUCUUGUAUACAUUUGAUAUAUAUAUAUCUGAAAUUAAUUAAAAGCUUUCAUAAUUUUUUGUUUUACAUUGUUAAAAUAUAUGCAUUAAAGAGUAACAAUAUGAAUGCAUUUAACAGAACUGGUUGCCAAGGAGAGUGGUUAGCGUAUGACGCAUAGCUGGCAUACUACAUGCUUUGGAAGGAUGGAAAGAACAUGAAUGUGGUUACACUAUGUGUAACAUUGAAAAAGUUUGGGGAGCAUGCCUCAAGCACGGAUUUCAGCCUCUGAGGGUCCCAAUUCAAUCAAAAUCCUAGAAGAUAUUUGGCAAUUUAACUAUCUACUUGAUGUCUAUGCCUUUUUAUGUAUAAGCAUUUACCUAUACUAUUAUCCUUAUCCUGGAUUCACCGUUUGGGUCUCUAUCGAGUUAAAGGUUCUUCUCCAAUGUCUCCAUAGUACGUAUGAGGAGUUUUUAGAGAAAUAUAUAAUGCAUAUUUAUAUUUCCUUUAAAUUUUAAUUUUGUUGGUGUAGAGCACCUGACAGAUCAAGAAUUGUCUUGGUCGAUUAUUGAUUAUAUAAUUUACUUUAUCGUUAAUUUUGUUGGCCUACUGACAUCAUUAAUAGCUAUAAAUAAGAUGUUUAGAGGGCCUUCAUGACUACUUUAAGACUUAUAUCAUUUCUAAAACUAUCAAAUUUGUUUUUUUAAUUAAAAUAUUCUUUAAAAUAGUUUAUCACUUGCAAGCAGGGGGAAAUCUAGGGGCUAGAAUGGGUCCUGGCACCCCCUAAAAUGGAAAUUUUCAUUUUGACAUGUUAAAUAUUUAAAAUUUUAAAUUGAUAAAAGUAAAAUUGUACUUUGAUCCCCCUCUAAAAUGAUAAAAUUUUAAUUUAAUUUUUUUAAACUAUAUUUUUAUUAUUGUAAAAAUUAUAAUUUAAUUUCGAACUCUAAAAUAUUUUUUUGAUUUCACCCCUGCUCUCAAGCAUACCAAAUUGUUAUUCAAAAAAUAAUAUAAUGAAAAUAUAUUCAAAGAGAAAUAUUUUGAAGAUGGAUUCUCAAAAGUCAAUGAAAUAUUAGUAGUAAAACAUGUCACCUAUCUUAGGAAUUAACCAUUUCACUAUCUAUUUAGUUUAUAAUCUCUAACUUAAUCCAAAUUAAUUCGAGUGAUGAAAUAAUACAAGAUGAUUGGCAUGCUAUGUAACAGCCCGAUUCUGGGCCUAGUCGGAAUAGUGGUUUCGGGACCACAAAUCCGACGAGGGAAAAUAUGGUUAUUAUUAUAUUUUUAUGAUCUACAAUUUCACAGAAAAUUUUCGUAAAAAUUUCGUUCGAAAAUUUCGACGUUUGGGCACUCAAUUUAGUCAAAAAGACUAAAUUGUAAAUAGUGCAAAAGUUGAGUUCUACAUCUUAGAGGUGUCUAAUUGUUAUGAAAUUUUAAAUUGGAGGUCUUUAUGUGGUAAUUAGACCAUUAGUUAGUUGAUGGACAAAAAUAGACAUAAGAAAUGGGUGAAAUAGAUUUUUUUUUAAAUGGGGGCAUUUUAGUCAUUUGGUUAUUAAAUAGAAUUAAAUGGGAAAAAGAUGGCAAAAUAUGCUCAUCUUCUUCAUGGUGAACGAAAUCAGCAAGGGGGAAGCCAUAUUUAGGGUUUUUAAGCUUUCAAGCUCCAUAGUAAGUGAUUCUAAGCCCCGUUUUUAAUGUUCUUCGUAUUUUUGGAGUCCCGGUAACUUGGUUUAGCUUAUUCUACCAUUAAUUCAUGUUAGGGUUCAUAUUUGGAAAAAUAUCCAUAGGUGAAAUGUGUUCUAAAUUUGCAGGAGGUUUAAGCAAAAAUAAGUAGGAAUGCUGUCGAAAAUUUUAAAAAUUUAGUAAUACCUCAUACUCUGUUCCGGUAAGGAAUACGGGUAAGGGGUGUUACAUGCUAAGUGGUUGUGAGCUCCAAUUUAGUGCUCUCAAGUUAGACUAAUGUAAAGCUCGAUAAGCUCUCAGAUUUCCUAGCCUAACACCCCCUUAAUCGCAGCCCUUUCUUAUUCUCUAGUUGGAUUAACCUAGAGGUUGUUAGAUUUAUGAGCUAUUAAAUGCAUUAAAUCAUGGGAUUAAUAUGGAUGACAUUUUUUUUGUCAUGCUGACUUUGACUUUGGCAAUUUAAAGAAAUUAAAAAGAAAAGGUUUGGCCAUUAUCACCCUUUGUCGCCGACCAGCAAUGAAGAAAGGAGAAAAAAAUUCUCCAUUUUUCUAUUUUGUUUAUCUCAUUUGAAUCAAAUAAAAAAUAUUCUUCCAAGCUUAAUUUUACCAUCAAUUUCAUCUUUUUGAUUUCAAGUGGGUUAGUGAGAGAAAGUUCAAAGUUAACAACCCACAUUCACUAGAGUUGGAAAAUUCAAUUUUGGGUUUGGAACCCAUAAAUCUAGUCACUCUAGAGAGUAGACUGGAAGGUUUUUAGGAAUGGCUAUGGGUAAUUAGUUUUAAUUAAAAUUAAGGAGAUUUAAAUUAGAAGAUUAAGUAAUCAAGGCUUAAGAAGUUAGAGAUGUAACACCCCUUACCCGGCCCAGACGUUAUGGCCGAAUCUGACAUACCACAUCGAAGCAUUCAAAACACUUCCGAUCUAGAAAGAAUGAGUGUUUUAAAAGAUGAUUUCAUUAUAGGUUAAAGUGAAUGGAAGCUGUGCACCAGGUAGGAAACCGGAAAAGAGGAGGUGAGUCCAUCGGACUGCUUAAGUACCAAACUCCCUUCGGAUCCAAUCCUAGACAUGCAAACCUCUAUUGCCAUACCUUAACGUCAUGUAUAUUUCUAGGAAACCGAUUUGAUUAAGUCCCUUUCAGGAAAAGUGAUUAAUUUUGGAAAAUAUCUUCAUUGUGGAGGCUUUGUCUGUUUUCGUGUUAUUUUGAAAUCAAUUACUGUUUUUAAAAACGCGUCCUAAAGCUAUCCAAUUUCAAUAGUUAAAUAUAAAUAUUAUCUAUCUUAAUAAAACAUAUAAAAACCAUCAAAAAUAAAUAAGCGGCCUUAUUACAUUUAAAAGCCCAAAACCUCAAACGUAAUUAAAAGGAUGUCCAGUUCACCAGAAGAAAAUCAAACUUUCAGAAUGGGUGGCCACUCCGAAUUCCCUCACAACUCCAAGCCCACUAUGGUUGGGGAUUACCUGCGUGGAUGAAAAUAAAAGGGAUGAGUUUGGGGAAAGUCAGUGUGUAAAUUAACCCAACCAUAGCCUAUAUCAGCUCAAACCACAGAAAUAGAAUAAGUUGGCCUUAGCCCAGAAUAGAAAUUUAGAAUAAAGCCCAUAGGCCCAUAACAGAUCAGAACAGAUAUUACAUGAAUGCAGAAAUCCCAACCCAGAUUCAUCCAUAACACCCCCGUACCAGCUUUACACCAUGUGGGGAGACUACUCGACCCACCCAACCGCUACACACCACAGAAAUCGCAGCAAGGCUUCCAGAUAUUGUGACGAAGUCACCAGAUACAUAUAAUUGUGGCAUAGCCACCAGAACAGAUAUACGUGGCAGAGCCACCAGAUCAGAUAAUCGUGGCAUAGCCACCAAAACAGAUAUAUGUGGCAGAGCCACCAGAUCAGAUAAUUGUGGCAUAGCCACCAGGACGCUUCCUCCAUAAUAUAACCCAUGUCCCCAUGCAACAGAUAUAUAAUCAUGGCAUACAUCAUACAGAAUCAGAUCGUCAUGCUUUUCAGUCAAAAUUAACCCUAGGGGUAUAUCGGUAAUUUUGCACCUAGGGGUAUAACAGUAAUUUUCCAUACAUAGGGGUAUUAUAGUAAUUUAGCUACUAUUAGGGUUUUCAUGGAUAUCCUAACUAUUAACGUAUUAUCAGAACACUUACCGCGCAUACUUACCGAGUUGGGCCCAUUGGCCUAUGAACCCGAUCUUUGGCCCAUUAAGCCCAAAUUAUCAAAAUGUACGAAAUCGCGCGUACUGCAGUUUAUUAAUUUAGAUUACCAAAUAUAGAAACCUAACUAUCUUACGAGCAUUCGCACACUCGCAAAUUCCCAAAAUACUGACUUUUCGACAUUUCGUCUUUUCGGCUUUUGCCAAUCUAGUCUAUGAGAGGGUGUCAGUUACACACCUAUUUACGACGAUAUGCUGACGAGAUCCACACACGAACCGCCUACAAUUGGAUUACUAACACGUUAAUCCAACUAUUCAAAUACAAACUACGUGUAACGCCCCAAUUUUCAGGACUUCUGUUAAUUUUGGUGAAUUUUGGAAUUUUUGUGUUCUGAUUGUUUGGCGUAGGUUUAAUUAUGUUAGUGGGCUCUAGAAGGCCCAAGCUUAAGCUAAAACCCAGUAAUUUUAGGUGAUUUUAAUCCAUAAGAGGAAAAGGGGGGUUCUGGUUAACAAGGGUCUUAAAUAUAAUUUGGGUAAAAUAAGACAUAAGGAAGCAAGCGGCAAAGUGGCAUGUGACGCCACUGGCAAGGCUAUAAAAGUGGCGUGUGGAUGCUAGGGAGAGCUGAGGUUCAAGUCACAAUGACAACAUAUUAAGGGAAUUAUUAUUUUUAUGUUCAGAAAAGGUAAGCAGUGGAACGGAAGUGAAAGUCUGUCAGGAGAGGAUUUAGGAGUUGAUAAGGGAUAGGAUUUAGGAGCAAAUAAGGGAGGAAAUCUAGGAGCUGAUCAAGGAACAAGAGGUGGCCGGCCAAGGGACUUUAGCAUGGGAAUUUCGGCUAGGGUUAGUGCUAGUAUAAAUUCGGCAUUAGUGGUAAGUGGUGCCAUUUCCUGACCAUUCUCUUCUUCUUUUCUUUUUCUCUUCUCUCCAUCCACUUAUUCUUUUCUUCUUCUUUUCCUCAGAGCCAAAUCCUUCAGCCACCCUACUCUAUACCACCUUCCUUCCAUUAUUUUUAAGACUAUAGCCGAUUGCCUCAAAUCCUGAAAUCUCGAAAACUUGACUCAUUUUGUACCGAUUUUUCCCUAGCCAAAUCUCUUAUUUUUCUCAUCAUCUUUGGCCGAUUCUCUCAACCUCUAAACCCCAGGUUCGACAAUACCACAAGUAAAAACCCUUAUAUUUUAUCUUUCUCUACACUUUUGCAAAAAGCCGAAACUCCCACACUAUCCUAGGGACAUAGUCGAAUACUGAGAUCACUGAGGGCUCGAAUUUUGUUAUCAUUUGAGGGCUUAGAACUGCAUCAGAAUCAAGUAGGAACUAAGGGGGAACGUUGACUGGAAGAAUCGGUGGUAAGUCUUUCCAGCUUAGUCUAUCUUGCAUAUUUUAAGAAAAGUCCGGAAUCCCUAAAAUGUUAGGGAGGUUGUCAUUUUUUUGGACUUGUAGCCCUAAGGGGUUGUGAUAAUAGUAUUAUUUUGGUAAUAGUGUGAUUAAGAGGCUGUUGAUCAAGGGCUUGGACAAGUGGAGCGAACGGAUCUGGAUCGAGACACUAUUUUCGGCAAAGGUAGGAACGCUAAGGCCUAAGGUGUUGUUGGCCGAAUAUGGUAAGAAGUUAAUAUGUAGUUCAUUUCGGUAGUAAGAUUAACGUGGUAGUAUUAUAAUUGUAGGCAGUUCGUGCGUGUAUCUCGUCAACGAAUCGUCAUAAAACAAGUAUGUAAUUGACACCCUCUCAUAGACUAGAUCGGCAAAAGUCGAAAAGCCGAAAUGUCGAAAAGUUAGUAUUUUGGGAAUUUGUGAGUGUGCGAAUGCUCGUAAGAUAGUUGGGUUUGUAUGUUUGGUAUUCUGAAGGUAAUAAACUGCAGUACGUGCGAUUUCGUGCAUUUUGAUAACUUGGGCUUAAUGGGCCAAAAAUCGGGUUCAUGGGCCAACGGGCUCAAUUUGGUAAGUAUGCACGGUAAGUAUUCUGAUAGUACGUAAAUGGAUAGGAUAUGCAUGAAAACCCUAUAAGUAGAUAAAUCACAACAAUACCCUUAUGUAUGGAAAAUUACCAUGAUACCCCUAAGUGUAAAUGACCAAUAUGCCCCUAGAGUUAAUUUUGUCUGAAAAGCAUGUUGAUUUAAAUCUGUAUGAUGUAUGCCAUGAAUGAAUAUUUUUUGCAUGGGGACAUGGGUUAUAUGUGGUUAGUUAAGGGGGUGUAUGUGGUUAGUUAUGGGUUGGGUUCUUCAUAUACAUGAAAUAUUUGAUCUGAUCUGUUAUGGGCCUAUGGGUUUAAUUCUGUAUUCUGUUCUGGGCUAAGGCCAAUUUAUUAUGUUUCUGUAGUUUGAGCUAAUAUGGGCUAUGGUUGGGUUAAUUUUAUACACUGAGUUUCCCCAAACUCAUCCCCUAUUUUCAUCCAUGCAGGUAAUCCCCAGCCAUAGUGAGCUUGGAGCUGCGAGGGAUUCGGAGUGGCCACUCGUUCUGAAAUAUGGAUUUCUUCUGGAGAUUUGGACUUCAAUUUUCUUUACUUUGAUGAUUUGGGUUUUGUUAUGUAAUAAGGCCGCUUAUAAUUAUUUUUUUUGGGGUUUUGAUUUAUAACUUAUCAUGAUGAUUUUAAAUUAUGUUAACUGUCAAAAUGGGCUAGAUCUAGGGUUCGUUUUCCAAAAACAUAAACUGAUUUCGAAGUAACACGAUUACAAACAAGGCUUCUGCUAUGAUAAUAUUUUACAAACUUAAAUACGUUUUAUUCUAAAAUAGACAUAAUUUCAAUGGUAACCUAAAAAUAUACGCGAUGUUAGAGUGUGGCAAUGGCGGUGUGCAUGUCUAGGAUUGGAUCCGAAAGAGCUUGGUACUUAAGCAGUCUGAUGGAUUCACCUCAUUUUUCCAGUUUACUACCUGGUGCGCAACUUCCAUUCACUUUAACCCUCAAUAAAUUAAUCCUUUGAACAUCAAGUACGAUUUGCUAGACUUAGAAUGAAAAAAUAUUUUAACGUUUUGAUGUGACACGUAAGAUCCGGUCAUAACGUCUAGGCCGGGUUUGGAGUGUUACAUUUUGUGGUAUCAGAGCCAGGUUGCAACAACUCGGCUGUGGAAUGGGUUUACAAAAAUGAAGAUUGUCAAAAAAAAUUGGUUUUUAAAAUCUAAACUUCUGAAGGAGGCUUUCCGAAUCUCCGGCCCAAGCUUGUAAGUAUUCUGAAUUUUUCUGAAUAUAUUCUGAAUUAUCUGUCUGUACUGAAACUUUACUAGAAUACUCUAGAUAGGAUGCUACUGAAAUCCUAGAAAAGCUUGCUAAAAGACUGAAACUGUAGCUAGACAUCGAUUCUGCGAAAACCAACUCUGAAUUACUGUCUGAAUCAUAAAACAUCUGUAAUAAACAUUGGAAUGAUAUUUAUGCAUAAAAUUCAUAAUUAGAUAAUACGAUAUGAGUACAAGAGCCACUCGUGGAAGAGGCCGUGGGCGUGACCGAGGAAGGGCUCGAGUGGUAUCUUCAUCUUCGGGACAUAUGCGGGAGGUAGAUGCACCGGUACCAUCGGAAACAGAAGUGGAGUCUCAUGAUCGUGGUGCUGGGGAUGACGCCCUGUCGCAGGCUAUGCUUCGAGUUCUGGAAAGGGUUGCCGGGGCAAGUUCGGGCAACGAAAUUUGAGGAUCGAUUUCUGAACGGCUCCGAGCUAACAGAGCGGAGAUCUUUAGGGGCGUAUCUAGUGUAGCCCUGAAUGUGGCAGAAUAUUGGUUGGAGGGCACAGAACAAAUUAUGGAUGACUUGGACUGCUCGGUGGAGCAGAAGCUGAAGGGGGCCGUAUCGCUGCUGCGAGAUGAGGCUUAUCAGUGGUGGCUCAUCGUGAGGGAUGGAACCCCAGCUGAUAGGGUUACUUGGGAGCUGUUUAAGACAGCCUUUAAAGGAAAGUACGUCGGGGCAAGUUAUGUGGAUGCUCGCAGGAAGGAAUUCCUGAAUCUGGUCCAAGGAUGUAAAACUGUUGCUGAGUAUGAGGCUGAGUUUCUGAGGCUGAGCCGGUAUGCUGUGGGGAUAGUCGCUACGGAGUAUGAGCGUAGCGUUCGCUUUGAGGAUGGACUCAGAGAUGACCUUAAGGUGCUGAUUACUCCGCAGAGGGAGCGAGAUUUCGCGAUUCUGGUGGAAAAAGCUAAGAUAGUUGAGGAGGUAAAGCGUACUGAGAGGCAGAACCAUGAGAAAGAUCGGAACCAUUUCUGGAGGGAUUCUGGACCUUCAGGUGGAGCAAAUAAGAAUGUCAAAAGGGCAAGAGUAGAGGAACCAGUUCGAGCAGCUCUGGGGAAUGUGGUUAGACCGCCAAUUUGUGGAGACUGUGGAAAGGUACAUUUGGGUGAGUGUAGGAAACGUUCUGGUGCUUGUUUCCGAUGCGGAUCUAUAGAGCAUAGAGUUAAGGACUGCCCACAGAGAGCUGAUCAGGCUCAGGUUGCUGUACAGAGGGUUGUUCAACCCGCGAGAGGUGGACCACAACCACCGAGAGGACGUGGACAAGGUAGGGGCGAAAAUGGAAAUGGAAAUGGUCGAGGUCGAGGGGCGCUUGGCAGGGGUGCCAGAAAUGCUGAGGCUCGACAGCCAGCAUUGGUGUAUGCGGCUCAUCGUCGAGAGGAGGGUGACGCACCUAACGUCAUAACUGGUACAUUUUUGGUUUCUGGCAUGCCAUACACUGCUUUAGUGGAUAUUGGAUCUACUCAUUCCUAUGUUGCAUGUGCAUAUCUGGGUCGUUGGGUGUGCACUCUGAGAAGAUUGUGAGUGGGGUAUCUGUGUUAAGUCCUUUAGGUCACUCGGUUAGGGUAGACAAACUGUAUAAAAAUGAACCCUUAGAAACUUAAGGUAAGGUUUUUCCUGGAGAUCUGAUGGAGUUGCCGUUCGGAGAGUUUGACCUCAUUCUGGGAAUGGACUGGCUUGUCAAGCAUAAGGCGACUUUGGAUUGUGCUGAAAAAUGAAUGGUGUUAAGGACCACGGAAGGUGAGGAGGUUAUAAUGAUAGGUGAGCGAAGGGAUUAUUUGUCUAAUGUGGUGUCGGCAUUGAGGGCCGAAAAGUGGAUUCGAAAAGGUUGUGAGGCCUAUUUGGCAUUCGUAAGCCAGUCAGAAGAGAAGGGAUUGAAAGUGGAUAAGGUUAGGACCGUAAAGGAGUUUCAAGAUGUUUUUCCGGAGGAGCUUCUGGAAUUACCUCCAAAUUGAGAAGUGGAGUUUAGAAUCGACUUGUUGCCUGGAACGGCGCCAGUGUCUAUCGCACCGUAUAGGAUGGCACCGAAGGAGUUGGUGGAGCUAAAGGCACAAAUUCAAGAGUUGUUGGAUAGGGGCUUUAUUAGGCCAAGCGUGUCUCCAUGGGGAGCACCGGUGUUAUUCGUGAAGAAGAAAGAUGGUACAAUGCGGAUGUGCAUUGACUAUCGCCAGUUGAACAAACUGACAAUUAAGAAUUAGUAUCCACUGCCAAGGAUUGACGAUCUGUUUGACCACCUUAGGGGGGCUUCUGUAUUUUCUAAGAUCGACCUUCGAUCUGGAUAUCAUCAGUUAAGGGUCAAGGAGACAGAUAUCUAUAAGACGGCAUUCAGGACUCGGUAUGGUCAUUAUGAGUUUAUGGUUAUGCCAUUUGGGCUAACGAACGCUCCUGCAGCAUUUAUGGAUCUGAUGAAUCGGGUGUUUCAACUAUUUCUGGAUCAAUUCGUAGUCGUCUUUAUUGACGAUAUUCUGGUAUAUUCUGAAACGGAAGCAAAACAUGAUGAGCAUCUCCGUAUAGUGCUACAAGUGUUAAGGGAGAAGAAACUUUAUGCAAAGUUCAACAAGUUUGAAUUCUGGUUGAGGGAGGUAACUUUCUUAGGACAUGUGGUCUCUGCUGAGGGGAUUAAGGUGGAUUCUCGAAAAAUUGAAGCAGUUUUGGAGUGGAAGCCUCCUAGGUCAGUAUCGAAGAUACGGAGUUUCCUAGGAUUGGCAGGAUACUAGAGAAGGUUUGUGGAAGGUUUUUCGAUGUUGGCUGCACCUCUGACUAAACUCAUAAGGAAAGGGGUACCGUUUGUAUGGACUGAGACCCAGCAGGAAGCUUUUGAAAAGUUGAAGAAAGUUUUGACUGAAGCACCUAUGUUAAUUCAGCAGGAGUCUGGGAAGGAUUUUACUGUGUACAGCGACGCAUCACAUGUAGGUUUGGGCUGCGUGUUAAUGCAGGAGGGUAAGGUGGUUGCAUAUGCGUCACGGCAGCUUAAGCCUCACGAGGGGAACUAUCCUACUCAUGAUUUGGAAUUAGCAGUAGUGGUUUUUGCACUUAAGAUUUGGAGACAUUACCUGUACGGAGAGAGGUGCAUUAUAUACACAGACCAUAAGAGUCUUAAGUAUUUGUUGACUCAGAAGGAGCUGAACCUUAGGCAAAGGAGAUGGAUUGAGUUGCUUAAGGAUUUUGACUGUUCAAUCGAGUAUCACCCAGGAAAGGCUAAUAUGGUAGCCGAUGCUUUGAGUCGUAGAACCAUAUCUGAUUUGAGAGCAAUGUUUGCUCGUUUGAGUUUGUAUGAUGAUGGUAGUUUGUUGGCUGAAUUGCAAGUAAGGCCAACCUGGGUGGACCAGAUUAAGGAAAAACAGUUGGAAGAUGAGUCUUUGGUCACUCGUUUUCAACAAGUUAAGGAAGGGAAAACUUCUGAGUUCGGUUUAAAUGGUGAUGGAGUUCUGUGUUUCAGAGGAAGAAUUUUUGUUCCGAAGGACUCUGACUUGAGGCAGACAAUAUUGAAGGAAGCUCAUGGGGGACUAUGUGCCAUGCAUCCUGGAGGGAAUAAGUUGUAUCACGACUUGCGGGAAUUGUACUGGUGGCCUGGACUUAAGCGAGAAGUGAUGGAGUUUGUAGGAAAAUGUUUGACGUGCCAACAAGUGAAAGCUGAGCAUCAAUUACCUUCUGGACUGUUGCAACCGGUAAAGAUACCACUUUGGAAGUGGGAGAGGGUAACCAUGGACUUUGUGAGUGGGUUGCCGUUGACACCAUCGAAGAAAGACUCGGUAUGGAUGAUUGUGGAUAGGUUGACCAAAUCAGCCCAUUUCAUACCAGUACGUACCGACUUUUCGCUUCAAAAGUUAGCUAAACUGUAUAUGGCAGAGAUUGUGCGACUUCAUGGAGUCCCAGUAGGGGAUUGAGUACUCAGUAGGGGAUAUGGUCUUUUUAAAGGUUUCUCCUUGGAAGAAGAUAUUGAGGUUUGGUAAGAAAGGCAAGUUGAGUCCGCUGUUCAUUGGGCCUUAUCGGGUUUUGAAGCGAGUAGGCCCAGUAGCUUAUCAGUUGGAAUUACCUCCAGAGUUGGACAGGAUUCACGAUGUUUUCCACGUCUCCAUGUUAAGGCGUUAUCGUUCUGACCCUACUCAUGUCGUGCCGGUUGCAGAAAUUGAGGUGCAAACUGAUUUGACUUUUGAGGAGGAGCCUGUGCAAAUUUUGGAUCGAGAUGUUAAGAUUCUGAGAAGGAAAUCUGUCCCAUUAGUAAAGGUGCUUUGGCGUAAUCAUGGCAGAGAGGAAGCUACUUGGGAGCCAGAGGAGGCAAUGCAACAACAAUACCCUCAUUUGUUUGGACCAAGUAAAUUUCGAGGACGAAAUUUCUUUAAGGAGGGUAGAGUUGUAACGCCACAAUUUUCGGGACUUCUGUUAAUUUUGGUGAAUUUUGGAAUUUUUUUGUUUUGAUUGUUUGGCAUAGGUUUAAUUAUGUUAAUGGGCUCUAGAAGGCCCAAGCUUAAGCUAAAACCCAGUAAUUUUAGGUGAUUUUAAUCUAUAAGAGGAAAAGGGGGGUUCUGGUUAACAGGGGACUUAAAUAUUAUUUGGGUAAAAUAAGACAUAAGGAAGCAAGUGGCAAAGUGGCAUGUGACGCCACUGGCAAGGCUAUAAAUGUGGUGUGUGGAUGCUAGGGAGAGCUGAGGUUCAAGUCACAAUGACAACAUAUUAAGGGAAUUAUUAUUUUUAUGUUCAGAAAAGGUAGGAGAGCUGAGGUUCAAGUCACAAUGACAACAUAUUAAGGGAAUUAUUAUUUUUAUGUUCAGAAAAGGUAAGCAGUGGAACGGAAGUGAAAGUCUGUCAAGAGAGGAUUUAGGAGUUGAUAAGGGAUAGGAUUUAGGAGUUGAUAAGGGAUAGGAUUUAGGAGCAGAUAAGGGAGUAAAUCUAGGAGCUGAUCAAGGAACAAGAGGUGGUCGGCCAAGGGACUUUAGCAUGGGAAUUUCGGCUAGGGUUAGUGCGAGUAUAAAUUCGGCAUUAGUGGUAAGUGGUGUCGUUUCCUGACCAUUCUCUUCUUCUUUUCUUUUUCUCUUCUCUCCAUCCACUUAUUUUUUUCUUCUUCUUUUCUCCAUAGCCGAAUCCUUCAGCCACCCUACUCUAUACCACCUUCCUUCCAUUAUUUUUAAGACUAUAGCCGAUUGCCUCAAAUCCCAAAAUCCCGAAAACUUGACUCCUUUUGUACUGAUUUUUCCCUAGCCAAAUAUCUUAUUUUUCUCAUCAUCUUUGGCCGAUUCUCUCAACCUCUAAACCCCAGGUUUCUGUCGACAAUACCACAAGUAAAAACCCUCAUAUUUUAUCUUUCUCUACACUUUUACAAAGAGCUGAAACUCCCACACUAUCCUAGGGACAUAGUCGAAUACUGAGAUCACUGAGGGCUCAACUUUUGUUAUCGUUUGAGGGCUUAGAACUGCAUCAGAAUCAAGUAGGAACUAAGGGGGAACGUUGACUGGAAGAAUCGGUGGUAAGUCUUUCCAACUUAGUCUAUCUUGCAUAUUUUAAGAAAAGCCGGAAUCCCUAAAAGGUUAGGGAGGUUGUCAUUUUUUUGGACUUGUAGCCCUAAGGGGUUAUGAUAAUAGUAUUAUUUUGGUAAUAGUGUGAUUAAGAGGCUGUUGAUCAAGGGUUUGGACAAGUGGAGCGAACGGAUCUGGAUCGAGACACUAUUUUCGACAAAGGUAGGAACGCUAAGGCCUAAGGUGUUGUUGGCCGAAUAUGGUAAGAAGUUAAUAUGUAGUUCGUUUCGGUAGUAAGAUUAAUGUGGUAGUAUUAUAAUUGUAGGCAGUUCGAGCGUGGAUCUCGUCAGCGAAUCGUCAUAAAACAGGUGUGUAAUUGACACCCUCUCAUAGACUAGAUCGGCAAAAGCCGAAAAGCCGAAAUGCCGAAAAGUUGGUAUUUUGGGAAUUUGUGAGUGUGUGAAUGCUCGUAAGAUAGUUAGGUUUGUAUGUUUGGUAUUCUGAAGGUAAUAAACUGCAGUACGUGCGAUUUCGUGCAUUUUGAUAACUUGGGCUUAAUGGGCCAAAAAUCGAGUUCAUGGGCCAACGGGCUCAAUUUGGUAAGUAUGCGCGGUAAGUAUUCUGAUAGUACGUAAAUGGAUAGGAUAUGCAUGAAAACCCUAGAAGUAGCUAAAUCACUACAAUACCCUUAUGUAUGGAAAAUUACCAUGAUACCCCUAGGUGUAAAUGACCAAAAUGCCCCUAGGGUUAAUUUUGUCUGAAAAGCAUGUUGAUUUAAAUCUGUAUGAUGUAUGCCAUGAAUGAAUAUUUGUUGCAUGGGGACAUGGGUUAUAUUUUGGAGGAAGAGUCCUGGUGGCUAUGCCACAAUUAUCUGAUCUGGUGGCUCUGCCACAUAUAUCUGUUCUGGUGGUUCUGCCACGAUUAUCUGUAUCUGGUGACUCUGUCACAUUAUCUGUUCUGGCAGCCAUGCUGCAUAAUUCUGUGGCGUGUAGCGGUUUGGUGGGUCAAGUAGUCUCCCCACAUGGUGAAAGGUUGGUAAGGGGGUGUAUGUGGUUGGUUAUGGGUUGGGUUCUUCAUAUACAUGAAAUAUUUGAUCUGAUCUGUUAUGGGCCUAUGGACUUAAUUCUGUAUUCUGUUCUGGGUUAAGGCCAAUUUAUUCUGUUUCUGUGGUUUGAGCUGAUAUGGGCUAUGGUUGGGUUAAUUUUAUAUACUGAGUUUCCCCAAACUCAUCCCCUAUUUUCAUCCAUGCAGGUAAUCCCCAGCCAUAGUGGGCUUGGAGCUGCGAGGGAUUCGGAGUGGCCACUCGUUCUGCAAUAUGGAUUUCUUCUGGUGAUUUGGACUUCAAUUUUCUUUACUUUGAUGAUUUGGGUUUUGUUAUGUAAUAAGACCGCUUAUAAUUUUUUUUUGGGGUUUUGAUUUAGAACUUAUCAUGAUGAUAUUAAAUUAUAUUAACUGUCAAAAUGGGCUAGAUCUAGGGUUCGUUUUCCAAAAACAUAAACUGAUUUUGAAGUAACACGAUUACAAACAAGGCUUCUGCUAUGAUAACAUUUUACAAACUUAAAUACGUUUUAUUCUAAAAUAGACAUAAUUUCAAUGGUAACCUAAAAAUAUACGCGAUGUUAGAGUGUGGCAAUGGCGGUGUGCAUGUCUAGGAUUGGAUCCGAAAGAGCUUGGUACUUAAGCAGUCCGAUGGACUCACCUCCUUUUUCUGGUUUCCUACCUGGUGCGCAGCUUCCGUUCACUUUAACCCUCAAUGAAUUAAUCCUUUGAACAUCAAGUACGAUUUCCUAGACUUAGAAUGAAAAAAUGUUUUAACGUUUUGAUGUGGCACGUCGGAUCCGGUCAUAACGUCUAGGCCAGGUUUGGGGUGUUACACUACGUAUUAACCCCUUACAAUAUUCGGCCAACCACACCUACAGAUCAUAGUAAGCUUAUAAGAAAACAAUAAGCAACUCAUUAACAAAUUUUUGUCAAUGUUUACCACAUAAUCAUAAUUUCACUGCAAGUUGUCUUCCUGAGCAACAGUCACUAAAUUAUUUAUAACUGGAGGUAUGAAACUCCAAAUCAAGUUCCGUUAAUUUUCCCUAAAAAUAGACUCAUAUAUCUUCUAUCAAUAAAAUUUUCAGAAUUUUUAGUUUGGCCAAUCAAUACCAGAUUUUUCUCAAAGUUUCCCAUGUUUCACUGUUUGACUAAUCUGACCACUCUUCUUUACGAAUCAAAUUUCUCAUUGUACAGAAUUCAAAAUAUGUUCUCGUUUAUUUCAUUUGAAACUAGACUCAUUAAGAUUUAAUUGCAUAAUUUAUUCACCUUCUUCUCAUCUCUCACAAUUUAUGGUGAUUUUCCAAAGUCACGUUACUGCUGCUGUCCCAAGCAGAUUUAUUACCAAAUCACUCUUUCACACAUAACUUGCAUGCAUGUUAUUUAAACAUGUAUAUCACCAAUCAAUAAUCACAUAUCUAUGAUUUUACUUAAGUAUAAUCUCCAUUUCAUCAUUUUAAAGCACAACAUGUUAGCCGAUUUUUCCCUUUAACAUCUAAAGGCACAUGCAUGCUCAUUUGUUUGCCUCAACUUCACCUAUCUUCCAUUUUUCAUCAAAAGAACAUGAAACAACAACCAUUUCCUUCAUUUUAAUUCAUGACUAAAUACUCACAACACAACUAAAAACCAAAAUAUGCUUCAAUAGUUAAGGUAGAAUCAAGAAGAACUCAUGAACCUCAAAAUAAAAGCAAACUACCAUGAACUUACCUUCAAUUUUCUCCCCCAAGUGACCGAACAUUCAAGAGCUUUCUCCUCUCCUUUCUCUUCUCUAACUUUAGGCUAUGAUGAACAAAGAUGGACAAAACUUUGUUCUUUUCACCCCUUUUUUUUUAAUAAAAUUUCAUAUUUCAUCCAUUUAAUUCUUUAAUACAAAAGACAUGAAAUUCCCAUCAUGGAACAUUUACCUAACCCAUUAUCAUCGAAUAUUUACCUAACCUAUUAUCAUGAAACAUUUACCUAACCCAUUAUCAUGGAACAUUUACCUAACCCAUUAUCAAUUUGUAUCAAUUUGUACCAUAAAUUAUGGAUAUCAAGUGCACAUUUUGUCUACAACAACAUGAUGGCUGGCCACUUCAUGUAAGAUGGGAGGUUUGUCAUGCAAAUCCUCUUAGUUUGCACUCCUAUUUAUUUGGCCACUUCAAUUUAGCCUAUAGCAUUUUCAAACAUUUUCACAUAGGUCCUAUUUCAUAAUUUCACCCCCUUUUCUUAUGAAACAAAAAAGAUUAACUAAAAUUGUCGGGUUCUAUCUUAAGCUUGGGCCUUCUAGAGGCCCACUAACAUAAUUAAACCUAUGCCAACAUUCACAGAAUUCCCGAAAAUUGGGGCGUUACAAGAGAGGUUAAUGUGUGAAUAUAAAAAAAAUAUGAUUUCGAGCAAGGAAGGUCCUUAUGUAGUAAUUGACAAACACGUUGUUUUCAUACAAAGGGAAUUCUCUCAAAACAUUUCUUGCAACUUUUGAUUUUUCCAUCAAGAUUUCAUCAUUGAUGAGUGAAUUUUACUAAAUUCUUUUCAUAUUUACAAGACUUAGAAAUCACAUCUUAUGUUUUUUCAUUUUUCACAUUUUUAGGCACUUUCUAAGUUUUUGAGAAGAGACUUUGAUUUAUACAUGUUUUUAUUAUUACUUUUAGAUUAGAUUCUUUAUACUAAAGAGUUUAGAAUAGGAUGAGUUAGUCAAGGGACAUGUUGGAAUGAAGUUUUGAGAUUGCUGAGUGCUUAGGAGAUUAUAGAGGGAGGUGGUAUUAGUGUUUGAGUUUUUAGGAAGUUUUGGAUAAUUAGGGUUUCCUAGAACAUAUUUCUAUUGAAAGAAUUGAUUUUGAACAGGAGAAUUUUGAGUUAUGGGAAACUAAUCAUAGAGCGUUACAAAGACAUUUUUAGGUGAGAUGCAUAAAAUGUUUGAUUUUAGAUGAUCAUUUCUAUUCGACUAUGUUCUACUAACUUUGUUUUAAUGUUUGGUUAAUGUUUGUAGCCAAGGAGAUGAUGAGUCUUCUAAGGCCAAGGGAAAAAAGAAAAUUGCUCAUACAAAUAUCACGAUAUAAAUUACUUAUGUGAUUAAGCUUGGAUUUUGUAGUUUAUGUAUUGCUACUGGUUUAUGAGUUGAUUUUAUUUUCGAAGUGAUGCAAAAUAUGUAAGUUAUAAGAAUGUAUGCAUAUGGAAUCUUAACAUGUAUUAAUCUAAAGUGUGUGACACUCUAUACCCGACUUGGUUGCCGGAUCUGAAUUCGUGAUAUCACAUUAUAUUGUCGGAGCAACUUAGACUACCUUGAAUCAAUUACGAAAUAAUUAAAACAAAUAAUCAUGAUAUAAUUAAAAACAUUUUCAAUCUCGAAUAUAAUCAUACAUUAUAGAUGUCAAACAACCUAACGUAACUUAUUUCGAGAUUUUUUAAGGUCAAUUACGGAGUCAAGACAUGAAUCCAAACUCAACUAUCAAAAUUCAACUAAGUGACUCGAGACAUUGAGGGUCAUGUCUCUAGACAUGCUUGAUUUUAAUGCACAUAGCACAGCAGUUAAAUUGUUGGUGUUGUUAUCUGGAAAACUAUAAUAUUGAUUAGGAUUGCAUAAGUUUUUGUUUUACUUGUUUCUUGGUUAUUUGUUGUUGUUUUUAGCAUAAUUUAAAAAUAUCAAACUUUCUUUUAUGUUUUUUAGUGUUUGUGUGGUGCUCGUGUUUCAUUGAAUUUAGUCUAUUAGUAUUUUCUAUUGAAAAUGUAUUGGAAUAUCCAGCAUGUGAAUAUUGGUUUGUAGACACUCAAUUUUGCUCGGCCCAUUUCAGUAUUUAAAAUAAUAAACCCAAAAAAAAAAACACGAAGUCCAAGUUCAGUCCAGAAUUACAAAUAUAAUUUGGCCCAAUCGAAAUGGCCCAUUACUUGAAAAGAUUUAAGGUCCAUCUACAAGCUUGACUCAUAUGGAAAUAUAAUCUUCAAUGAUAUGCAAUCUUAGAUAUGAUACAAUCUUAGAUAUGAUUGCAAUCUUAGAUAUGAUACAAUCUUAUAUAUGAUUGCAAUCUUAGAUAUGAUAUACAAUCUUAGAAGAUAUGAUUUUGUAAUCUUGGAGAUUUAAUUUGUAGAUAUCAUUUAAUCUUAACCGUUGAUGUAAUUGAUCUGUACCGUUGGAUUUGGGGAGGCUCAACUAUAAAUAGAGGCCUUUCCCUUCAUUGUAAACACACUGGAGUUUUGGGAAGCAAUAAGAAUUCUUGAGAGCAUUAACUCAAAUUUCUCUCCCUCUUGCGUUCUUACUCUCUCUGGUUUGUUCUUAUUUUAUUCUUCGUCUAUCUUAGUUUUUCAACCUUUUUUAAUUUUCACCCCUUUUUUAUAUACUUUUAAACUUAUUUUUAAUUUAUUAUAUAUAUUAUUUAUUAUAUUAUUUAUAUUUUCAAAAUUUGUAAAUUAUUAUUAUAUAUUAUAUUUUAACUUAUAUAUCUUAUAUAUUUAUUUAUUUAUAUUAUACAUUAUUUUAAAAACUUACAUUUUUAUAUUAUAUAUUAUAAAUUAUUUCAUUUAUUAUUAUUUUUAUAUACUAUCAUAUAUUAUCUAUUUUAAAAUUCACUAUUAAAUAUUAUAUUUUUAUGGAUUAUUAAAUGUUUAUAUUAUUUGAUAUAAUACAAUAUCAUAUUUUUUUAUUAUUUUAUCUUAAAAUUAAAUUUUAUCUAUAAUAUAUUAUUAUCACCCAUUUCUAAAUUGUAUUUUAAUUAUAUACACAUAUAUCCAAAUUACUCACUUUAUUUUAUUAAACCUUUUUAUAUUUUUUAUAUUAUAAAUUGUCCAUGUAUUAAAUGCUAUUUUCAUGAUUUUAUAAAGUGUUGAUUGCUUGAUAACAUAUGUUACUAUAUUAUUAUUAUUAUUAUUAUUUUAUAUAUUAUUGUAUUUGUUUGUCUUGUUUUGUUUUUAUACAACCAUACAUCAUGCAUCAUUUUCUCGUUUAUUAAUAUGUUUAAAUAUAUGUUGAAUUACAUGUUUAUAUAUUUUAUCUAUUCUUCUUUAAUAUAUGUUGUUUUUUUUGUAUGUAUAUUUUACUUAUUUAAAAUUUACCAUAUUUUAUAUUUCUUAUAUAUAUAUUAAUUAAUGUAUGACAUUUAUGUUAUUGUUAUUAUGGCUUUAUUUACCUAUUUCUAUAAUAUGUUAUCUUGUAUGUUAUGUUUUAUUAUGUUAAUGUGUUCCUUCAUGCAUCAGUUUAAAAAACAAGACUUCAAAGUUUUCAAAAAUAAAAAGGCAAUGCUAGGUGUUUGGAAGCUUCGAAAAAGUAGUGCCCUAACUUAUUGGGUUGCAACUUUUCUCGUUGAGUUCGAAUAGUCAAGUACCCUUCUAAUUUUUUUAAGGUUUUCAAAAAACGAGCAACUGUUUUGGAAUUUCAAAGCGUUGUGUCCUAACUUAUUGGAUGUGGCAUUUUGUCGUUUCGAGAUAGGGAUUUCAAAAAGGGGAGCUAACUUAGUGUCAAUAUUUUGAUACAAGUGAAUCUCAAAUUUCAAAAUCAAAAUAUUCUAAAGAGGAUUGCAUCUUAAAAUUUUUUAAUUUCCGACAUUAAAGACACUUGAUAAUCAAUUAGGUACCAAUUUUUGGGCGUUACGAGGGUGCUAACCCUUCCUCGUACGUAACCGGCUCCCGAACCCAUUUUCUGAUUUCAUAGACCAAAACUAAUGAUUUUAAAACAAAACAUUUUAUAAGGUGAUCCAAUCACACCUAAAAAGAUUGGUGGCGACUCCCGUUUUCAUUUUUCUUAAAUUCGAUUCCCAUUUUCCAAAACUCGAUUUAAAAAUGGUUUCGACAGCUUGGCGACUCCACUGGGGACUAAUAAGAGAGUCAAGUCGUAUAAUUAAUUAUCUCUUGUCUUAAUGUCAGAAAUUAAAAAUUUUAAAAUUUAAUCUUCUUUGCAUUACAUGUGUUUAUGUUAUUGCAUGUGUUGCUAUAUUCUAAUACGCAUUGCAUUUGCAUGACCGUUGUGGUCAUACCCUUAAGUGGGAGUGAGAAGCUACGCCUUCGUGAGGUUUUCGCCUCCGUGCAGGAUAGUGGAUCACUUUCGGGAUACAUCCGUACCUAUGGUUUCGUGAGAUUUUCAUCUCCGUGUAGCCAUAGGGAAAUGUGUCCCCUUGAACUGAACUCGAUUCAAAUGAGCCUAUAAUGGGUGAGGAUCGAGGAAUCUGCUGGUUCAGGUACCUCAACUUUAGAACUAAACCACAUAUAGAAGGACCGUAAGAGCUCAACCUAGAUAGAAUUAUACCGUAAUUAUUACCCUUGCAGGUUAUCUUUGAGUUUAUUGUUAUCAUGUGAUACUAACUAUCUCCUUUCUUUUGUUGCAUAUCAUUUCGCACUUAAAAGGUAUCGAUUUUCGGUCAGUUUCUAAGUUAGAGAGUUUUAUUAUGGAGAACGGACUUCUUGAUAGAGUGGAAGACAACGCUAACGUCCAUAUAUGGUCAGAGCAAACUCAGUUAGUAAAGGAAAAUAGUCUAGCCAUGGGAUAUGUGUCAGAGCUGUCAGACUACAUUCGUAUCACACAGGAUAAUCAGCAUGAGUUAAAGGUAAUAUGGGAUCAAUGGGGUAGCAAAGCCAAGCAGUUGUUCUACAACAACCAUGGGGACUUGCAGUACUUGCUUGACUUGGGAAUAGACGAGAAUUUGUUUCGGGCCAUCACUCAGUAUUGGAAUCUUGUAUACAGUUGCUUUACGUUUGGAAAAGCCUAUAUGGUACCCGUGGUGGAAGAAUAUUCAAUUUUGUGGCGUUGUCCUAUGAUUCAAGUUGAUAAAGUUUACUCAUGGGCUAACUGUAUUCUAACUUUUGUGAGGAAGUUGAUGAAUGUCAUAGGGAGAGGGACUGAGCUAAAAUGGAAAGAACAGGAGGGAAAAUGGGCAGUCUUAGAAUUUCUGCCUCUUCCGCCACUAGUGCGUCUUAAUGUUGUUUCCAAUCAAAGCAGAAUUGGAUACGAAGAAGAUUGUUCGACACUCUAUGGCAAGGCGUGCUGUAGGGCAAAAGGUAAUGUACUCACCAAUCAUUUUAAGGUGAACAAGAAGAGUAUUGAUGGACAUUUCCACCAUUACAACAUUUCUCUUUUAUAGGAAGAUGGUCGAUGGUAAGAGUGUUGGAAGAAAAGUGAUUGACAGAAUGCGUGGACCUACAAAGGUGAGUUGGAUGGAAAGAAUUGUGCCUAUGAUGGUAAAAGGCUUAUUUAUUAUAGGACCAAACAACAAGCAUGAGUUCACUAUGUUGCACUUAUCAGAGAUAAUGGAAAUGCAAGCCCUGAUGAUCUGUCAAAAUGGACGCAAAAGAAUGAGAUUAAAGAAGUCCAUAUCAUUUAAAAGACCUUUAAAGUAGAGAUUAACUAUGCUGAGAAGAUACCCAUCUAAGCAUUUCAAAAUGCUUUGUGUGGACAGGAAUCUGAAAGCUCUCAAGAAACCCUAAAGGUGUUGAAUAUCAUUUUAAGGUAGCAUGUUAAGUAGGAAUGCCCACUUGUUUGCCAAUCUUUCUUUCAAGAUAAUCAGAACAACUUCAUAGAAGGGGUGUCCAUAGAUGUAGAGAUUAUCUUAUGGGUGAAGCCAUAGCUCAAAUUCGAGAUGGUAGUAGAUCAUUUACGGACCAUGAAGGUACAAGCUGAUACAUUGAGCACAGUCAAACCAUUGUCAAGAGUUAGCUUUGUUGAGUUAAAACUUUGGGCCAUAGGACGAAGGCGUAUUUGUAAUCCAUCCAUAUGUAAAGAUAUUCUUUUUCUAAAUAAAGUUUUCUAAAUGAAAUUAAGUCGAGAUCGAUACCUUUUUGCAUUCAUGCAUUUGUAUUACAUCGUAUUAUAUGCAUUUAAAUUAUAAAAAGAUCAUAAUUAGUUAAAGUUAUUAAAAAAAGAGAAAAAAAGAGAGAGAGAGAGAGAAGAGGGUCACGGCUAAGUGAAAAAGAGACGUUCCCUUACAUAUCCCUGACUUUUGUGUCAAGAGGGAUAGCUUACCCAGAGAAUGGGGUGUUUGGAAAUGAAAAUAAUCCGAUCAAUGUCAUACAUGAGGAAGGGACUGAACAAAGAAAUCUUGAGGGCAUUUGCCCUUACAAACCGGGAAGUUCUUUAAAAAAUUGGACUGCAGAAGAACUUCCUGUAAUCUUUAGGAAUUUUACGGGGUAAUAUUCAGAACACUCUUGUUGCUCUAAAGCCUAGGAGUAAUGAGAUUUCUUUUGAGAAGUGGGCUCAUGUUCAGACAUUUUUAUUUUCAAUAAAACAUACUUUUAUUACUUAUCUGAGUAAAUAUUCUUUCAUUCUGAUUCUUUUGACCUUUGACAUUCUUUAUAAAUUUUCAUUUCAUGUAAAUAGUCAUUUUUGAAUUCAUUUAUUCCUUGUAUAUUCUUUUGUAUGCCUAUCAUAGAUCCCUAGAUAUCAAUGACACGGGAAACGAUACUAUAGAUUCAGAGUUCCUUUUGAGUGCGAUAUGUGUUUAGAGGAAUCUCAGUACUUUGAAGGUGACAGAAAUUGUGACUUGUUUCUGAAUUUGUUGAAAAUGGUUUUUACCCCAUGAAGUGGUGGUAGGAAAUAUAGCCUUAGAGAAAGGAAAUAUUGCGAAAUUGGAAUUAGCUGAGGAGACAAAACAAGACCUUGUUGAGACUAUUAUGGGAAUUCAAAAAUAUGGUCCAAAGACGCAUGCAGGAGGAUUUGCAAUUGCCAGGAUAAACAUGAGGUUUUGGGGCACUGUUGGUCCACCAUGGAAAGGGAUCGCAUCAGUUGUACAAUGAAUGCCAAAUUUAAAGGAGUAAAGACUUAUAGGGCAUGUAUGUUAUGGGCCCGAGCUCAUCAAAAGUUUCAAGCUGACAAUAACUCAUCUUUGUAGACGUCAACUACUCCAUUAAGAGGGGGAGAUAGCUUCAUAUGCCAAUAUUACAAAGUCAAAAGUCAUCUAUUUCAAAAAAAAAAGUAAAAAGAUUAUAUAUAACUGCACAAUGCCAAAAGUUUGCAAUCUUUUCAAAGAUAAUGCGCCAUACCACAGUACAACAAAGGUUGCCAAAAGAAAAAGAAGAAAAAACAAAUUACAAAAGAUGACCGAGACUAGUAAAAAUUGGCAUAAGAAACUACCGCCUACUCUUUAUGCUUACGCUGGGGCAAACACCUUCAAUUCCAGUUGUUUCAAAGGUUCCAACCAUCAUCCUUGGAAUGGGUGCAUUGUUUGGCUUUCCUGAGCAGUCUGAUGUGCCGUCAAUAGCUACGAUGGUUAGCUCCAGGCGGUGGCCAUUGAUUUUCAGCUAUGGGACAUCAGGCCGUACACAGUCUCUGAAGCUUAAAAUGAUAGAUUCUUUCUUCAAAACCAGUUUCUGACAAAGUUGAUGACGGUAUCAUGAAGGAAGCUCUCUUAGACUUCUAUACAAGUUCAGAGAAGAGGAAACCUGAUCAAAUUAUUAUUCUCAGGGAGAGGGUUAGCGAGUUUCAAUUCAAUCAAGUUUUAAUCAAGUUAUUGAGGCUUGCAAGUUCCUUGGCGAGAAGUGGAACCCUAAAGAUUGUGGUUAUUAUUGUACGAAAAACCAUCAUACCAAGUUUUUUUUUCAGCAGGGAUCUCCUGACAAUGUGCUACAUGGUACUGUCAUUGACAACAAAGUAUGCCAUCCAAAGAACAAUGAUUUUUACCUUGGUACCCAUGCUGGAAUAAUUGGAAUCACGAGACAGACCCACUAUCAUGUUCUCUUAGACCAGGCUGGGUUUUCGGUUGAUGAUCUACAAGAGUUUGUUUAUUCUCUAUCCUACAUGUAUCAAAUGAGCACUACAGCCAUAUUUGUUGUGCCUCCUAUUUGCUACGCUCAUUUGGCAGCUUCACAGUUGGGGGCAAUUUAUGAAGAUUAGGGAUGCUUUAGAAACAUCAUCGAGUCAUGGUGGGAUGUAUGCUCCAGGAGUAAUCUCUGUACCUCAGCUUUCCAGGUUGAAGGAUAAAGUCAGCAAUUUCAUUCUUGUCUGCUGAGAAUCAUUGAACCAUCUUUUUGUAGGGUUUGACAAACAACAGCCAGAACGGCUGCUGGGGUAAUCCCUUUCUCAUGGGUUUAUGAAUUAAGAUUUUUCCUCCAAGCUUUGAUGGAGUCAAGAAUUGAAUACCUCUAGUAAACUUAACUUGAAAGUAUUCAUCCUAAGCAAAUGUACCAAGAAUGGAUGGCACAGACUUAUGACAAAGAAGGUUCGUCCAAAAGAAUCUCAUAAAGGAAACCUUGCAAAAGGAUGCCGAAUUGGGAAGGGCCAUAUGUUACGAAGAGGGCUUUCUCUAGAGGUGCAUUGAUUUUGACAAGAAAUGGAUAGGAAGAAUUUAUCUGAUCAAACCAUUCAUAGGCAUUUUGAAGGAACACGACACCAAAAAGUUUGGAAAACAAAUUACAAUCUAAACUCAAUAUUCAAUUAUGAACUCGUAUUAAAGUUAUUAAAUAUGGCAAAAUUAGAACUGUCUAAUAGAUUUUGAACUACUUUGCUUCGAAUGAAAUAGAUUUUUUUGUUUAAAAAGUAAAUGCAGAGCGGGAUGGGGUGGAUUUUUUCUUUUGAAUAAUGGUUAUGGAGCUGUUACAAUAACUGCUUGUCCUUUCCCGACUCAUUCCACUAUAUAAAAUUAUUAUUAUAUCUUUGUAUGUAUAAACUAUUAGAAGGGGAAAAAUGUAAUGUAGAAAAAAAUCAAAUAUUUUAUGUUUAAAUAUUUUUGAAGAAUUACAUUUAAAUAUUUAUUUGACUUUAAAAAGAUUGAAAAUAUUAAAAACAAAUAUAAAAAAUAAAUUGAAGAGGAGCAUGGUGAGGUGGGGCAGAGAUAGAUGAAUACAACAUGCAAAUGAUGGAGCGGUAAUAGAUUUAGCAAUAUUUAUUCUCAUCCCGCUCUAUUGUCAUCUUUAGAAGCUAUACUAGAUUAAUUCAUAAUAGUAAAUUUUAAAUAAAUUAUAAAAAAACUAUCAUUUUCAGCUAAAGAAUAAAAUAUUUGUAUUACUAAAUUACAUCUAUGAAAACAUAAUCAAAUUCCUAGUGCCUUUAUAAUUUUUUUUAAAAAUUUUGAGUUAGGUAUACUUAAGUAUCUAAAUAAAUGGCAUGUGAGCCAAAAAAGAUAUUAUUAUUUUUGAAUGUAAUAUGUAAAUUCUAAUAGUUUAAUAUGGAAUUUGAUCCGAUAAAUUCAUAAAUUUAUCCCAUUUUACAAGAAAUUAUAUAUAAUUGUAUAAAAUUAAAAUUUAUGUGUUGAAACCAUUUUUUAGGGCUAAAAAAACGGGGAUCGACUUUUAAAACCAAGUGUGAAGUCGCCACCAAUCUUUUUAUUUAGGUGUGAUUGGGUCACCUAAUAAAACACUUUGUUUUAUUUAAAUCGAUUUUGGCCUACAUAAACUUGAGAAAACGGGUUCGGGAGCCGGUUACGUAUGAGGAAGGAUUAGCACCCUCACUACGCCCAAAAUUGGUACCAAAUUGAUUAAGUACUGUCCUUAUGUCUAAGAUUUAAAGCUAUUUUGAAAUCUAGUUCCUUUUAAAACAUUUGAAUGGCUUAAGUUGGUCGUCGAAAUUCUCUUGUUUCAAAGGAAUAUAGCAUCACAUCCAGCACGAUAGGACACGAUCCUUUAUACCCUCGAAAACGCGAUAAAUUUUUUACUUCCAAAAGUUUAUACGUUGAAAAUUACAAAAGGAUGCCCAAUUAUUUAGUCCAACGAAAAACCGAAACUCAACACAGUAGGGCACGAUUCCUCGAAUUUCCAAACAUUGAACAUUGCCUCGCUUUAGAAUUUAGAAAACACAAGUGAAAUUCAAAAGGAAUAUUCAAUUAUUUUGAACAAACGGGAAAUCGAAACCCAGCACGAUAGGGCACGAUUUCCCAAAUUUCCAAACAUCAAACAUUGUCUUCGUUUUAAGGAAUUUUCAAAUGAAUAAUUGUAAAACCAGCUUAAAACGCAUUAAUUUAAUUUGAAAUAAAAUAGAAUUAUUAGUUUAGAUUAAUAAGUUUAAAAUCCCAACGAGUCAAUUGCAAGUAAAAGGUGAAAUUAUAAGCAUGAGAUAAUAUGCAUGGGUAGCGAACUCUAUUAAUGAAUAAAAAUAGUGUAAAGAUGAAUAAACAAAUAAAAAAUUUAACGUGCAUAAAAUAAUAGUAAGCUCACAUCCAAACAUUAACAAUCAAAAUCGUGAAAGCUAAAAAUAUAACUAAAGAAACAAAUCAAAGUAAAAGCCCCAACAAGUUUUCAAACCUAGAUAAAUAAAAUUAAGAUAACAACACCAAGUACCAAUUGAAAAUAUAAUAUAAUAACCUAUAAAAAACGAUAAAGACAACCAAACACAUAUGAUAUACAAAACAAUAUGGACAAACUACAAACACAUAAAUAAUUAUUAAAAUAAAGAUUAUGAAAGAGGAAAUUUGAGUCAAAUAAUAUGCAUAAACAUUUUAAAGAUGAUGUAUCCAUUUAAAGUUGACAAAUGUAUAUACAUAUAAAAAUAGUAUUUAAAUGUGAGAUUCUAAAUCAAAACAAUGUGUAGUAAAAUAUGUUCUAAAAAAUGACUUAUGUACAUAAAGAUAUAUAUAGGAAAAUUUUAAAAGAACUUAUAAAAUAAAUUAGCAUGGGACUAAAUAUGUACAUAGAAUUAAAUUAAUUUUAUUAUACAUGUACAAACACAUAUAAAACAUUUGAACAAGUGUUAUAUAAAUAGUGAAAAUAAUGUGAUAUAAAAAUGAACUUCAAAAUGGUAAUUUUAUAAAAACAAAAUAAAAUUAUUGAAAUAGGUCAACACAUAUAUGAAAAUAUUAAGAACUUUAAAGCAAUAAGCAUUACAAAUCAAAAACUUAAUUAAAAUAAUACAUGUACAAAUAUAUAUAGAUUAUCUAAAGGAAUAUUGCACACAAUGUUAAAAUAAAAAAAAAAAUCUUUAAAAUAAUUGUUCAAAUAGAAACAAAAAAAAUAAUUAAAACAAAUAAGCAUAUAUAAAAUAUUAACUAUAUUGAAAUGGUAGGUUGUACAAAUAGAGAACUAAAUUAAAAUAGAAUUAAAAUAAAAAGGUCAAUUUAUAAAUAAAAUAAUAAAAAAAACAAUAUGCAAUGGGCGCAAAUGUAUAAGGACUAAAACUGGAAAUAAUCCAGCACCAAAAAGCAGUGCAGUACCGCGGACUCAAAUGAAUACGCGCACGAAUUAAAGAGUCAAAAUAAAAAAAACAAAGUAAAACAAAUAGGGCGCAAUUGAAUGCUUACGCGAAAGGAAGGAUCUAACGCGCAAAUUCCCCACUUCGAAUGAAAAGGCGCAGAUCCGACCUGUUAAUUGGGUUGACGCGCGGACCCUUCUUGUUACAAAUGGCGCCGUUUUUUAAGAAAUGAUUUAAAGCCUCUUUCUUUUCUUCUUUCAAAUGCAACCAACCCUCUUAACAAAAACCAACAGUUCUAAAAAUCAAUCUGCUAGGGUUUCUAUCAUCCACCGAAUCCACCAUUUCAUUUGGUGGUCGAUGGUGUACCAGCAGUGUCCAGAUCCAAUACACGCCCACGGAGAUUCGGUAAGCUACUCUUUUCCUUUCUCUUUUUUUUUUUAAAAAAAAACUUUAAAUCUAAUACUAUUCUUUCAAAAACCAAGUAAAGAUUUGAAGUAAAACAUUCGACCCUCGCCCGUAUCUCCUCAUUUUGAGACGUUUUUGGGCUUUCAUCGGUGUCGAUUCACAUAGUAAAAAGAAAUCGACCCCACGAAAAGGAAAAUAAAUCGAAAGAGAAGGAACAAAAAAGCUUGAAAUCAACUUUACUAUUUUUGAUUUCUUUUUUUCUAUUCUGUGUGCGUAAAAAAAAUCAAUACAUUAUUUUUUGGCUUUAUAGCUGAAAUCUAAAAGAAAAAUAAAUAUCAAAAUACAAUAUUUUUUCUUGCUUUUUGCUGUCGUUCUCUUGUUCGUUUGUAGGUAUUGGGUACGGGGCCAGCUAUGGGGCGUACGGAGGUGUGCGUAGCACUCGGCGUAGGGUGUACGGAGGUUGCUCGUGGCAGUCGUACGGCGCUGAGGGUUGCUAGGGUUAGGCUUGGCUGAAAUUUGGUUUAGGCAUUGGGCCUUUUGGGCCAUCAGGGUUUUGGGUUAAGGAUUUGUAAUUGGGCUGAUUAGUUUUGAGUUUUGUUAUGUAAUUGGACAUUUAAUGGACUGUUAAUAUUUGGAUUUUUUGUUUAUUUAUUUGGUCUUUAUUUUAUAAAUAGGGCCAAGACACAAUUGGCCUAUUACAUUAUGUAUUAAAUUACACAUUGAAUAAAUAUUUAUAUAUAAUUUUAAAAUAUAUCCUGAUAUAUUAUAAACUUUGUUUAAUUGUACCUAAGCCAUUCCUUUCUAUUCAGAGAUAAAUUUUAUGGGCAAUUUACUAGAUAUAGCGACAAAAAGAAUGUCACUAGUUUUUCUUAACAAAUAUACAAACCUAAAAACAAAAUGUUAACCCGUUGUGGUUAUUAGAGUACUUUUUGUUGGAAAAAAAUGUAAUUUUUAGACAUAAAAUCAUGGUUUUGAAUUCUACUCCAUGAGACCUUUAUAAUGGUAUAUUAUAUGCUGAAAAUGAAUGAGUGAUGAAUGAAAAAUUGAUGCUCAAAAUAAGUCACUUGGGAAUAUUUGUUGAGGAAAAGAAAAGCUUAGAUCCCAUAUUGGUUAACUACCUAGUGUGAGACAUGUAUAUAUAUGUGUGUGUGUGUGUGUGUGUAACACCCCAAACCUAGCCUAGACGUUAUGGCCGAAUCUCGAGAUGUCACAAGGAAAGGUUUUGAAAACAGAGUCGCUCUGAUAAAUCAUUCCAGUUUUAGAACUCAUAUUCGUUUAUCUCUAUUGUCGAAAACGUUAUUUAAUUAAUUUAUUUGCCAAAAUGUUAUUUACAGCGAAAGUCAUAGAGAACAUUAUUUUUGGAAAUCCCAUUCGUAAAUUUUGAAAAACCUUUGCUUUAGUAAAAACGAUGUUUUUGAUAUCCAUCGCAAAUAAAAUGUAAAAACGAGAAUCUAAAUCCAAAAAUAAAAACAAACAGUCCGGAGAGUCCAAUUAUUACAAAACUCCCAAAAAUAAUCCUUAAAUUAAAUAAAAACUAGUACUUAAGUCAGUUUACGAACUCGUGGUCGCCGUGAGGCUCCGUCGCACUGAUCCACCUAAGUCUGUGGAUUACCUGACCAAAACAGACAAACAGAUGUGAGUUUUCAUAAACUCAGUGUGUAACCCAACAGAAUUAGACAUGCAUUACAUACAGAAAUCACAUAUACAGUCAGAUUCGGAUUCAGACCAGGUCUUUUAUAGAUGCAGAUAACAGAUUCAAAUAUGCAGAAUAGGUAUACAGAAUCCAACCCCCAUCCUCUAUACACCAACUCCAACCACCCCAUCACACUAUGUGGAGUUAAAAACACCCACCCAUCCCUAUACACCAUAUUGUGUCUUUACGACACGAAUCAGAUAAUAUGCAGCUAAGCUGCCAGAAUACAGGCGAAGGUCACCAUAUAGGACAUUUCCUCUACGUAUACAAUCCCUACCCCAAACAUAAUUACAGAUUACAAAUACAGAAAUAUCAUGCUUAACAUGCUCAUAUACAGAUAUCAAAUAUAUAAAUAUAACAGAAUAAUCAGACAUGCAUAACAGUGUCAUACUCGGAGCAGAAUAUCAGACUAUCAGAUCAUAUAGUUUUGGGGUUUGGUUAGCCCUUAUCGACCCUAGGUUAGGCCCACAGUCGAUCAGAGCGACCCGUGCAACCUUAGGGAAAAUUUCAAAAAUAUGGUCCACAUGCCCGUGUGGCCCACACGCCUAGAUUGGCCUCACCCGUGUGGCUCACAGAGCCUGGCCCAAUACCCACACGCCCGUAUGACAUGCCCGUGUGUCCCACACGGCCGUAUGGCAUGCCUGUGUGGGCCCACACGUCCAAAUUGGCAUAGCUCGUAUGGACCACACGGCCACAUCCACAUCAUUACACGACUAUGGCUUGUGCUCGGCCAUGCCCUCAUCAAACACAUGGUUGUGUCUCGCACAUGACCACCCACAUGGCUGGCCAUAUGCCAAUGUGGCGUCGACAGUAAGCAUUUUUUACUUUCACUGAAACUCUAUUUUUCACGUUUUAAGAACACACUUGGUAUGAUUUUGAUGCGAAAACAGUCCCGAGACCACCAGCACCUAAAAUUAACAAACCAAACUCCAAAAUCAAACAUAAUUCAUGAUUAAACCAAAACCACAAACCCAACAAUAGUCCAAUUCAAGCGUUCAACACUUACCCUAAUGCCCCAAAUGAUUUCGACUAAGAUUCCGCAAGAGGAGAGCCCCAUUCUUCACGAUUCGCCGCUGCCAAAAUAGAAAAUAAAUCUCCAACUGGCAAUUUGGAAAUCGAAACUACAGAAACACUAGAAUCCCACUUACCAAACAAUCAAAGGAAACAGAAAAGCAAGAUACAAAGAUUCGUUGACCGAUCGAAACAAAAUUAAAGAAGUAGCAAAAUAGAUGAAGAACAAAAGAGCAGAGAAGGCAAAUGAAAAUUGACAUCAGUUUUUCUUGGCAAAAGAGAGGAAUUUUUUAAAAGAAAAUAAAAAUAAAAUAAAAAAUAUAUCAUAAAUCCUUCAAAUUCUUCCCCACUAUCCCACUAACAAACAACUUUCUCAGAAUUCCAACUCCACCAAAACUCUACAAUGCAACCGAGCAAAAAUAACAUCCACAGUCACACUAGGAUUUGAACACAAUACCUCCAACAUACUAACUCCUUACCACUCAAACCAGCAGGCUUAUUUUGAUAUGGAUUACCAGAUAAUUUUAUAAAAACUCACUUAACAAGGAUAAAGCUUAGGAUUAGAAAAAUAACAAAAUUUGCAAAUAUGAGACUUGAUCCCAAGAUCUCAUACACACCCCUAGGAUACUUAACCACUAAAGUAGAUACUGGAGGUGCUCAUGGGUCAGGCCAGGCUCAACUAACAAUUUAGGCCCAUUUACUAGGCCCGAGCCCAGCCCUGCCUGAAAAAUGGGCCUAAAAUUUUUCCCAAGCCCGACCCAGAUAAAAAUGCUAAAACCCGGGCCUGACCUAGCCCGCCUGUAUUAAUUUUUUAUAUAAUUUUUAAAUUUAUAUAAUGCAUCAAAAAUACUAAAAACAUCAAAAUAAAUAUUUCUCAACAAAUUGAAAAUAAAUUUUAAAAAAUAUGUCGACUUAAAUAACAGAAAGAUAAAUGCAACUUAACAAGCAAAUGCCUCUAAAAUAAUAACAAAAUUAACAAAUGUCUUUAAAAUAAUAACAAAAUUAACACUAAAAUAAGUUUUAUACAAUAUCCACACAAUAACAAUAAAAUAAUAGCAACAUAAUAGUAAAAUGGUAGCAAAAUGGGAAGGAAACAACAAGAAAACAACAUUCAAAAAAAAAAAAAGAACAAUUUUUUUUUACAAUUUGGGCCACUUUGAUAAUUUGGCCUAAUAUUCAAUUAAAUUACUUUCCAAACUUCAGAAUGGGCUUGUAGACAUCUUAAUGGGCCAUUUUUUCAUGAACUUGUACUUGUGAUCCAUUUGCUCUCGAAAUUGGCUCGUUCAAGCUCGUAUAUGAAAUCCAAUGCUCAUUGGCUACAAGAUUUGGUUUCUUGGACCAAGAUUUCCAAGAUUUGAAAUCUUGAUUCUUGAAAUUGUGCAAAACAUCAAAAUUGGUGCAAGAUUCGGUUUCUUGAUUUUCUUGAAAAUAAAAAAGUGAAACUUGAUUUUGUUUUUCGGUUGUGUGCGCAUCUAGGGCCUUGGUAACAAAGUCUUGGAUGGUCCAGUUCAAUCUUGCUCGAAUUUGCUUGGCAUUCGACCUCGUUAUUGGGCCUUGAGGUAAUGUGAGCCCAUGACAUCCAUAGGUUUGAAAUUGGGCCUUAAGACUCGCAUCAUUAUGGUGGAUGUUGUAAAUGUGGUAUGGUAUAUUUGGUGGUUUGAAUUGAAAUACCAUAUUUGAGCUUGUUGUUGUAAGUUAAGAGACAAGCUUUUGAGGUGUCUUAAGUCGCCAUUUGAGAUGUUUUUAUGUUUGGGCAUGAAAUGGACUUGUAGAGGGAGAUUUUGAUCAUUUUGGCAAGAAAGUAUCGAUACCAUGGUAUAGGUAUCGGUACUUGACCAUUUGAACAAUUUUCUCAAACAAACAGAAUGCCAAAACGAUAUCGAUACUUAAUUGGUUAUUGAUACUUUUCUAAUAGGUAUCAAUACCACAUGACAUGUAUCGAUACUUGUGAUUUAAACGAAGUAUUUUCAAAACAUCGAAGCUAAAACAGUACUGGUACUUAUCCAAGGGUAUCGAUCCUGUUAUGACAGUUUUGAAACUUUAUAAUUCAACUCUAUUUCAUGCUUGGACUUCAUAAUUAGGCCCUUGUAUGUUCAGUUUAAAUUAAUUUGGAGUUUUUGCUUGUUUAUUAUCAUAUGAUUUGGUUUGGUUUGAAUUGUUUGACAAAGUUUCCUUUGCAACGAAUGUGACAUUUCAUUGCACAAACCCCACGAUCAGGUCGCAAAUGCUUGGGAUGGAAUUGAGAAGGCGGUAUUAAGGUGAUCCAUACUUUGAAGAGUACAUGGAAAAAGAAUAUAUUGAUUAUAUUAAUGAUACAUAUUCAAAUUCAGAUGAUGGAUAACUCUAUCAAGGAACAGAUAACGACAAUGAGUAUAUGUUAAAUGUUAAAGAGGGAACAGCUUAACAAAUAUGAAAUGUUAGAGUAAUUAGAAAAAAUUGCAUAUGGUGUAAGGAAUUACAAUUCGUUAUAAUUACAAGAGAGUGUAAUUAUUGUAAUUACUACUCUAGUAAUUACACUUUCAUUCAAUUAUAUUGUGUUAUCCAAACAAACACUAAAUCUUUUCAAAUAUAAAGGAUAACUCAACUUCUCAAAUAAAUUUAAUAUUUGUAUAUAUAAUAUAUAAUUAAAAAUGUUUAUAUUAAUUAAUAAAAUAAGAAUAACUAAUAUUAUAAAUAUCUAAACCCUUACCAUCUUACCAAUAUUAGCUUCCCCUCCUACUACUUGCUCCCAAACUACCACUUGCCUUAAUUAAUGAGAUAAGUCUGCCAUCUUGAUUUCUUUAUUUUUGGGUUUUCAUCUUCGCUUAAUUCUUGUUUAGAUUAUUGGUUUUCUUUUUUCUUUUUUUAAUUUUGAGCUCAAGAUCAAGAAAAUUUUUUAAGUUCAAUACUUUUUUAUUUUGAAUUCUUUUGCUUAAUUCAGCAAUUAUGUAUUUUCUCGAUCAAAAAUUUUAUUAAUAACACAAAAAAAAUUAAAAGAUUUAUAAUGCUAAUCAAUUCUCAAAACUAGGUGGCAAUUAAAUUUUAAUAUAAUUUAAUUUUAAAAAGUUAAAAUUCCCGCAUAUCAUUAUGUUUCUUGAAAUAAGCAAUCAGACUAUCAACAUCCUAGAACAUACUUUUUCUGAAAUUUCGGGAGAAAAAUAUUUAUUUGUGUUUGAGGGAGACAUUAUGAUAGUUUUAAGGUGUAUUUGAGUUCACGGUGAUGUCGUGAUGCUCGGAAAUUCACACAUUUCAUCUAUUAUGUGGAGAAGUAACCAUCACCUUGGAAACCCAUCGCAUUGUAACUUGGACUCUCAGUUCACAUUGUUAUACAGUCUCGAGUUGAAAUAUAACUAAGGUUUCCAGUUGACGGUUGUUAAACAGUCAUGAGUUCAAGUAUAACUCAAGACCCUAGUUAACAGUGAUUAUGCAAUUACGGUUCAAUUUUUUUAAAAAAAUAUAUCUUUAUUUGUAAAUGGAUAACACAAUCCAUUUGGUCUAGCUAAUUAUUAUUUUUUAAAAAGAUAUAAUGACAAAAAAAAAUCCACAUUUACACAUUUUAGCAAUUUGACCCAUAUUCUUAUUUCUUUUUGGCAAAUUUGCCUUCAACAUUUCAAUUUCAAGUCAAAUUGCCUAUAUUUUAAUGAAAAAGUAACACUAUUGACUUGGCAUGACUGAAAAUUUUUAAUUCAUAUGAAUAAAAGGACAUAGUUUUGGAAAAAAAAAUGACAUCCUAAUAACUGACAUAAAAUUAAAAAUGAAUAAAAUAACAAAAGACUAAAAGACUAAGCCUUAACCCGGAUAACUAAAAUCACAAACGACGUUUUAAUCUUUUAAUUUGUAUUACUAUUUUUUAAUUCCAUGUCAAAUAUUAGGAUCGUUUUACCCAAAAUGACAUCGGCGAUAGCAAUUAAAAAAAUUUCACGUAAUCAUGCCACAUCAACUUUAUUACUUUUAUUGUUUAAAAAACAAACAUUUUGACUUGAUGUUGGAACGUUGAGAGCAAAACUACUCGAAAGAAAAUCAAUAAUAGUUAAAUUGUCAAAAGAUAUAAACAUUAAGAGUAUUUGUAUAAUUAUACUUUUUUUUUAAAAUGGAUUGGAGCUUUGUUGCACAAACUCAGUAUUUAGGUUUACUUUUUAAGGUAAUAUUUGAAAAGUUACUUAAUAAUUAUUUUUUAAUAUAAUUAUUUGUAAUUACAUAAGAUGUUGAUAUACUUAGAAAACCAUUGUAAUUAAUGGGCCUCGCUAAAUCGGGUGUAAUUGAAACACCCUAGUUACACUUUUUUAAUUUUUAAAAAAAUGUAAAAAUUAGAAUAAUGACACAACUAAUAACACCCAAAUCUAAUUACCCUACAAUUUUCUAAACACUCUUAUAUGAUUUAACUUUAAAAAGGUAUUUUUUUAUACAAGUUCAAGUUAUGAAGGUAUUUUUUUAUACAAGUUCAAGUUAUGAAAAUAUGUCGUACCAGUGUUAGGGAUGAUUAUGACAUUUCUAAAGCUAUAUUAUAAAUCUUCAAAAAAUUAUAUUAUAAAAAUAAUUUGUGAAUUUUAUAAAGUUAUAACAAAAAUAUUAAUUAAAUCUUACAAACUUCUGGUCAAAAGUAUAUUAUAAAAAAAUAAUUUACGUCUUUUAAGAAGAAGUGUUACAAGGGCCCCGACUCAUGCUGUGGAUCAUCAAUAUGCUUCUGAAAAUAACCAACCAGACGAUCGAUGUCCUCGUACAUCGUUUUUCGGAACUUGAAUCCCUUGGGAUAUAAGCGAAUAUACUCGUGAUGUGGUUUCGAACCGUAUAUAAGUAAGAAUAAAAGUACCAGGAUGUUCAUGAGAAAUGCCAAAGCAAUACACUAUUCUCAUAGGAUACUCUGAUUUCUCAAUCCUAAGAAGCUCAUCAACCUCUCCUUUAGUUCCCUUCCUGAACCUAAGAUAACUCAGCAUUGCCUUUAGAUGAGACACAAGGGGGUCAACAUAUCGAUCCAUUACCUGCAAUUUAAAUGCAUUCAAAAGACAUCCAUUACAUGCAUUCUUAUGCAUCACAAUAUAUCAUUUUAUGUUACAACAAUUCAUUCAAAAAAAAAAAAGAACAGAUUUUCAAUGUUAAUGGUUUCGUCCGAUUUUUGUUUAGGGGGCUUCUGCAUUCAAAGAUAAUAAAUGAGUAUCAAUUAGUUCAUUUUUACUAAGAUGAUCCAUGCAGCUUUAAAGCCAAAAACAUCAAGGGGCAACCAUGACUUCAUGCCCAUGCAAGAACAACAGUCGAUUAAAAGUUCAGAAUUGACAAACAUGUUUUUUGCAUGAUGAUAACAACUAAAAAACAUUCAACAUUCAAUUCUUCAGCAUCUAUGUUCUAACCCUGAAAUCUGUCUUCCAGUUUAUGAUCAGCCAUUGUUUCUACAAGCGCACAAGAUUCCUACUGCAACCUAACUCCCACUUCAGCAAAAUGCCUGUGGUUAUUUCCAAUUUAUUCACAUCCCUUGCAAAAUUUUAAGUCAUAUAUCAGAAAACCCCAGGAAAACAAGAAUUAAGAGAACGACUUACCUCAUCCAAAUCCUCGAAAGUGUCUUCCCCAAUUUUCAAUGUCUUCCCAAUGCAUAGCAGGUUGGUAAUGUCCUUAUGUUCUUUUCCACCUUCAACUAUAUCUUUGUGAGCAUAAACUCCAUCACAAAGUUUGAGAGUUAAAGUUAGAAAAGAAGGACCACGAGAACUGGGACGGAUAAUGUUUUCCCCAGGAUCCUUAUCAGAUAAGGACUGUCCAACACAAGAAAAGAAAAACAUGAUUAAAUCCAAAUAUAUAGUCAGCCAUUAGUUUAAAGAAGCAAAACAAAAUGAGAUUGCAGAUAUUUCAUAUUUGAGAAGGAAGCAAGAUGUCAUGGCUUAAACAACCACAAGCUGCCAAAUGUGCAACAUCAUCGAACAAUCAAGUCACCAUCUGUUAAUUUUGCAUAUUCUAUGGGAUUAAUUGAAUUAUUAGAUGUUUGGAUACCUUAGGUUACAGCAACUGGUCUCCUUAUUUAUUCAUCAAAACAGGGUUAUUAAUCCAAAAGCUGCCUAAUGUGCAACAUCAUCACAAACAAUCAAGUCAUCAUUUGUUAAUUUUGUAUAUUCUUUUUGCACACGAAAGAUGCAUUAAGGUUGAAAUAAUAUUAUUGCCAGAUUGGAAGUUGGAACAGGGAAAUUGAGAAGAGUUUAUAUUUAUUCUUUUGAGCUUAUAGAAUAUACUAUAUGACCACAGACAAGGCUGAACUUAAAAUUAAUUCAACCCAAUCAAAGGUAAACUUAAAGAGUUCAUUACUCGCAACAUACCUCAAUAGCUUCAUUAGCUGUAAUAUUUUGAAAGCAUGGAUGGACAAUCAUCCUCGGCAUAAAAGGUUUCUUAGCCAUCUCCCUCUCUUUACAAACUUUCUCUUGGUCACUCUGUAUGCAGCUUCGCUCCUCAUGAUAGUAAGGGUUAAGGUUCUGGACAUGUGUUAGGUCCAAAAACCUCAUGACGUCAUCCUUGUUUAUAGAAAGAUCCGUCCUUUCUUUACCAAAUAACAGUAUUGCACUACUUGUAAGCUGUUUAUGCAUCCAGUUGCUCUCUUCAUCCAUUGGAGGACUGCCAGUGCUUUCCUCAAAAAUCUACAAAAACAAAUCAGAAGCCAAUCGACUUAUGUUAAGAGAGAUCAAGGUAAUAAAUAGUAAGAACAUUAACAACUAUAUCAACAAACCUGAAUUCUUUCUGGAAUAUCAAUCGUCCGAAUUUCAUCAUCCUUUACCGUCAUAUACUUUUCAGAAAGAACAGUGGGUUCGAAUUUAUCUUCAAGUCUCCUUUCUUUCUGAUCACUAUAAUCUAAUCUCUGUUUGCGUAGCUGCAGGAGUUCAUCAACAUCACCAAAUAUGUCUUGAGCUCCCUUUAAAGCAGAUGGUGAAACAUCAAAUGCAUGCCCUGAUUUCUUAUUCUUCAUCUUCUUCCAUCUACAAAACAAGUUACUCCAAGAUUCCAAAAUUAAAGUAUAAAGGGAUCGGCAUAUCCAUGCAGUGCAUAGGUUGUACCUAACAGAAUCCCCAGGCACAUCAUCUUCUUCUACAAUAAAGUCUGCCAUUUUAUCUUCUUCACCCAUAUCUCCAUCCCCUUCCUCUUCUAUCUGUUCUUCAUCUUCAGGAAUAUCUUCGAGAGGUUGCCCUUAAAUAUUACAUAUACCGACCAGUCAUUCAAAACUGAAUUCAAAUGAUAAUGAUAAUGGAUACUAUGCUAAAUAUACAAACCAUCAUCAUCGCCAAAUAAGGUACACUUAAGCUUUUCCUCAGUAUUUGCUCCACCAUUCAUGCUUCCAUCAAACUCAUCAUCACAGAACCCAUAUUGUUCCUCAUAUAAAUCCCUUCGAGCCUUUUUUAGCCGCUUAAAUUUCUUGCUACCCUGGAAAAAAUUGUGAAGCAGAAAGCUCAAAUAUAUAGGUAAAACAGUUGUGCAGGGAACCAAAUUAUACAAAAAUAAUCAGUAUGAUCAAAUCUAACAUUAAUUCAGUAAAACUAAAAGAACUUACAAGAUAAAAUUUCACUCAUAGAACUUAACAAUCAUCAGUUAUUAGUUCUUCAGGGGAGGGAAACAAAUCUAACAACCUUUGGUACAUUGACGUCAUUCUCCCGGAGGAGCUCAUAGUCAUCUUCGUCAAGGCCUCAGUUUUGCUGAAAACAUUGAUAUAAAAAUCAUCAGAAAUUUGUUAAACUACCCUCUCUGACUAAUAGAAUGAUAUGAAGCUUUCUUAAACUAAAAAAGUAAAAUACUAAUAAUAUCUCAUCUUCAUUUUACAGACAAUGUAGCAGUAACAUAGCAUCAAAGGAGGGAAAAUACUCACUUCUUCUUUCUCUUUUUCUUUUUUUUCCCGCCUCUCCUCAUCGCUAUCUUCCCUCUCUUCAGCUUCAUCUACCACAUCAACUAUGAAUUCAUCAUUCUCAUACUCAUCUUGCCCCUCAUCUGUUCAAAUCAAAAAUAAAUAAUCAAAUAACUACAACGAAUUUACGAACCCAAACGAAACUGAAGAACACCCUCCCUCCCAAAUAAGAAAAAUAUAACACCCAUCAUGGCAUUCAACCGUAAUUAUUUUAUAAUGAAUUCAUGAACCACUGACGAAACAGGAAAAAAAAACCACCAAUCAUGGCAUUCAGCCCUAAUUUUAUUUUCAUUCUCAUUGUUUCUCUAAAAAUUUAAAUAAAAAAAACGAACGCAGAACUCAAAAAAAAAUUCCCAAUUAUUGAAAGGAGAAAUUGGAUAUCAGAAACAAGCUAUACCGUCUUCUUCUUCGUCAUCGUCAGGGUCGCGAUCAUGGAGUGUGUCUCCCUCAAUGGGCUCUCCAUCUUCGUCGAGUUCCAACUCCUCUUCACGAACUGAACCCCCAAAACCAAAACAAAAAAAAAUGUAUGAAAAUUUAAGGAUUCGUUAGCAAAAAAAAAAAAACCGAAUGAAGAGCUUUGGUUUUAGCUCAAAAAAAAUAAUAAAACGGUAUCACCUUCAUCGUCAGAGACCAAAUUUUUGCCCAUAGUUCAGAAAAGAGAACCAAUGCAGAGAAAAAGAGAAAGAAAGAGAGAGAGAGAGACUUCAAUUUGCGAGUAGGGUUGAAACCACCUAAAAAUUCUACAACAAGCGUAUGAAAAUAUAAGAAUGUACUAUAUAUAUUAAAAUAAACUUAUUUAUCAUUAUUUUUUAAAUUCCUAAUAACAUAUUAACUCUUAAAUCGAUUUGUAAUAAGAUAACAAUUUAAUUUAGAUAUUAUUAUGGAUACUAAUACUAUGUUAUAAGAUAUUAUUUAUUCACAAUUUAAUUCGUAAUAGUAUAUUAUUAUAGAUAUUAUCUUUUAGCAAUUUGAUUUCUAAUAGUAUGUUAUAAGAUAUUAUUUAUUCACAAUUUAAUUCGUAAUAGGAUAUUAUUAUUAGAUAUUAUCUUUUAGCAAUUUGAUUUCUAAUAGUAUGUUAUAAGAUAUUAUUUAUUCACAAUUUAAUUCGUAAUAGGAUAUUAUUAUUAGAUAUUAUCUUUUAGCAAUUUGAUUCAUACCUACGUACUACUAUUGUAUACAUAUAUACGUGGAAAUUAUUUAUGAAAGAAUGACUUACUUUGAAGUAGUGAUAAUUGAGAACCAUGACAACCCAUCUGGAUCAACAAUAUUUGAAACAACUAAGAACCUUUUCAUGAUCAACAUAUUGCCUACUUUCACAAUGGUUUCCAAGACCCUUUUUGUCGUUAAGGCCGAGUAUUUGGAGAUGACCAUUGCCUUUGGCAAUGUUUGUAACCUACAAGGUUGAAUCACAUGAAAAGUGUCAUAAGUAAAACCCAUUUUAACAUCCGAUGAGCUUAAUUUGGAAAGGAUCAAACUUUGCGACGAAUUGAUUCUCCAAAAUUGGUAAUUGAAGGAAGAAGAAGAAGAGUUGAGUUGAUAAGGGAUGUAAAAGAAAUAGGCUUAAGGGUGUCGUGAAAUGAGACAAGAAGGUUUUUAAAGGAUUAAGUGGGUGACUCGAUGACGAGUUUUGCAGGUGAAGGAGACAUUGAUAAGUUCUUGAAGGGUUAGCCAUGGAAGAAUAACAAUAAUAUAUAUAUAUAGAAAGAGAAAAAAAUAAUCAUUUCUAAGGAUAAAAAAGAAAAGGGACGGGAGAGAAGAAGAAGAAAAUAAAUAAAAGGAGGUGGUGACGAUUGCUUUGGCCGAAAGAAGUGACAGGUAGUGAAGUAAAAGAAGACAAGAGGAAGGAGAAGAGAAAAAAAAUUAAUUUUUAAAAAGGACUAAAAUAACAAAUUUUCAUUUUAUAAUUUUCAAAACAAAAUAUAAAAAUGCUAACGCGGUAGGUCAAUUAACAUCCUGUUAAUGAGAUAAUGGUUGAGGGUUUAGGGUUUAGGGUUUUAGGGUUUAGGGUUUUAGAGCAACCAAUUCAAGAAAUCAUUCUAAUGACAAUGAAUAAAUUGAAAAAAAAAAUAGAGUGACCAAAAUAAAAAGUCGUUAUUUUAAGGUGAUUUCCGUUGUAGUUUACCUUGUAUCUUAGGUUGUAUUGCCACGGGCAACAGGAGAAGACUUAUGAUCCCUUCCAAACAACAUUCUAGAAGUCAACUUAAAGCUCGUUCUUCAUUAUGUUUAGGGUUCCAAAAAUGUUUUUCACCACAAAACCAAUGAAGAACAACAAACUUUUGAGGUCAAAACUGCACUAAAAAAAUUAACAAACCACUUUUUUAAAGCCAUACUAUAGAUCCAUUACCUAUUUGGCACCGAAAACCCUUGUUAAGCACCUCUCUACCAGACAACAUACUUCUCCAUGUAAGAAAACAAUUUAGAUGUUUAAUAGCCUCCAAAAAGUUCCCAUAUGAAAGAUAUGUUGGAAAAAUAUACUUUUUUGCAAACUUUAAGAUAUAUUCUCGAUUGGUGAAGGUAGAAAGUUGAAUUAUAAAAUUAUGGUUUUAUAUUCUACUCCAUGAGACCUUUCUAACUGUAUACCAUAUGCUCAAAAUGGAUAAGUGAUGAAUGAGAAAUUGAUGUGCAAAGUAAGCCACUUGUGAAUAUUUGUUAAGGAGAAGAAAAACUUAGAUCUCACAUUGGUUAAAUAUCAAGUAUGAGAUAUGUAUAUAUAUGAGAACCCACUUGAGAGUUAUUAAAUGAUUAAGCUUGAAACCUUACCUUGCGCAUAAGGGGUGCAAAUUCAAACUUGCUAGGGUUAGGGGUGCACCUACACAAUGUGAGUGACUCUAUGAAUAUUUUAGCCCAAUCCGUAAUUUAUUUUUCUCAACAGAUAUUUUACAGAAUAUGUUUUAAAAUGCCUAUAAAAGCCUAAAGAAUACUAUAGAAUUCUUAGAAUUCUAUACACACACAAUGAAUUUAUUUCACCCUAAAAACUUCUUUCCUAAGCACUCGAAAACUUCACUAAUUGAAUUAUUUUCAAAAAUAUAUUUUCAAUACUUAGAAAUGUUAAACUUGUAUUUAUAGUUAUGGUUUCACAUAAAAAAACCAUCAUCCCACUAUCCACAUACACUCAUUGCCGCACAACAAAAUAGUGGAUAGCCAAAUGUGGGGUUGAGGGCAGUAAAAAUGAGAAUAACCCACUAAAAGGACCUUGAAAGUUGGUAUAAAAACCCCAUGAAGAACCCCAUGAAGGAAAUGCAAGGUUAACAUUAAGAAAUUAAAUAUAGAAUCUUCUUCUUCAUCUUUGAGUGUUGUAAGAAAAAUGGUGAUUAAGUAGUUAAUAGCUUAUGUUGCAGCUAUGUUAGCAAGCUUGCUAGUGAAGUUCAUGCCAUUGAGUCUGACAUGACCGAGAUUUGCAUGUUUUCUACUAAAUUUAUAAUUUUAUCGACACCCCAAGUCCAUCAAAUUCAGCCCAUUCAAAAGAAUGGUUAAUUUAAUUCAAUAAAUGAAUUAUAAGUGAUAGAUAUUGAAAAUGUUGAAAUUAAUUUCAUUCAACAUUUGGAGAAUUGUCAAUUCUAUAUUUUUUAAUAUUUUUAUUUAUAAUAUUUGUUUUAUUUCAUUACUUUCAAAUAAUAUUUAAUAUUUUAUUUACAUAAUUUAGGUGUAUAAAGAAAUAUAUUUAUAUAUAAUGUUAAAUACAUAAAUUUAAAAUAUAUAAAUAAUUUCAUAUAUUAAAAAAAGGAGGGAUCCACUUAUGUCAUGCGUUGUGCUCGCAAUCAUGGCAAACUUAUGUGAUCCAUCAAGUUCAAGGGAAAUCAAUUGGCCCAAUUGGACUGACCCAUUGCUUAGAGAGAUUGAAGGUUCAUCUACAAAACCUGACAAAUAUGGAACGUAAUAUUCAAGACAUGCAAUCUUAGAUAUGAUAUGUAAAUCUUAGAAGAUAUGAUUUGUGUUGGUGCCUUGGAGAAAUUUUGUUGAAUCCUAAAUUAUUGGGAAUUAGGUUGUUUUAGGCAUUUUUGGGGCAAAGAACUGCCUAAGGUCGCACGGAUUGUGAGGCGAAAAUUUUAAGUUCGUGAUAGUUUACACUAGUGUGAAACUAAAGUAAUUUUACAGGCUUUCAUAUAUUUUUGUAUGAUUUUUAAUUUAACAAUUCAACCAUUAAAUUUAUUAAUAUUAUUGUACUUUUCAUGCAUGUAAAUUCUCAAAUUGAUUCUAUAUUCUUAUCAUAUUGAUCUAAAAUAUUGUAUAUAUUAAGAUUCAUUCAACGAUUAAAAAUAUUUUUACAUAAAACAAAUAGUUAAACUUUUUUUAAUUUAUGUCAAAUUUUAUAUAAAUGACAUAUGAAAUAUGAUGUUUUUACCGUUAAAAUAUUAAUUGCACAAAAAUAUGCAGAAGGGUGUAAAUUGCUUUAGUUUAAUGUCUGUAAUGGUCAUUUUUCUUUUUCUUUUUUUUUACUAUACAUCUGUAAUCUAUCUCACUACCAUUGUUGUGUUCGAAUCCUAACACACAUCUCACCGUUAAUUUUAAUCUCAUUACUAUAAUAACUAAUCUCACUAUUAUAGUAAUUAAUGUCACCGCCACCGCUAUUUUUAAUCUCACUGGAAUUAAUCUCGUUGCCACAAGGAGUGACCAAAGUAGGUAUGGGUUGUGGCUCCCUUAAAAAGAAAAUUACUCUUAGGCCUCCUAAAAUGAAAAACUGUUAUUUAAAUCUCUCUAAAAUCGAAGAAAUUAUAAGUUGAACAUUGUAAAAUUUCGGUUUGUCUCCAAAAAUAUAAAAUUUUGAUUUAACACCUCUCAAAACUAUUAAAAGAAAUUAUAAACUAAUAUAAUUAUGAAAUUUCAUUUUAACUUUUAUAAACACAAAUAAUUUAACUUCAACCCUUAAAAACAUUUUUCUAACUUCAUCCUGAUUCAAAUAUAACCAAAGAUAGAGAAAUCAGAAGCACAAUAGUAGGACAGACAGUACUUGCAGACAAAGGCCAACGUAAGUCACAACAAAGAUAAAAACAUAAAGAUGAGGUGGUGGGCUAAUGCGAAGCAAAUCAUAUCACUAUUGUCAGAGGCAAAUCCAGGGGCGUUGGUAGAUGCCUCACUCCUCUAAAAUAGAAAACUGUUGUUUUGGCCGUUUAAAAAAUUUUAAAAACUUAAAUUAGUUAAGGUAAAAUUGCACGUUGCCCCCUUAAAAUUAUGAAAAUUUAAUUUAAUCUUUUAAAAAUUAUAAAGAUAUAGACUAUUAAAAAUUAAAAUUUCAUUUCGGCUCCCUCUAAAAAAUUUUCUAGCUUCGCCCCUGACUAUUGUUAUCAUAAUUUAUCUUCAACCACCAGGAAAAGUGUGGUAUCAAAUUUGGACUUAAUAAUGUGGAAAGCUUUCCAAAUUAUUCAUAUUUGGUGUAUAAAUUUACACGUAGUCAAUCUCAUUAUGUGUUAUGAUCAUAUUUGAUCUUUUUAAUACAAUGUUUAGAAUUAUUCAUAACUCUUCCUCAACCUAUAAAUAGGAAGAUAAUGCGCUUCAACGCGUUCGAAUCCACAACCUCCUGCAUUAGCAAUAAUGCUCAUGCCAAUCGAACUAAGACUUCACUUCUACGUUUAAGUCUAAAAACACAUUGGUUUGAAGUUAUUUUUUUGAGUUGUCACAAAAAAUGCUAUAACAAUGAUAAUUCAUAUCCCAAAUUUUUGAAAUACAUCAUGCGCAUUGGAAUACACAAUCUCCAACUUACUAUAACAGUUAACCUAAAUGUGUGUUUGAUUGAGAAAUUUAUAGGAGUGGUUUGAUUAUUUAUAUCAAGAUUUUCAAAAUUCUAAAAGUGAAUUUACUUAUUUAAGUAAAUAUAUUGAAAAAUAUCAAAACCAUAUUUUAAUAUCUUUCUAGUAAUUUCAAAUGUUUUAAUAUUGAUGGUCCCAUUUUUAAAAAUAAUGUCUAUGUAAUUUUAAUAUAUAUUUUUAAAUUUUUAUUUCUUUUAAAACUAUUUAUAAAAGUUUACGAAUAUAAUGAGAUGCAUAUUAAAUAUUUUUAUAUUAUUUUUAUAAUAUAAUUAUUUUUAUUUUAUAAUUAUAAAUUGAUGAAUUUUAAAAUUCUUAAACCAAAUACACUCUAACAGUCGUAUUUUUUAUACAGACAACUAAUUGCAUGUAUAUGUAAAUAUAAUAUACAUGGAUUUGCCAUGCAUUUUUCUAAAAUAAAAAAUAAAACAGUUGUACCUACCAACUUGAUGUCUUAUUUAUUAGAGUAUGGUUAGUGAGCAUAGUGUAAACUAUAGUGUGUAAGAAGAGAGUCGUUCUGGUCGGAUGCAACUACCCCAACACCAUUAACGAGUUGUGCGGAUGUGUAAUACAUGAUCGUGUGUAGGUCUAGACAUUUCGCGUCAUCCAUGUCGUGAGUCCUGUUCCACAUGUCAAUAUCAAUAUCGAAAACAAUGAAAUUUAUAGUAAGAGGAAAAUUUGUCGACUUUAAAAAUAUGAGGGUUCAAGUCCCUCUAUCCCCAACCCCAAAAAACCCGCUUGCUAUCUAUUUAUUUUAUCCUACCCUUUUUGUUAGUGGUUCAAAGUUCCUUAUAUUUCUCAUUCAUACUAUUCUUCGCCGUUUUACAAGUGUAUCCUAGCAUAGCAGAAUUUUGUUCUCUUAUCACAAGUCUUGUGAUAUAGUGUGAUAUAUUGUGAUAUAUAUAUGAUAUACGUAGAAAUCUCUUGAGCACGGAAUACCUAUUUGAAUGAUUCAUAAUACAUAUGAUUACUCAUAUGGAAAUUUACAAAGUCUUCCUUUUGAAGAUCCAAGAAAUUCCUGUUCGAUACUUUUAAUUUAAUACUUUUUCAUUUUUUUUGUUUGCAUUUUUAAUUGACAAGUGUGCCCCUAACCCCAGCAUAAUUCACCUCCCUUGUACGUGAAGGAAAACAUUAAUUUAGAAGUUAGUUUCUAUAUAUAAAUAUAUUUUACAUUUUAUAUAUAUAAGCUUUCCAUUUUCCUCAACAUAAUUCCCAAGUAACUUACUUUGAAUAUCAAUUUCUCAUUCAUCACUCAACCAUUUUGAGUAUAUGAUAUACAGUUGUAAAGUUCUUAUGGGAUAGAAUAUAAAACCAUAAGUUUAUAAUUCAAAUCUCCACCUUUAUCAAUCAAGAAUAUAACUCAAAAAUUUCAAAAAAUCUAUUUUUUCCAACAAUAUCUUGAAUUUGAGGUCACUGACCGAGGAUGAGGGAACUCUGUUAAGUGGAUGCCAAGCCAAUGAGCUUUCAUUUGAUAGGCAUGCGAGUGACAAAACCGGAGGAAAGGCAUUUGGGGCCUUUACCUAUACAGUUCUGAAGGUCAUCAAAGAGAGCAAAGGUGCAUUUACCAAUAGACAACUUGUGUUGAAGGCUAGGAGUGAAAUACUAAACCUAGGAUUUGAAAACCAUCACCCUUGCCUUUAUUGCAGUGACGAGAAUGCUGAUGCAGCUUUUCUGGGCCACCAUCCUAACACCACUACGGGGUGCGUAAGCUGCUGGAUUUGAACCAAGGUUUUCGAUCACUAGAGGUCGAAACUCUAAACUAAAUAAUAAUGUGCUUGAUCGGCGUGCACUACUACAAAUUUGAAGUUGGCCUUCAUUAUUGUGUCUGUCUGUGUGUUUGCUUAUGACCAUCGUAUGCCUGUAUGUAUUAAAGCCUUCAAGCUUAUGUAAUCACCAUGUAUGGCUAUUUCAUAUGUAAUUAUAUGAUAAAAUAAAAUGGCCUUUAUAUUUAUAAUUUUUUGUGCUUAGUUUAUAUAAAAUUUUACAAGUUUAAGAUUAAAAAAUUAAAAUUAAAAUUAAAACAAAGUAAAAAGAGAUAAUAAAAGAAAAUCAACGACAAGAAACUCUAACCAGAAGUAAAAUAUCUGUUUGAUUCAAAGAUUCGAUCAUCAACAUAAAAAUAACUUUACUACCUUUAAUAAAUUAGUUCUAGUUGCUGACUCAGUGUUGGGCAACCAAUCUCUCAUUGUUCAAUAACUAAGAGAAAUCUCGUUUGAAAUUACUUCCCUAAUCGAUGAAUAACCUUAUAAUUCAGCGCCCUUGAUUUAACUUACCGGCAGCAUUAAAAACGAGAGAGUCCAUAUUCUAAUCAACAAACUCAUCUCAGCGACAUUCAUUUAAGUUAGAUCACACAUUUACACCACAUAAACAUAAACUAAGAUAUAAGCAGACCAUGGGUUUGUCACUAGUAUUAGAAUGUAACACCCCAAACCCGGCCUAGAUGUUAUGGUCGAAUCUGGCAAUGUCACAUUGAAGUGUUUUUCACAAAAUAUAAUAUCAUUGAAAAACCCGUUCUAUAUCUAGCCUCUUUGUGAUCUUAGCAAAGAUUUAAAGAUAUCCCAUUUAUUUUCAAAGCUUAAAUCAUUUGACAAAAAGAUUAACCAUAUUAAAUUUGUUAUUAAUUUUAAAACAUUAUUUCUUGCGGAAGCUUCUUAAAACAUGUCCCGUAAACGUUGUGAUUUGAAAAACAUUUGUCUUUUUGAAAACCCGCAUCCUACCACUAGCAGAUAUAAAUCAAAAUAAAUGAAACCCUAAACUUAAAGAUUAAAAAUUAUAGAGGCCUUAUUACAUUAAAAACACCCAAAGCAAAACUAUUUACAAUUUUAAAACCCAAUAAGAAAGUCCGUGCAAUUGUGUGGCCACCUUUGAGUCCCUCGUAGCACCGACUUGCCUAAGCCUGGGGAUUACCUUUACAGAUAAACAGAUAGGUGAGUUAUGAAAACUCAGUGUGUAAUCCCAUAUAAAAAAUCAGUCAAUUAUAUUGUGAGUAGUUACAGUCUGGGCCUAAGCCAAUUUCAGUUAACAGUUCAGUUCCAGAUAAGGCCUUAACCCAUUACAGUAUCAGUAUCAGUUUGGGUCUGAGCCCAUUUCAGUGACAGUAACAGUACAAAUAUGAAAUUAGAAAUCCUACCCAACCAGCCUAUACACUCCACUCCGUCCAACCCUACACUCUAUGUGGAGAUAAAAUCAACCCACCAUCUCUACACUCCAAGUAGUACCAGUUGCGACACUAAAUAGUAUUUACAGUAGAGCUGCCAGUACAGUACACUUCCUCAAAUCAUAAUAAACCCAUCCCCAUGCAACAUGUUAUGCAUCAUGUCAUAAUAUCAUACGUGUGAUCAAUAUAUAUAAAAUGACAUGCUCAAAUAUAGUCAUACAUAUCAUAGGGGCAUAUCAGUUAUUUUACAAUGUAACAGCAUUUCAGUUUUUUUACCAAUUAGGGGGUCUACGUACACUUACCAACCCAACAGUAGAUCCACAAUCGUCUUGGGCGACUCGUGCAACCUUAACAGUCAAGUAGUGAAAAUGGGCCUAUGGCCCAUAUUGCGAGCUUAUGUGGACCCACACACUUGUGUGGCCCACAUAGCCUUGAAAUGGCCUUAGCCAUGUUGAUUACAUAUCCUGACCCAAUAUUCUCCACACUUUCGUGUGAUAAACCCGUGUGAGGCCUACAUGCCAGUUGGCCCCACACGGGCCAAAACGGCCUAAGCCUAUAAAAUUGCUCAUGGUGGCCUCUACGAUCAAAUGCCUAUGUUUAUGUGUUCAGUUUACCACAUGAAUGAGCACACGCCCAUGUAGCAUCAACAGUCACUUAUUUCGGCUUUUGCCGAUUUACGAUUAGGACAGUGUUUUUACACACCUAAUAGGAUUCCAGAUACGAAUGCUCCUAAGAUAACUUACACCUAAACAAUUUACAAUUUCAUGCCCAUCAUUAGUCACACUUAGAACUGAUCAUACAAAAACAAACCCCAACUGAAACCAUUAACGAUACUUACUUCCACUGCUUCAACUGAUAUAGUAUACAAAUCAGCAGGUAAACCAAGUUCGAUGCGAUUCGAUGCUUCCAACAAGGUUUAACACAACAGAGAGUUAGAAAUCUUACUGUAUUUAACAAUUGAAACUACAUCAUCGCCUCUUAUUGAAAGACUUACCAAAUCUACGAGAACAGGAGUUGAGAGCAAGGAAAAAAGAGAUUCGGCAAAGAACCUAAAAGGAGGAUUGAACUGAAACAGUAAAUAGAGGGGGUGUAACAAAAAAUAUAGGAAAAGAAGAGAAAAGCUGAAAGGGUAGAAGAAAAGUAGGGACUUACCUAUCAAUAUUCGGCCAAUGCACGCCUCUUAGAGGAAAAGGGGAAUAAUAGAAAGGAAUUGAGUGCACCCACCGAUUGACAGAGAACAGUUGCCAAACCGAAAGAAAAAAUAGAGGGAGUAAGGGAUGAAGUAUUCGGCCAGAGUAAAAAGUGGAAAUAGCUAAUAAGAGAAGAGUUCUAAGAGAGAAAAAGAAGAGAUAGGAAGAGAAGGUAUUCGACAAAAGAGAGAAUCAAUUGAGAGAGGGGGAGACUAGGAGGAAAUCGACCAAAGCAAAAGAUGAAAACAAGAAAAGAACGAUUGCUCAAGGAGUAAGGGAGAAGAGAAAUCGGUCAAAAAGGGCACUGUAAAGAAGAGUAAAACCAAAAUAAUCCUUAAAUGAAAGGUACCUGUAUGGUCACUAACAAUAUUCGGCUACCAAAACACAGAGUGAGAAGAACCCGAAAGCUAUUACUAGAAAUCGAAAAUGAGGAGAUUAGUUUAAAAGACCUACUGACUAGAGACAGGGUUAAUUCUUCUAAUUGCACAAGUCAAGGCUUGAACCUAAGACUUCUCAGACACUUUCCAGGACACUUAACCACUGAAGCAGAUACACAGUUGUGUCACAAACAUACAAAAACAAUUACUAAGGAUUUUGGGGUGUUACAUAGAAUGAAUUAAAUAAUUACAGAUUUAACAGUUCUAAUUGACAAGACAAUCAUUCUAACCAACAAACUCAUCUCAGCGAGAUUCAUUUAAGUUAGAUCACACAUUCACACCACAUAAACAAAAAUUAUGACAUAAACGAAUUAUGCAGUUUGUCACUAGUAUUAGAAUGAAUUAAACAAUUACGGAUUUAGCAAUUCUAAUUGACAAGACAACUAUUCUAAGCUAUCAAAUACCGGCCAAACAUUCAAUAAACUUGAGAAGUUGUAAUUAAAGCGGAAGAUGCAUGAAUAUCAAAGAACAAAAAAAAAUUAAAGCACAAUUUAAGUUUCACAAAUUUAUUAAAUCAAACUCUGAUAAAACCUUUGAGUAGAUUAGAGAGUUUAAAAACCCAUAAAAUAAAGAGUUGAAAAACCUUUGAUUAGAUUUUGAACUACUUUGCUCCGAAUGAAAUAAAUUUUUUGUUUGAAAAGUGAAUGCAGAGCAGGAUGGGGUGGAUUUUUUUCUUUUGAAUAAUGGGUAUGGAGUUGUUACAAUAAUUGCUUGUCCUUUCCCGACUCAUUCCUCUCUAUAAUAUUAUUAUGAUAUCUUUGUAUGUAUAAACUAUUAUAAGGGGAAAAAUGUAAUAUAUAAAAAAAUCAAAUAUUUUAUUUUUAAAUAUUUUUGAAGAGUUACAUUUAAAUAUUUACUUGACUUUAAAAAGAUUGAAAAUAUUAAAAACAAAUAUAAAAAAUAAAUUGAAGUGGAGCAGGGUGAGGUGGGGCGGAGAUAGAUGUAUACAACAUGCAAAUGAUGGAGUGGUAAUAGAUUUAACAAUAUUUAUUCUAAUCCCGCUCUAUUGUCAUCUCUAGAAGCUAUACUAGAUUAAAUCAUAAUAGUAAAUUUAAAUAAAUUAUAAAAAAAAUCAUCAUUUUUAGCUAAAGAAUAAAAUAUUUGUAUUUCUAAAUUACAUCUAUGAGAACAUAAUCAAAUUACUACUGCCUUUAUAAUUUUUUUUAAAAAUUUUGAGUUAGGUAUACUUAUCGUAUCUAAAUAAAUGGAAUGUGAGCCAAAAAAAUUUAUUAUUUUUGGAUGUAAUACGUACAUUCUAAUAGUUUAAUAUGGAAUUUGAUUCGAUAAAUUCAUAAAUUUAUCCCAUUUUACAAGAAAUUAUAUACAAUUGUAUAAAAUCAAAAUUUAUAUAUUAAAUUACAAAUUGAAUAAAUAUUUAUAUAUAAUUUUAAAAUAUAUCCUGAUAAAUUAUAAACUUUGUUUAAUUGUCCCUAAGCCAUUCCUUUCUAUUCAGAGAUAAAUUUUAUGGGCAGUUUACUAGAUAUAGCGACAAAAAGAAUGUCACUGGUUUUUCUUAACAAAUAUAAAAAACCUAAAAACAAAAUGUUAACCCAUUGUGGUUAUCAGAGUACUUCUUGUUGGAAAAAAUGUAAUUUUUAGAACUUUUGAGGCAUAUUCUUAAUUGGUAAAUGUGGAGAGUUAAAUCAUAAAAUUAUGGUUUUAUAUUCUACUCCAUGAGACCUUUAUAAUGGUAUACCAUAUGCUCAAAAUGAAUGAGUGAUGAAUAAGAAAUUGAUGCUCAAAGUAAGUCACUUGGGAAAAUUUGUUAAGGAAAAGAAAAGCUUAGAUCCCAUAUUGGUUAAAUACCAAGUGUGAGAUAUGUAUAUAUAUAUGUGUAACACCCUAAACCCGGUCUAGACGUUAUGGCCGAAUCCCGAGAUGUCACAAGGAAGGGCUUUGAAAGCGGAGUCCUUCCGAUAAAUCAUUCCAGUUUUAUAACUCAUAGUCGUUUAUCUCUAUUGUCGAAAACGUUAUUUAAUUAAUUUAUUUGCCAAGAUGUUAUUUAUAUGGAAGUCAUAAAGAAUUUUUUUUUUGGGAAUCCCAUUUGUAAAUUUUGAAAAACCUUUGUUUUAGUAAAAACCAUGUUUUUGAUAUCCGUCACAAAUAAAAUGUAAAAACGAGAAUCCAAAUCCCAAAAUAAAAUCAAACAGUCCAGAGAGUCCAAUUAUUACAAAACUCCCACAAAUAAUCUUUAAAUUAAAUAAAAACUAGUACUUAAGUCAGUUUACGAACUCGUGGUCACCGUGAGGCUCCGUCGCACUGAUCCGCCUAAGUCUGUGGAUUACCUAAACAAAACAGACAAACAGAUGUGAGUUUUCGUAUACUCAAUGUGUAACCCAACAUAAUUAGACAUGCAUUGCAUACAAAAAUCACAUAUACAGUCAGAUUCGGAUUUGAACCAGGUCCUUUAUAGAUGCAGGUAACAGAUUUAGAUAUGCAGAACAGAUAUACAAAAUCCUACCCCUAUCCUCUACACACCAACUCUAACCAUGCCAUCACACCAUGUGAGGUUAAAAACACCCAGCCAUCCCUACACACCAUAUUGUGUCUUUAUGACACAUAUUAGAUAAUAUGCAGCCAAGCUGCCAGAAUACAGGUGAACGUCGCCAUACAGGACACUUCCUCCACGUAUACAAUCCCCACCCCAAACAUAAUUACAGAUUACAGAUAUAGAAAUAUCAUGCUUAACAUGCUCAUAUACAGAUAUCAAAUAUAUAAAUAUAACAAAAUAAUCAGACAUGCAUAACAGUGUUAUACUCAAAGCAGAAUAUCAGACUAUCAGAUCACAUAGUUUUAGGGUUUGGUUAGCCUUUACCGACCCUACAUUAGGCCCAUAAUGUAACGCCCCAAUUUUUUGGAAUUCUGUGAAUGUUGGCAAAAUUUCAUGCUUUGAUUUUUUCAUUUGUGAGUGAAAUUAUGAAAUAGGACCUAUGUGAAAAUGAGGCUAAUUUUUAGUGGCCAAAUAAAUAGUAGUGCAAAAUAGGAGGAUUUUACAAGAAGUGGCCGGCCAUCAUGUUGUUGAAGACAAUAUGUGCACUUGAUAUCCAUAAUUUAUGGUACAAAUUGAUAAAAAAAUUGAUAAUGGGUUAGGUAAUUGUUCCAUGAUGGGCAUGAUAAGCAUUAUGGGCAUUUUUUUUAUUGACAUUAUGGCAUAGGUAUGGCACAAAUAAUAUAGGUUAUUUUGUGUCAUAAAAUGUUGGGUAAUAAAAUAACAAAAGGAUGAAAAGAACAAAGUUUUGUCCAUCUUUGUUCAUCAUAGCCUGAAAGUUAGAGAAGAGAAAGGAGAGGAGAAAGCUCUUGAGUAUUCGGUCACUAGGAGGAGGAAAAUUGAAGGUAAGUUCUUGGUACCUUGCUUCUAUUUUGAGGUUCAUGAGUUCUUCUUGAUUCUACCUUAACUCUUGAAGCAUAUUUUGGUUUUUAGUUGUGUUGUGAGCAUUUAGUCAUGAAUUAAAAUGAAGGAAAUGGUUGUUGUUUCAUGUUCUUUUGAUGAAAAAUGGAAGAUAAGUGAAGUUGAGCCAAACAAAUGAGCAUGCAUGUGCCUUAGAUGCUAAAGGGAAAAAUCGGCUAACAUGUUGUGCUUUAAAAUGAUGAAAUGGAGAUUAUACUUAAAUAAAAUCAUAGAUAUGUGAUGAUUGAUUGGUGAUAUACAUGUUUGAAUAACAUGCAUGCAAGGUAUGUGUGAAAGAGUGAUUUGGUAAUAAAUCUGCUUGGGACAGCAGUAGUAACGUGACUUUGGAAAAUCACCAUAAAUUGUGGGAGAUGAAUUAGAAGCUGAAUAAAUUAUGUAAUUAAAGAUUAUUGAGUCUAGUUUCAAAUGAAAUAAACAAGAACAUAUUUUCAAUUCUGUACAAUGAGAAAUUUGAUUCGUAACGAAGAGUGGUCAGAUUAGUCAAAUAGUGAAACAUGGGAAACUUUGAGAAAAAUAUGGUAUUGAUUAGCUAAACCAAAAAUUCUGAAAAUUUUAUGGAUAGAAGAUAUAUGAGUCUAUUUUCAUGGAAAAUUAACGGCACUUGAUUUGGAGUUUAGUAGCUCUAGUUAUAAAUGAUUUAGUGACUGUUGCUCAGGAAGACAACUUGCAGUGAAAUUAUGAUUAUGUGGUAAACACUGACAAAAAUUUGUUAAUGAGUUGCUUAUUGAUUUCUUAUAAGCUUACUCUGAUCUGUAGGUGUGGUUGGCCUGAAUAUUGUAAGGGGUUAAUACUUAGUUCGUAUUUGACUAGUUAGAUUAACGUGUUAGUAAUCCAAUUGUAGGCGGUUCGUGUGUGGAUCUUGUUAGCAUAUCGUCGCAAACAGGUGUAUAACUAACACCCUCUUAUAAACUAGAUCAGCACAAGCCGAAAAGCCGAAAUGCCGAAAAGCCAGUAUGUUGAGAUCUUGCGAGUGUGUGAAUGCUCAUGAGAUUAAUAGUUUGAUGUAUAUGGUAAAUUAAAGUGAUAAGACUGCAGAGUGCACGAUUUUGUGCAUUUCGAUAUUUUUGGGCUUAAUGGGCCAAAAAGGGGAUAAUGGGCCAACGGGCCCAAAUUGUUAAGAAAACGCGGUAAGUGUUUCUGAUCGUACGUAAAUGACUAUGUUAUGUAUGAAAACCUUAAGAAUAGUUAAAUUACUUGAAUACCCCUAUGUAUGCAAAAUUACCAUUAUACCCCUAGGGUUACUUUUGACUGAAAAGUAUGACGAUCUGAUUCUGUAUGAUGUAUGCCUUGAUUAUAUAUCUGUUGCAUGGGGACUUGGGUUAUACUAUGGAGGAAGCGUCCUGGUGGCUAUGCCACAAUUUAUCUAAUCUUGUGGCUCUGCCACAUAUAUCUGUCCUAGUGGCUAUGCCACAAUUAUCUGAUCUGGUGGCUCUGCCACAUAUAUCUGUUCUGGUGGCUCUGCCACAAUAUCUAUAUCUGGUGACUUCGUUACAAUAUCUGGCAGCCUCGCUGCGAUUUCUGUGGUGUGUAGCGGUUGGGUGGGUCCAGUAGUCUCCCCACAUAGGUGUAAGGCUGGUACGGGGGUGUUAUGGAUGAAUCUGGGUUGGGUUUCUGCAUAAACAUGUAAUAUAUGUUCUGUUCUGUUAUGGGCCUAUGGGCUUUAUUCUGAAUUCUGUUCUGGGCUAAGGUCCAACUUAUUCUAUUUCUGUGGUUUGAGCUGAUAUAGGCUAUGGUUGGGUUAAUUUACACACUGAGUUUCCCCAAACUCAUCCCUUUUAUUUUCAUCCACGCAAGUAAUCCCCAACCAUAGUGGGCUUGGAGCUGUGAGGGAAUUCAGAGUGGCCACCCGUUCUGAAAGUUUGAUUUUCUUCUGGUGAACUGGACAUCCUUUUAUUUACGUUUGAAGUUUUGGGUUUUUAAAUGUAAUAAGGCCGCUUAAUUAUUUUUGAUGGUUUUAAUAUGUAUUACUAAGAUAGGUAUUACUUAUUUUAACUGUUGAAAUUGGAUAGCUUUAGGGCGCGUUUUCAAAAACAACAAUUGAUUUCAAAAUAACAUGACAACAAGCAAAGCUUCCGCAAUGAAAGUAUUUUCCAAAAUUAAUCACUUUUCCUAAAAAUGACUUAAUCAAAUCAGUUUCCUAGAAAUAUCCAUGACGUUAAGGUGUGGCAAUGGUGGUAUGCAUGUCUAGGAUUGGAUCCAAAGGAGCUUGGUACUUAAGCAGUCCGAUGGACUCACCACCUCUUUUUCGGUUUCCUACCUGGUGCACAGCUUCCAUUCACUUUAACCUAUAAUGAAAUUAUCUUUUAAAACACUAAGUAAGUUUUUUUGGAUCAACAAUAUAAAAUGUUUUGAACGCUUCGAUGUGGCAUGUUGGAUCUGGUCAUAACGUCUAGGCCGGGUUUGGGAUGUUACACACAGUCGAUCGGAGCGACCCGUGCGACCUUAGGAAAAAUUUCAGAAAAUAUGGGCCCACAUGCCCGUGUGGACCACGCCCGAUUGGCCUCGCCAUAUGGCCCAAACGACAUGGCCCAGUACCCACACGCCAGCAUGGCAUGCCCGUGUGGGCCCACACACCUGUAUGGCAUGCCUGUGUGGGUUCACACGCUCGUAUAGCAUUCCCGUGUGGGCCCACACGCCCGUAUGGCAUGCUCGUGUAGGCCCACACGCCCGUAUGGCAUGCCCGUGUGGGCCCACACGCUCAACUUGGCCUAGCCUAUGUAGCCCACACGGCCACACCCACAUUGCUACACGGCCGUGUCUUGCGCACGGCCAUGCCUUCGUGAAACUCACAGCCAUGUCUCGUACAUGGCCACCUACAUGACCGACCAUAUGCCAGUAUGGCGUCGACAGAAAUCAUUUUUGGCUUUUGUCGAAACCCGUUUUUCGUAUUUUGGGAACACACCUGGUACAACUUUGAUGCGAAAGCAAACUCGAGACCGCCAACACCUAAAAUCAACAAACCAAACUCCAAAAUCAGACAUAAUUCAUGAUUAAACCAAAACAAUGAACCCAACAAUAGUCCAAUUCAAGCGUUCAACACUUACCCCAAUGCCCUGAACAAUUUUGACUAAGAUUUUGCAAGAGGAGAGCCUCGUUAUUCACAAUUUGCCGUUGCCAAAAUAGAAAAUAAAUCUCCAACAGGCAAUUUGGAAAUUGAAACUACAAAAACACUAGAAUCCCACUUACCAUACAAUUGAAGGAAAUGGAAAAGCAAGAUAUAGAGAUUCAUUGACCGAUCGAAACAAAAUAGAAAGAAGUAGCAAAAAUAGAUUAAAAACAAAAGAGCAGAGAAGGCAAAUUAAAAUUAACGUCAGUUUUUCCUAAAAAGAGAGGAAUUUUUAAAAAGAAACUAAAAAUAAAAUAAAAAAGAUAUCAUAAAUCCCUCAAAAUUUUCCCCACUAUCCCUCUAAGAAACAACUUUCUUAGAAUUCCAACUCCACCAAAACUUUACAAUGCAAUCGAGCAAAAAUAACUUCUACGCUCGCACCAGGAGUCGAACACAAUACCUCCAACACACUAACUCCUUACCACUCGAAGUAGUAGCUUAUUUUGAUAUGGAUUACUAGAUAGUUUUAUAAAAACCCACUCAACAAGGAUAAAGCUUAGGAUUAGAAAAAUAAAAAAAUUUGCAAAUAUGAGACUUGAUCCCACGACCUCAUACACACCCCCAGGACACUUAACCAUUAAAGAAGAUACUAGAGGUGCUCAUGGGCAGGGCCGGGUUGGGUUUGGGCUAGGCUCAACUAAAAAUUUAGGCCCAUUUAAUUGGCCUGGCCUAAAAAAUGGGCCUAAAAUUUUUUCCAAGCCCGACUCAGAUAAAAAUGCUAAAACCCGGGCCUAUCCUAAUCCUCCAGUAUUAAUUUUUUAUAUAAUUUUUAAAUUCGUAUAAUACAUCAAAAAUACUAAAAACAUCAAAAGAAAUAUAUCUCCACAAAUUGAAAAUAAAUUUUAAAAAAUAUGUAGAUUUAAAUAAUACAAAUAUUAAUGCAACUUAACAAGCAAAUGCUUCUAAAAUAAUAACAAAAUUGAUAAUAAAAUAAGUUUUAUAUAAUAUCCAAACAAUAACAACAACAUAGUAGCAACAUAAUAGUAAAAUGGUAGCAAAAUAGGGAGAAAACAACAAGAAAACAACAUUCAAAAACAAAAAAAAGAACAAUUUUUUUGUCCUUUAAUGAAUUUGGGUUAGGCCAGGCCAAAAAAUGCCUUACCCUAGGCCCGACCCGUUUUUUAAAUAGGCCUUAUUUUUUGUCCAAGCCUAUUUUUGGGGCCUAUAUUUUUUCCUAAACCCUCCCUCAUUUCGGGCGGGCUUUCGGGCCGGGCCGGGGGCCCGACCCAUGAUCAGGUUUAGCAGAUACACACUUGUGUCAGAUAUUUACAGAAAUAGAAAUAAAUUAUUCAGGGCAUUACAAUAUGAGAACCCACUUGAAUGUUAUUGAAUGAUUAAGCUUGAAAUCUUGCCUUGCGUGAGUGGGGGUGCAAAUCUAAACCCGCUAGGUUGGGGGUACACUCACACGACGUGGGUGAUGCGAAAUAAUUUGCCUGCAGAUAUUUUAGUCCAAAUUUAUUUUUCUCAUCAUAUAUUAUACAGAAUCUGUUUUUAAAGGAUAAUUAUCUUGAUUUGAUUUGAUUUCUGUAACACCCCCAUACCCGACACGAUCACCAUGUCAAGGUAUCAGGAUGUCACAUUCAUUGCCAAAGUAACUACUGAAAAUUUCAGAUCGAUUUAUCAUAUUAUUUAAUUAAUGUAGAUCAUUAACUGAUUUUAGUAAUAAUUGAAUUUACAAUAGAACUAAUUAUGAGUUAAAGGAGCUCAUUAAAACAUCCAUAAUUGAUCAAAGGCCAAAUUGUAAAAUUCAUAAAAAAUUUUGAAUUGUCGUCAUGACAUGGCGAACUUGUCAUCCUGACGUCGUCUCCAUUUUUCCUACAAGUUCCACGCUUUAUUUUUAUUUUUUAUAUCAUUACUUUAACUGUAUUCAGAUGUCAUAACCGCCACUUCAUUUACAUAUCAUCCACUUACAUCUAUUUCUAAUCUCAAGUCCUCAUAAAAACAUGAUAUUCAAUCAAAGAUAACAAAGUUCAUAAAAUUAACACAAAUAUUAAAGUUUUACAAAUACGAUCAUUAAAGGACUUGCACUUUCAAAAUUAAUUUACCCACUUUAUAUAUAUUUUAUAUUUAUUUCUAAAUUGUGCCAAUUAAUUUAAUUAUUCAUAAAAUUUUAACAAAGAAUUCAAUAUCACAUCAAUUAACAAUUAUUCACUUAUUCUUUUAUCAAUUCGUUUAAACAUACUUAUAUGUAUUAAUCAUUCCAUCACUUACAACAAUUUCGGAACAUUUCAAAUUCAUCUACUAUAUAUAUAUUCAUAUAUUUUUUCCUCCUCCUCCUCUCCAUUUCGCAUCCUUUAUGUAUAUAUUUUUUAGAAUAUUUAGCUUUUAGUAUAUAACAUGCUUAUAUGUAACAUUAUCUAUAAUUUCACUAUUUACUUAUGUGUUCAUAUCAAGGCUGUCCACUUGAGUCAUAGCCACUAAAUUAUUUAUAUCUUGAGCUAUAAAAUUUGAAAUUAAGAUCCGCUUUAUGUUUUUGAAACAAGACUAAAAUAUAUUUUUAUCAUAAAAAUUUUAGAAUUUACAAUUUAGCCAAUAAGUACAGUAAAUUCUUCAAAUUUGUCCAUCUUUUGCUUCUUGACAACUUCGACCUUUCUUUACUAAAAAAUAAUUAUCUCUUAGUACGGGGUUUGGAUGAUUUUUCAAUUUGUUUCUCUUGAAAAUAGACUCAUUAAUAAUUUAAAAAUUUAAAUUUAAACCCAUAAUAGUUUUUUUCAAUUUUUGAUGAUUUUCCAAAGUUAGAACAGGGAAAGCCGAAAUCAAUCUGACCUUGUCUAACAAAAAUUCAUAUAUAUCAUAAUAUGAAAUUCUUUUGCUUACACCAUUUUUUCUAUGUAAAACUAGACUCAAUAGGAUUUAAUUUCAUACUUUAAGUAACCUCUAAUUCAAUUUAUAAAAUUUUUGGUGAAUUUUCAAAGUCAGACUACUGUUACUGUCCAAAACUAUUUUAGUGCAAAAUGUUGAUAACCAAGUUUAUAACACCCUCCUUUCCUUUCUCUACAAUAUUUCCCAGCACUUCCUCUUAUUUCCCUUCCCUAACAUAUUAAGAACAUAAAACUUUAUAUAAGAAAACUCUACUUUAACAUCAUUUUUAUGCUUUUUCAAUAAUAUCAAACUUAAAAACAUAUUAAAAUCUUGAUGUUCUUACCUUAUCCUAUUGAUUUCAAAUUGUAACUUGGUUUUCUCUCUCAUCCAACUUCCAUUUUCUUGAAUCCAAGUUGAUUUUCUUAUUCUCCAUAGUCUCCUUAUCACUUUUCUCUCUUGCUGAUUAUGAAAAUUCUUUGAAAUUCUAGGUGAAAAUGGUAAAUUUUUUGGGGAAGAAUCAAAUUGUAAAUACAACAAAGAUUUCUUCUUCUCUCCCCCUCACUCAUGUUGGAAAGAUGGGAGGAUCUUACUUUUUUUUUCUUCAUAUUUCUCUCCUUUUAUAAUAGCUAUAUAUAAGAAAAUAUUAGUAAAAUAUCUCAUUAAAAUAUUAAUAAAAUAAUAUUUAUCUAAUUAAAUAAUUAAAAAAUAUCAUCAAAAUAUCUCCAACAUCAUCAUUACCUUCUAGAGUUCCCUCUCUUUCUAAUUGACCAUUUUUCCUUUUAUGAUCUUUUAAAAUUUCAUCCUUGAACCAUCACUUAAUUUGAUAAAAUUGCAAUUCAGUCACUUAUCCUUUUUUUGCUUAUUUGAUUUGGUCCUUAUUAAUCUAUUUUCCUUAAUUUCUAGAUCCUUCUACCUUUAAGAUAUUUGCACUAUUUGCCUUUCACUUCAACUUUUUAAUAUUUAUACUUAUGCCACAAAACUUUUCACAUAUUUAAAAUUUAGUUCAUUCCUUAAUUUAAUACAUUAUGCCUUGCUUCUUGAUUUAACUUUCUUUUAAUAUCUUGCAACUUUUGUUUUCAUUUAUCUUGUACAUUUUUUUCACUAAGAUUUUAUCUCAUAUUAUUUACUAUAAAUGGGGUUUUGAGGAUGUUACAAUUUUAUUCAAAUUGAUUUAAAGACUCCUUUAAUGCAGAUUUGUAUCUUUAUUCAUGAAAAUUUCCAAAAUUCCUCCAUAAUGAAUGCCUAUAAAAGCCUAAAGAAUACUUCACACUCGAAAAUUCUUUUCUUUUUCUCUCUAAAUUUUCAAACAUUUUGGUGAUAGAAGAAGGUAAGGUUUGUUCUUUGAUCACUAUAGAGGUGCUACUGCCGCGAUCAUCUUGUUGUUGUAUCCUAGGAGAUAGACGACCAACAUUUCUUCAAGUACCAUAGGAGCGGCCAAAUCUGUCUUAAGGAAACUGUGAAAAUAGGCCUCAACAUCUAGUAAAACUCGAUUCCCUUAUUCAAUUUUUGGUUUUCCAAAAAUCUUGUGUAACGCCCUGUUAUAAUUAUAUAUAUAUUUUAUUUGUUGUUGUUACACAAAUGCAUGUCUGUUUCAAUUGGUUAAGGGUUCUGGGAAGUGUUGGAGUGGUUCCAUGUUCAAGCCUUGGUUUGGGAAAUUUUUUCUUUUUAAUAAAUAAACCCUUAGCUUUAGUUAGUAGAUUUAUAAAUAAAUCUUGUUAAAGAUAUGACAGAAUGGGCCUGCUGGUCCAGUGGUUAAGUGGAGUGUUGUUGUUACAAGGGGUCAGGAGUUCGAGUCUCUACGCGAGUGAAAGAUUUAUUUUUACUUGUGGCCGUGUAGGUGUUUGUGUGUUAGUUAAAUUCUAAUGCUAGUGGGUGGUUGGAGUGGUUGAGAAGUGUGGGGGUUGUUGUGGCCGAAUUUGGGGAGGAUAAUGGGGGGAUUUUCAGUUGUUAAGGGAUUUGGAUAAGUGGGGAUUUGGUUGAGAGAUUUUAGGAGUGGUUUUGGGAGUGUAGGAUGGAGAGUUCAGGUAGAAUUGAAACUGGUAAGGGGGAGAAAUUUUGGCUACACUCUCUCUCAAUUCCGAAAUUUUUUGAUAGUGUAGGCAUUUUUUCUUCUAGUUUUCUCUCUGCUUUCAUCUUCUGGUUUUUUCUGUUUCUCAGUUCUUUCAUCUGUUACUUUCUUCUCUCAUUUUUCCUCUUUUGUUUUCUUUGCUUACUUCCUUUUAUUGAAGUUCUGAACGUGUUCUCUUUAGCUACCCUAGCUGAAACAUAGUCGUUCCUAUCCAAAAAUUUUGACUUGGGCAUUGGUUUCCCUUCAACUAUUCUUUCGAUUGUUCUUCCUUUCCUGUAUUCUCUUCACAGAAAUUGUGUAAGGUUUGUAUUUCGGUUAUACUCUCUGCUUCUUUUCGAAUUUUCCUUAUCUCGCGAUAACGUUUCUUUUUCCUCAUUUGUUGAUCUCCUUUGCUCGAAUCUUUUGGUUCUCUGCUCGCGUGGUUAGUAAGUUUGAAAUUGUUCGAUUCUGGUUUUGUUAGAAAAUAUUUGUUUAAUAGGGGUUGUUUCUGUCUUAGGUGAAGUCUAAGAAUCUGAGGUCAUCUAAUCAGUGUUCUCAUAUUGCAGAAUCGUGUUUUCACUCUAAGGCAAGCGUGUAGUUGGUCUUCUUAGGAAUGCCCUUUUUGUUUAUAUCAAAUGUUUAUUGUUUAAAUCGACUAAUUGGCUGACGAAUUGGUUAAUAUUAGGUGCGGGUUAUCUUAGAGUGCAGUUUAACUUCAAACAAAAUAAGGUGUGUAAACACAACCUCGACUAUGGAAAUCGAAAAAAAAGGGAGUAAGUGAACGAUAACGCCACACGGACGUGCGCUUGCUCGUGUGGUAGUCCAUGUGACUAAACAUGGGCUUGUGAUCGACGAAGCCAGCCAUGUGCGAUUUCAUAGGCUAGGCCAAAUUGGGUCGUGUGGGCCCCACAAGCACAUGGGCCUCACACAGGUGAACCAGAUUGACGUGUGGAAAUAUUAGGCUAGGCCGUGUGAUCCACACGACCAAGCCUAUUUUGGGCCGUGUGGGCCACACGGGCGUUUGGGCCUAUAUGGGCCUGCAAUAUGGGUCGUGGGCCCAUUUUCACAGUUUGACUGCUAAGGUUGUACAGGUCGUCCGAGACGACUGUGGACCUACUGUUGGGUAAGUAAGCUUACUUACACCCCCUAAUUGAUUAAAUGACUAUUAUUCCCCUAUGUGAUGUAUGGAUCUAUAUUUAUGUAUGAGUAUAUUUUAGCAUGCUAUUUUUAACUGUAUUGAGUACAUGUAUAAUAUUAUGAUAUGACAUGACAUGUUUGCAUGAUGCAUUGUAUGUGGAUGGGUAUAUUAUGAUUGGAGGAAGUGUACUGUACUAGCAACUCUACUACAUAUCACUGACGGCUUUAAGCCAAUUAUAUUACUGGUAGCUCAGCUGCAAAUUAUCGUUUAAUGCCGCAAUUGGUACUACUUGGAGUGUAGGGAUGGGUGGGUUGAUUAUAUCCCCACAUGGAGGGUAAGGUUGGACGGAGAUAGAGUGUAGAGGCUGGUUGGGUAGGAUUUUCUAAUUGCAUAUCUGAACCAUUACUGUUACUGAGAUAGGCUUAUGCCCAAACUGUUAUUGAUAUUGUAAUGGGCUUAGGCCCAGAUUGUAUUUGCUCUCUGUCUGGUUGUUUUAUAUGGGAUUAUACACUGAGUUUUUGUAAACUCACCCCUCUGUUUUAUCUGUAUAGGUAAUCCCCAGACAUAGGCAGAUUGGUGCUGCGGAGGACUCGACGGUGGCGACACGACUCAUUUCGUUCUAUUUUAGUAAUUAAUUAUAAAUUUGGUCUUAUUUUGGGGUAUUUACUAUAAUAAUGGCCUCUUAAAUUUUCAUGGAUAAUUUAGGAUUUUUAUUGUUUGGAUUUAUAUAUGCUAGCAGUAGGGACAAUCGAGUUUUCAAAAAUUAAACUAUUUUAACAAAUUGCAUAUGAAUACACAAACUAUUUUAAAAGCUUCCACGAAAAGAGACGUUUUGAAAAUUAACAACGUUCUGAAAGUAAACAACUUUUUGAUAAUGAUUCACGUUUUGAAAAUGAACGACACAUCUUAGAAACAAUAAAAUGUGAUAAAAGAAGAUUAAUAGAAAAGAGGGUUUUACUUUAAUGACGACUUGUUUUAUGAAAAGCACUUCAAUGUGACAUCGCCAGAUUCGGCCAUAAUGUCUAGGCCAGGUUUGGGGUGCUACAUCUUGUUUAUUUAAUUAUUUUCAAAUAUGUUGUUUUAAAUAAAUAUAAAUAUUUAUUUAAUUUGUUUUUUUAUAUCUACUAUUUUUACAUAAAUAUAAAUAUUUGUUUAUAUUAUUUGUUCAGAUCUUGUAUUUAAUAUAAAUAUAAAUAUUUAUAUUUAUAUUUAUAUUUAUAUUUAUUCGCUAGCGUGUUUUGUCUAACACUUCUCACUCUUCUAAUUCCCAUUUAAUUUUGGGAAGAACAUGGGUGCAUUUAUUCAUCCAUGGGGCAAUGACGAAUGACAAUGGACAUGCCUCUAUUGGCGGGGUUCACUCCUACCUAGGAAGGUGCACUGUAUUUGAGAUUGAGUUAUAGAGCAUUUUAGAUGGCCUUCUUAUUUUUCUUAGCAAAGGAUUCAGAAGGGUAAUAAUCCAGUUAGAUAACUUGGAGGUAGUCAGAAUCUUGCAGGUUGCUGUAACAAUGGACUUAGGAAUCACAACGCUUAGAAGGAUUCAAAGAAUUAUGAAAACUGAAAGGCAAUAGCAGAUAAGGUAUGUUCCUAGAGAAAACAACUCAAUAGCUGACUGCUUGGCUAAGUUGAGUUUAGCAUGAAGGUUAAGUCUACAUGUCUUUGAUGAUGGGCCAAAAGAAGUUUUGGAGAUUCUACAACAAGACAAAGCUAAGGAAGCUUUUACUAAAUUUAAUUUGAUGUAAUAAUUGUCUCUUAUUUUUUCACAAAUUUUUUCUAUAUUAUAUUCCUUUUAUUUAGUCAUUGAAUUUUGCUUCCUUCGAUAUCAAUAAUUAUAGGUAUGGAGUGUGCUAUAAUCAAAAUAAUAGCACAAAAGAAGUUCAUGAAUGGAGGAUCUUCUAUACUUACGUAAUAAUGGAGGAAAAGGUUCAACAAUAAUUCCCAAAAAGUCGAUUAGAGAGGAGGAUUAGACACUAUAAUGCAUAAAAUAAUGAGUUAGAAAAAUAAGAUGAGAAGUGAUCUUUUAGUAAAUAAAAAUCAGAAUUGAGGGAUUAUAAAAAUGAGUUUCGAAAAGAGAAGGAGAAAGAAGAAAAAUGGAGAAUUUUGGUAGUGGUCGAUGGAGGUGGUGUAACAACGCGAAGGACAUAAGGGAGGAGAGGUGGUGGUGUGGUGGAGGAGAUAUAAUAAAACGUUUUUCAGUGGUGACGAAAAUAGUGGUUUUGGGACCACAACUUUGCCGUGUCAGUCUGUAAUUAUUAACUAUUUAAUAUUUAUGUUGUCAUUUAUGUCGUAUUAAAAAUUUGGAUAUGAAAUUUUAUUGUUUAGAUAGUUAAUUAAGUAAAGGGGCUAAAUCACAAAAGUUGAAAAAUUCAGUUCUAUUAGGUUAAGUCAUUCAAUAGUCACAGAAAUUUAAGUUAAGGGGCUUGAUUGGCAAUUAAGCCAAUAAAGGCUAUAGUGGACACUAUUGAGUGUUAAAAUCCAUAGACUAUGUUUCAUAAUUAAAGGGUAAAAUGGUAAAAGUAUAAAUAAUAAUAGAAAUAAAAUAAAUAAAAGAGAUUCAUCUUCUUCAUUUAGAAAGAAGAAAUAAAAUAAACAUUAGAGAAGAAGGGAAGGUUCGACGAAAGCUAGGGUUUCAAAUUGGCUAGGUGAUUCUUGCUCGUUUUUAGUAAUUUAUAUGUUUUGAGCUCGUAUUAGCUUAAUUUAGCUAAUCCGAGGACCAAUUCGUAAAAUUAUUAAAUGUUAUAACUUUUUUGAUUGAAGAGUUGAGUUGUUUCUUAAAUGUUUAUGGAAGAUUAUUAAGCUUUGUUGUUGGAUUGAAUUAGUUUGUAAAGUAAUUUUUAAUGAUUUUAACGUUAAAUGAUAAAAUUAUAAAAAGUUAAAAAGUACAAGGAUUUAUUGUGAAAUAAUAACAAAUAAGAGCUAUAAAGAGGCCUUAAGAGAUUCAGUUAAGGUGAGUAUGAAUUAAAAUUGGUUAAUUUGCAUGUUUAGGGCCUAAGGACUAAAUUGAAUAAAAGUGAAAAGUUGAGGGUAAUUUUGUAAAAUUUUAAAAUAGGACUUAAUUGCAUAAAAUGAAUUAAUAUUGUCUUUAUUGUAGUCCCUAUAUUUGAACUAUUUUUGCAAAUUGGUCUAGUAAGUUCGUUUAUAUAAGUAUGUUACAGAUAACUCAUUAAUAUUGUCUUUAUUGUAGUAAUUGCAGUGUUUUGAGAAUUAUUGAACGUUUGUUUCACGAAAAAAACAAUACUAAAAUUGAAAUGUAUUGAGUGUAAUGAUUCGGGCCUUGAGACUAGUUGGAUUUAACCCGGUGUACUAUACUAUAUCGGACCUUGUGUCUAGCAGGCUUCAUGCUGGUGUAUUUAAUUGGUUUAAUGCCUAGCAGGCUUUCAACCAGUGUAUUAACAAUUCGUACUGGAUGAUAGUGAUUUGAAAACAUAUUAAGCGAUGAUUUGGAAUAAGGAUUGAAACUAUGUAUUGUGCAAUACUCAUUUGUUGUGAGCUGUGCCUGACAGGAAUUUGGUUAUUUGAAUCGUGUCAUUUACCCUAUUAUGUUUUAAUUUGGUAAGGUCGUCAUUUGGUUUAACGAACUUACUAAGCUUCCAGUAAGCUUACUCAUAUUUUAUUAUCUAUUUUGUAGAUUGGAGAUCAAAUCAAACCCAAAGAAUCACACUAUCCCGAGGACUUUUGGUAGAUUUUGUAAACACUUGGCUUAUAUGGUAUGUAAUAAGGCAAAAUAUGAGAUUAUGUUUCAUACUCAUGUGGAUUUUUUUGCUAUAUUUGGUGUUUUGAAUGAGGUUGACAUGAUAAAUUAUAAAUCUUUAUGCAAGUUAGUGUUUAUGUUCUUGAAAUGAUAAGUAGUUUGUAAGAUGUUGUUAUAUGUUGGAAGUGGUCUAGUUUGAGGUGUGUUAUGGAACAUAAAUGAUAGUCUUGAUCAUGAGUAGCUUGAGUAAUAUAAUGUGUAUUUGGUAGGUGAUAUUUUGGUGUGGUUUUGAUGAAUGAAAUUGGAAUGUUUUGAUUGCUCUUUGGUGUGGUUAUAGCCUUAUGAUCACAUGCUAUGUUUUGGCUUAGGUACCUAUGCAAUUGGGUGAAAAAUGAGUAUGAAUUCGAUCAUUGUUGGGCACACACGACCUACGGAAUAGGCUAUCACAUGGUCGUGUGAUGCACACAGGCAACCCACACGGGCUUAUUCCCAGAACGUGUUUAAAAACAGUAUAUGUGUAGUUUUCACAUGGCAUGUGCCUAGAACGUGUUUAAAAAUAGUAUAUGUGUAGUUUUCAGAUGGGAUGACACACGGCGUGCAACACGGCAUGUGACCCAACAUUACUUUGAACACGGUCUAGCAUACGGCCUACAACACAGCCAUGUAAGGGUAUAUCGAAUGGUACACAGGCUAACACACAACCGUGUGGAAUCAUUUCGAAAGGUACACGGUCUAACACACAGUUGGCCACACAACGGUGACCCUACACCAUACGGCCUGGGCUAUGUCACAAGGCCAUAUGACCCCUGUUUUGAAAAUUUUCAAAAUUUUCUUGAAUGUUCUGAUUUGUUUUUAUUUGGUCCCUGAAUGCCCAUAGCUUAUUUUUAGGGUUUCAAAAGUUCGAUUUAAGGCCAAUAAUUGAAUGUUCUAUUUUUCUAUGAAUAAUAAGUGUACUUGUGGAAUUAAAUUGAUAAUUGGAUGCAAGUUGCUAUGAAAUGUUUCGAUUAUACUAUAAUAUUCUGUAACCCUAUUUCGACGAUAAAAAAUGAGUUUUGGGUGUUACAUUUAGUGGUAUAGAGCUAUAGUUUAGUCAAUUCUCGGACUGAAUGUUAUGCGCUUAAAGUUUAGAAAUGACACGCCCUAUAAACCUGUGAUACUGUGAUUUGGAUUGAUUCAGUCUAACCCUAGUUUUCUUGUAGAUUUUAUUUUAAAAGAUGCCAUUUGACCCUGAACGGAAUGAAACUAAUGAGGUAGACAGUAAGGUUCUGACUACUGCUUCUGGUGCAAGUCAUUGCAUAUCAAUCAUACUGAUGUCUGAAAAUGAGGUUAAAAGCAUGUUUUCGGUAUAAUGGGACAAUGGUUUUUUGAGUUUAUCAGAAAUAAUCUAGUGGCCCCACGACCACCACCCCUAUUGCACAUCCUACUGUACCUCCUACUGUACGUAUUACCGCACCCCCUAUUGUAUCCCCAAUAGCAACUCUUGUGAUACCACCACCCCUUUCGGCAGUCAAACCAAGCCAACGUGUUCCUGUUGAUAAAGUGAAAAACUAUGGGACAGGAGAAUUUCGAGGUAGGACAGAAGAUAACCCAUCUAGGGCUAAAUACUUGUAACAACCUAUUUUUUAGUGAUGUGAGAAAUAAUGGUUUCGGGGCCACAAGUCCAAUAAGUGAGUUCAUAAAUAUUAUUAUUUAAUAUUUACGAGUUAAAUAUAGUGUAAUGAUAAAAUUUGAUUUAAUGAUUUAUGUUUAAUGAAAUAAUAAUUAUGUUCAAGUGGUAUGUAACUAAAGUCAAGUAGUUUUAGAAAAUGAGGUAUCGGGACCUCAUUCAUAUAAACCGAGUCUUAAAUAUUUUAUUAAAUAUUUAUGGAGUGUUAUUAAGUUUGUAUUAAAUAUUUUAUUAAAUAAUUAUUAAUGUUUAGAUAGUUAAUUAAGUAAAAAUGACUAAAUCAUAAAGGUUGCAAAAAUGGGUUUCUAUUAGUUUAAUAGCUUAAAUGAUUAAGAAAAAAUAAAGUAAUGGACUUGCAUGGUAAUUGUACCAAAUAUUUAGAUGUUGGACGGUUAAGGGUUUGAAAAUAGUUAAAAUUUGAUGUUAAUUAAAGGGUAGAAUGGUAACUAAACAUAAUUUACAAACUAAGAAAAAUAAAACAAGUAGGGUAUCAUCUUUUUAGUUCUAUCUUCCAUCAAAAUUGAAGAGAAGAACACCAUUUUAUUUGUUUCAAGUUUCGGCCAACUUCAAAGCCUUACAUGGUAUGUGAAUUUGAUGUCGUUUUUAAUAAUUUUUAUGUUUUUGAGAUCGUUGUAGCCUAAUCUAGCUAGCCCGGGAGUCAAUUUGUAAAAUUUUCAAAUGUUAAGGAAUGUGCCAUUGAUGAAGUUGAGAUGUUCUUGAAAGUUUAUGGUAGAAUCUUAAGCUUGGUUUCCAUAUAGGACUAUUUUGUAAAGUAAUUUUUGGUAAUUUGAAUGUUUAAGGACUAAAAUGUGAAAUUAGUAAAAGUACUAGAACUUGUUGUGAAAUAACAUCAAAUUUGGUCUAUAAUAGGAUUCCAAAAAAUUCGGCUAAACAUGAAAUUGAAUAAAAAUUGUUAAUUUGCAUGUUUUGGGUUUAGGGACUCAAUUGUAUAAAAGUAAAAUGUUGGGGUAAUUUUGUAAAAAUGUCAAAAAUGACUUAAUUGCAUAAAAUGAAUUGAUUUUUCUAUUAGAAUUAGUGAAUUAAAUGGAAUUAUUAUUUUAGAUCAAGAACGAGUGGAAAAUCGAAGAGAAGAGAAAAUUACCAAAUAGCCUGUGUACUUAGUCAUUGUUACAAUUUAGUCAGGUAAGUUUGUAUGAACUGUAAACGUUAUAAUUUUAUUUAAAUUAAAUGUGUACUAUGUUGUUUCUAAUGUAAAUGAAUCAAUAUAUAUGAGAUCAAGUGCUGAUAGUCAAAGAGUAUGCUGAUGUUUUUCCUGAAGAACUGCCCGGGUUGCCACCAACUUGAGAAGUAGAAUUUGUGAUCGAACUUGUGCCUAGAAUAGCUCCGAUCUUGAUAACACCAUAUAGGAUGGCCCAUAUAGAAUUGAAAGAGUUAAAAGUGCAGUUGCAAGAGUUGUUAGAUUAUGGAUUUAUUCGACUGAGCGUGUCACCUUGGGGUGCUUCGAUUCUGUUCGUAAAGAAGAAAGAUGGGUCAAUGAGACUAUGUAUAGAUUAUCAACAGCUGAAUAGAGCCACCAUUAAGAAUAGAUACCCGCUACCUCGUAUUGAUGAUUUGAUCAAUCAGUCGAUUUGAUAUCCGAAUAUUAUUAGCUGCAAGUUAAAGAGCAAGACGUACAAAAACUACAUUCAGAACUAGAUAUGGUCACUAUUUCUGGUGAUGCCAUUUGGUUUGACUAAUGCUCCUAUGGUAUUCAUGGACUUGAGUGAAUCGGGUAUUUCAACCAUAUUUAGAUCGGUUUAUUGUGGUAUUCAUUGAUGAAAUUUUGAUUUGUUCAUUAAACGAGUCAGAUCAUACCAAACAUUUAAAAGUUGUGAUGCAAAAUUUGCAUGAAAAAUAACUAUAUGCGAAAUUCAGUAAAUGUGAAUUUUGACUACGAGAAGUGGAUUUUCUGGGACAUGUUAUAUCUGCUGAUGGAAUCAGGAUUGAUCCUAAUAAAGUAUCUACUAUUUUUUAUUGGAAAAUUCUGAAGAACAUUUCUGAUGUUCGACGUUUCAUGGGAUUAGUCGGAUACUAUGAGCGAUUCAUUAAAAACUUUUCAAUAAUUGCUUCACUUAUGACUAGGUUACUAUAGAGAAACGUCAAAUUUGUUUGGUCUGAUAAGUGUCAAUAGAGUUUUGAUCAGCUGAAAAACAUGUUAACAGAAGCUCUAGUAUUAACUCAGCCUAAAUCUAGAACGACAUAUGUUGUUUAAAGUGAUGCGUCUCUCAAUGGUUUAGGUUAAAGUUAGGGAAAGUGGUAGCUUAUGCUUCUCGACAAUUAAAGCUGCAUGAAAAGAAUUAUCCUACUCACGAUCUUGAGCUGACCACGAUUGUCUUUGCUUUGAAGAUAUAGAGGCAUUAUUUAUACGACAAGAAAUGUUACGUGUAUACUGAUCACAAAAGCUUAAAAUAUUUAACAACCCAGAAGGAACUGAAUCUGAGAUAGCGAUAUAGGUUAGAGCUACUGAAAGAUUAUGAUUUGGUUAUUGAUUAUCAUCUGAGAAAGGCUAAUGUGGUCGUUAUUGUUUGCACUUUGAGCUUUGAACGCUCUUUCGGCUUUGAAUGCUGAUGGUUCUGUAUUGGCGGAAUUGCGGACUAAACCUUUGUUUCUACAACAAAUUUAGGAAUUGCAAAAUGACCAUUCGAAGUUGGUAAUGAAACAAAACUUGUUUCAGGAUAAUUUGACUACUGAAUACAACAUUGGUGAUGAUGGUACAUUACAUUACCGCGAUAGAAUUUGUGUUUCGAAUAAUUUAAAUUUGAAAAUUGACAUUCUAUCAGAAGCUCAAAGUAGUACAAAUUCCAUUCAUCUUGGUAGCAUGAAGAUGUAUUGUGAUUUGAAAUAGAUGUACUGAUGGUCGGGUAUGAAACAUGAGAUUUGUGAGUUCAUAGAAAUGUUUGAUUUUUCAGCAAGUAAAAGUGAUAAACCGUAAUUUAUACAUAUUUUUAUCCCAUGCUUAGCGCAUUUACCGAUGAUUUCUCCUUAGAUUUAGUGAAUUCGAUGCUCUUAAUCCUUUAAUUUCAUGUUUUAUACUUAGGUGAGCAUAGGAGAAUAAAAAGAGCGAGAAACAGACUAAAAACGGAGAAAAUGGACCCACAUGGGAAAACAACACGACCUGGACUUCCUUACACGGGCGUGUCACACGGCCGUGUCAAUUUGGCAGGAUCGAAGCACGACUUACACGAGUAGAUCACACGCCCGUACCUAGUUAACAGAGUUGACCACGGGCUAGAGUAAUCGUACACGGGCAUGUCACAAGAGCGUCCCUGCCGAGCCCAAGUUUAGUCCUAUUCGGAAAAGGCCAAUUUUUAGGGCUCGUAGGCAUUCAAAAGCCUAUUUAAACACUUGAGGAGACACUUAGGAGGGGGACGCAGAGUAGGAAGCAAGGAAUUACUUAAAGAAAGCCGAUUGAUCCAUCUCAAGAGCCGGAUUCAUCAUCAAGACUGGAGAUCUCUCUUCAAGUUCCUUCUGGCGUUUUGGGUUUUUCUUCAGGAGUUUUGGGCUUUCUUAUGUUUUAUUAUCUUUAUGCUUUUGAGAUGUUUUCUUUCAUAAAUAUGAAUUAAACCCCCUAAAUACCUAAGGGGAAUGAAACCUAAGACAGAUCUUAUUAUUAUUAUCUGAAUUGUUUGAUAAAUAUUUGACUUGUUCUUAAUUAUGUGUUCUUAAUUCUUGUUUUAAUAUUCCAGGAUAUUGAUUCAAGUUAACGCUCUUAUUCAGAGGAGGAAUAGACCCUGUCUAAGAGUAAAAUUGUCAUAAUUAAGCGGAGUUGAUUGCGUGCCUAGAGAUAGGGUGACAAGAUUUUGCCGGAUUAGGGUAAAACCUAAUAAGGGAAUCCAUAGAUCGAGUUAAUGCAAUUCUAGGGUGUUAAUUAGAAAGAGAUUUCAAUUAUUCAACCUAGGGUUAGACGUUAUUAGUCUCGAGAGAGAUAAUAAUAUAACUUAGGGAUUUCUACGGAUCAAGUCAAAUGGAUAAAUCGUCUGAUUCAGAGUCAAAUAACAAGAGAAGUCUAGGUGGAUUUUUCCUUAGGUAUUGUCUCAAUCAAUCGAAUUUUCCCAAAAGUAUUUUCCCGAGUUUUCUUUCUGUACAUUCUUAGUUAGUAAUUAGUUUAGAUAACCAAACCUCUUACUUUUUAGGCUAGAUAAUAAAAUGGAAGUAAAUACUGGUACUCGUAGUUCCUUUGGGUUUGACAAUUCGGUCUUGCUGAGUUAUACUACUGCUUGAUAGGUACACUUACCUUAAUCAUGAUAAUAAGUUAGUGUCAAGAACGAUUCAUUUAUAAAUCUUUAAAACCUGUUACGAAUAUCACGCAUCAAGUUUUUGGCGCCGUUGCUGGGGAACUAGGAUAUUAGGAACACUCGAUUUUUAUUACUUUAUCCAUUUUACUUUUAUUGCAAUUUAAAUUUUUAUUUUCUUUUCUAAUUCUUCAUUUAUUUUCUUCUUACAGGUUUUUCUAGUUUAUGAACAGAAGAAACUCGUUAGGACCACUACUUUUUGACGGUGAGAUCGACCACACAGUUCAUAGAAACCGAAGAGAAAUAAGGCAAAGCCUAAGAUACAUAGAGGACGAGCAAGAGGAUGAUACUUCAACCACAACCGAGGAGAUGGCUGAAAACCAAGAAAAUCCGCUACCUCCUGCGAUUGCUGCUGAUCCAAUAAAUCAGAAUCCUACUCCAUGCACUAUGUAUGAUUAUGCUAAACCUAAUUUAACAGGGACUAAGUCAAGCAUAGUUAGACCUCCUAUUGCUGCAAAUAAUUUUGAACUGAAACCUAACACAAUUCAAAUGAUACAACAGUUUGUUCAGUUUGAUGGAGCAGGAUUCUGAUCCAAUAAAUCAGAAUCCUACUCCAUGCACUAUGUAUGAUUAUGCUAAACCUAAUUUAACAGGAACUGAGUCAAGUAUAGUUAGACCUACUAUUGCUGCAAAUAAUUUUGAACUGAAACCUAACACAAUUCCAAUGAUACAACAGUUUGUUCAGUUUGAUGGUUUGCAGGACAAGGAUCCCAACGCUCACUUGGCAAAUUUCCUAGAAUUUUGCGAUACCUUUAAAAUUAAUGGCGUUUCUAAUGAUGCCAUUCGCCUUCAGUUGUUUCCUUUUUGGUUAAGGAAUAAGGCUAAACAAUGGUUGAACUCGUUACCACGAGGGUCAAUCAUUACUUGGGAACAAAUGACCGAAAAGUUUUUAUUAAAAUAUUUUUCGCCGGCUAAAAUAGCCAAAUUACGUAAUGAUAUCUCUUCUUUUGUGCAGAUGGAUUUAGAAACACUCUACAAUGCAUGGGAGAGAUACAAGGACCUUUUGAGAAGGUGCCCUCACCAUGGGUUACCGCUUUGGCUACAGGUUCAAACAUUUCAUAAUGGCCUGAAUCCUUCGACUCGGCAGAUGAUUGAUGCAGCCGCUGGAGGAACUAUCAAUAAUAAGACACCUGAGGCAGCUUACAAAUUUAUUGAGGACAAAGCGUCAAGUUAUGAGAACAAAGACGACGAAAGCAGCCGGUGUUUUCAACCUCAACACGGUUACUAUGCUAUCUAACCAAGUAGAACUCUUAAAUAAAAAGAUUGACAGUUUGUGUUGUUCUACUCAGGUACAUCCAGUGAUGAGGUGCGAUUUGAAUGGAGGAGAAGCAUGCACAGAAUAUCAAACCUUCAACCCUAGCAUCAAGGAGGAACAAGUCCAAUAUAUGGGUAACAAUAACUCUAGACCCCAAAAUAACCCUAUAGUAACACUUAUAAUGCAUGUUGGAGGAACCAUCCCAAUUUCUCGCGAGGCGGUCAAGGAAAUCAAAGGCCACAACAUCCUCUGGGUUUUCAACAACCACCUUACCAACAAGAAAAGAUGUUGAACCUUGAGGAGAUGUUAACAAAAUUCAUCUCGGUGUUAGAAACUCAUUUCCAAAAUACCAAGACAGUUCUUAAGAAUCAACAAGUGUUAAUCCAAGGGCUCAAAACUCAGAUAGGCCAACUCACCAAAUUGUUUUCUGAACGACCACAAGGUAGUUUGCCGAGUGACACUGAAUCUAACCCAAGGGAGAAAAUCAAUGCAAUUACAUUCAAGAUGCGGAAGGGUUAGUUGCACCUGAACCAGAACCAAAAUAAGAAACUGUGGUAAGUAAAGGUAAGGGUGAGGUAGGCCACAAUGACCAGAAACUGGUAAGUAAAGAAUACAAACCUCGUGUGCCAUACCCAAACGCGACAAGUAAAGACCACACAGAAGAAUAAUUUGGUAAAUUCCUUAAAUUAUUAAAAAAGUUACAUAUUAAUUUACUGUUUAUUGAGGCUCUUUCGCAGAUAAACGAAAGUUGGAUGACGCGUCGCAUGUGGAAUUAAAUGCAGUUUGCUCAGCCAUAUUAUAGAAUAAGCUACCCAACAAAUUAUCCAGGGAGUUUUACGAUUCCUUGUUUAAUUGGUAGUUUAGAUGUUCAUAAUGUAUUGGCUGACUUAGGAGCAAGCAUUAUUAUUACGCCUUAUAAAAUGUUUAAACAGCUAGCUCUUGGGAAACCCAAACAAACUAGGAUGAGCAUUCAAUUGGCUAAUAAAACCAUUAGUUUCCUAGGGGUAUCAUUGAAGAUGUUCUUGUUAAACUUGAUCAAUUUAUAUACCCAGUAGACUUUGUUGUUUUAGACAUGGAAGAGGAUAGUAACGCACCUUUAAUUUUAGGACGACCCUUUUUAGCGACUGCUAGAAACAUUAUUGAUGUUGGCACAGGUGAACUCACACUUUGUGUGGGAGAUGAAACAAUCACCCUUCAAGCUCGUAAUUCGAGUAACACAUCAAAAAUUGAAGGUGGUUGUAUAAAUCAUUCUACUAGUACUGAUCAUGUGGUGAAACCCUCUACGCAGGAAACAGUUAUGAAGAACGCAUAUGAGUCGUGUUCAAACAACAACAAAUGACCUAUCUAUGAAGAACGAAGGCUACAAAUCAAGGAGUUAGAUGAAUGGCGGACACAGAAAUUGAGAACACCCGAUAAACCAAAAUCGAGCCAGGACGAGCUCAAUAUCUCAACAAAUCAACCUCAGGUUGGAGACAAAGAACUGCUAGAUGCAACAGAUCCUCAUAUUACCACUUCUGAACCUAAUGAAGAAAUUCCUCUUACGGUACUCAGUAUUUUCCCAUAUGGUACAAUCGAGGUAAUUCAUCCUAAAUUCGGUACUUUUAAGGUAAACAAUACUUGUCUUAAACCUUAUGUUGAUAAAGUUGAUAGCAGGGAUGAGGAGUGUAAACUCCUCGCACCAUCUUGACCAUGCAGAAGAGAGGUAAGUCCAGCUUAAGACUAUAAAUAAGCGCUUCUCGGGAGGCAACCCGAGCACUAACGGUGCUAACUUUUUUAAACUUUAGUCUUUAACAUUAAAUUCACUAACUGAGUCACUGAACACAGGAUUUUCAGAACCACACGACCAGGCACACGGGCAUGCCGUAGGCCGUGCACAUACCACGAGAUGUAACCCGAUUGUGUGAAAACAGGGAAAAAAUUUUUGCCCCAACACGAGAUGCGAUAAGUUGCCACGACCGUGCGACAUGGCCGUGGGCGAAACUACCAAAAUAACAUGGGCGUGCGACACGCCCGUGUUUCGAAACCGUGGGCAAACAUGUCAAUUUAACAUGGAUGUGUGCCUACAUACACGGGCGUGGGAGGAGCGAAUGAAGAUUGACAUGGUCGUACAACAUGGCCGAGUACACUAAUGUGCCCAAUUUCGAAAACCACAAAAUGGACGGGCUGAAACGAAGGCACACGGGAGUGCCCCACGGCCGAUUGCCCCAAUUUCUCUAUAAACACCUAUUAUCUAUCUUAGCUUUAUCUUUAUAUUUUAAAAUUACUUUUUAUUUCUUGUUAAUACUAUUUUAACUUGAGUUUUUACAAUUUUUAUUUUCGGUUAUUUCAUUACGAGUAAUUAUACUUCUUUAUAUUUCCUAAAGAGUUCCUUAUUUUAUCACAGUCAUAAAGAGCUCCAAAGCUCAUCAUCAAACAGGAACUAAAAACUCCAAUGGCACAGGACUUAUGGACUAAUGAACCUCUACCACCACCUGAGUAUCCUCCUCCACCCUCAUCAUUGCUUUGGCCGAUUAUUCUCCAUAACUCCAAUCCAAGGAGUUCAUUCAUCAUUCAGGAAGAUUCACUUCUCUCCCUAUCUUAUGAUUAUAUAUAUAUUUCUUUAAUAUAUCUAUCUUUGUACAAUGAGGGCAAUGUACAUCUUAAGUGUGGGGGGUCUUUUAUAUCAUCAUUAGAAAUCCCUGAAUUGUAUCUUAUUCUCACGUAAAUCACUCAUAUCACUAUUAGAAUGAAUUUUAAUUAAUUUAUGAUUUUUAUUGAUAUGUCUUGAAUUAAAACAUAGGCAUUUAGGCAUUGAGUGUUUAAACUUUAAGACAUUAGGGAAUCAAGCACGAUAAGUUGAUUUUUGAAGAAUUAAAAACUUUUAGGUUGUUUUUCCCAAGUUUAGGUAUUAUCUUGAGUUGAAAUUCACAGGUUUAAACAUCAAAAAGCCAUAAUUUUUGUGAGAUUUUGAGCUUUUAGAGCAUCUAUUAUUUCUUUCAUGCUCACUUUUAUUGUUGCUUUGAGUGUGUCAGUAUUGAAUUGUUAUUCUAGAACUUGCUUGAUUAUGCAUGUCAAGACCACACCAUUUGAUUUGAUAUGUCAAAAUGAUAAAGGCACUUAGGUUUAACCCACUCACUCCAUAAAAGCCUACCUUCAUAAUUAACCCUUAGUGAACCCCUUUGAGCCUAACAAACCAUUAAUUGAUUUACCCUCAAUAUAAACCCAUAACCCAUUAUUAUUUAAAUCCCUUAAUUUGAUCCCUAUUUUUAUCGAGAUUUGAUUUGAACUAAUUGCUUAGCUAUGUUUUGUUCUUCUAUGUAUUUGACUGAUUCAAUAAAAAAAACAACAACAACAAUACUUACAUACAUAUUAGUAGUAAUUCGCCAUUUUUGAGCUUGAGUGUUAAUUCCAUAUUCUGAGAAGAAGCUCACUUUUAUUCAACUGAUGACUAGUCAUUUUUCUAGCAAGGUAAUUUUUCAAUUCAAUCUCGAUUCUAACCUUUUCUUUCAGCUUGUGACAACACCCCCUAACCAAAGCCACGUUACAACCCUCUAAAGACCUUUUUGAUUGAGAUAUCAUCUUAAUAUAUUGUGGUGCAGAUUUGAUUUUCAAACAAGCCUAUGGUAAUAACUUUUCAUAUUGACUAAUGAGUGCUUUAAUUGACAUCUUUAAACACCUUGAGUGGUUUGAGUGAAUCUUUAGUGAGGAUGUUAAACUCUACGAUAUUUUGAUCAAGGUACUCACUUAGAUUAGGGGAGACAUCUAUGUUUUCAUGAUAAAAUGCUUAACUUAGAAUGUCUAAAACUUUAAUGUACUUUUAGUUGAAUUUUCAAUAUAUAAAUACUUAUGGAUUAUUUUGAGAUAUUAUUGAUAGGGAUUAUAAAUUGAGAAGAAUUUAUUUUGAUCGUGAGUUAAGGAUUUUUCUUGAGGACAAGCAAAUGCUUAAGUGUGGGGGUAUUUGAUAAACCUAAUUUAUACAUAUUUUUAUCCCAUGCUUAGCGCAUUUACCGAUGAUUUCUCCUUGGAUUUGGUGAAUUCGAUGCUCCUAAUCCUUUAAUUUCAUGUUUUAUACUUAGGUGAGCAUAGGAAAGUAAAAAGAGCGAGAAACGGGCCAAAAAGGAAGAAAAUAGACCUACAUGGGAAAACAACACGGCCUGGACUUCCUCACACAGGCGUGUCACACGGUCGUGUCAAUUUGGCAGGAUCAAAGCAUGACUUACAUGGGUAGACCACAUGCCCGUGCCUAAUUAACAGCCUUAACCACGUGCUGGAGUAAUCGCACACGGGCAUGUCACACGGGCGUGUCCCUGCCAAGCCCAAGUUUAGUCCAAUUCAGAAAAGGCCAAUUUUUAGGGCUCUUAGGCAUUCAAAAGCCUAUUUAAACACUUGAGGAGACACUUAGGAGGGGGACGCAGAGUAGGAAGCAAGGAAUUACUCAAGGAAAACCAAUUGAUCCAUCUCAAGAGCUAGAUUCAUCAUCAAGACUGGAGAUCUCCCUUCAAGUUCCUUCAGGAGUUUUGGGUUUUCUUAUGUUUUGUUAUCUCUAUGCUUUUGAGAUAUUUUCUUUCAUAAAUAUGAAUUAAACCCCCUAAAUACCUAAGGGGAAUGAAACCUAAGACAAAUCUUGUUAUUAUUAUCUAAAUUGUUUGAUAAAUAUUUGAUUUGUUCUUAAUUAUGUGUUCUUAAUUCUUGUUUUAAUAUUCCAAGAUAUUGAUUCAAGUUAACGCUCUUAUUCAGAGGAGGAAUAGACCCUGUCUAAGAGUAAAAUUGUCAUAAUUAAGCGGAAUUGAUUGUGCGCCUAGAGAUAGGGUGACAUGAUUUUGCUUGAUUAAGGUGAAACCUAAUAAGGGAAUCCAUAGAUCGAGUUAAUGCAAUCUAGGGUGUUAAUUAGAAAGAGAUUUCAAUUUUUCAACCUAGGGUUAGACAUUAUUAGUCUCGAGAGAGAUAAUAAUAUAACUUAGGGAUUUCUACGGAUCAAGUCAAAUGAAUAAAUCUUCUGAUUCAGAGUCAAAUAACAAGUGAAGUCUAGGUGGAUUUUUCCUUAGGUAUUGUCUCAAUCAAUCGAAUUUUCCCAAAAGUAUUUUCCCGAGUUUUCUUUCUGUGCAUUCUUAGUUAGUAAUUAGUUUAGAUAACCAAACCUCUUAGUUUUUAGGCUAAAUAAUGAAAAGGAAGUAAAAACUGGCACUCAUAGUUCCUUUUCGAUAAUCCGGUCUUGCUAAGCUAUACUACUGCUCGAUAGGUACACUUGCCUUAAUCAUGAUAAUAAGUUAGUCUCAAGAACGAUUCAUUUAUAAAUCUUUAAAACCUUUUACGAAUAUCACGCAUCAAAAAGCAGAGCAUCAGGUGCCAUCAGGAUUAUUACAGCCUGUUAUGAUUCCUGAGUGGAAAUAAGAGCAAGUUACAAUGGUUUUCGUACAUGGUUUGCUUGUAACACUGAAAAAGAAAGAUUCGAUCUGGGUAAUUGCUGAUAGAUAAACUAAGUUGGCCUAUUUUAUUCCAGUUAGAACAUAUGUAUUAAAGAUUGUGAGAUUGCACAGAGUUCCAACAUCUAUUAUUUCUAAUCGUGAUUCGCAGUUUACAUCGAGAAUUUGGAGUACACUUCACGAGGCUUUGGACACCAAACUCAAUUUUAGUACGACAUUUCAUCCUUAAGUAGACAGGUAAUCAGAAUGAGUAAUUCAGAUUUUAAAGGAUACGCUACAAUGUUGUAUUCUUGAGUUCGAGGGUAGUUGGGAAAAAUAUCUACUGUUAGCUUAAUUCAAUUAUAAUAACAAUUAUUAAUCCAGUAUUAAAAUGACACCGUUUGAAACUUUAUACAAAAGAAAAUGUAAAACGCCAUUGUAUUGGUCUGAGCUAAACGAAUCCAAAAUGGUAGGGAUGGAUUUGAUUCGAGAAACUGAAGACAAAGUUCAAAUUAUUCAAGGUUGUUUGAAAGUUGCAUCUGAUAGUCAAAAGUUGUAUGCGGAUUUGAAAAGAAAAAACAUAGAAAUUAUUAUUGGCUAUCACGUAUUUUUAAAAGUUUUUUCGUGGAAGAAAGUGCUAUGAUUCAGCAAGAAAGGAAAGUUGACUCCUAGAUUUAUUGGGCCAUACGAGAUUAUCGAAAGAAUCAGUCUUGUAGCUUACAGAUUAGCUUUACCUCCUAAACUUAAGAAAAUUCAUAACGUGUUCCACAUUUCAAUGCUAAGACGGUAUAGAUUUGAUUCUUCACACUUGAUUCCUCAUAGUGAAAUUGAAUUACAGCCAGGUUUGACAUAUUUUGAAGAACUAGUGAAAAUUUUGGCUCGGGAAGUUAAAGAACUUCGGAAUAAACCAGUAUCAUUGGUGAAAGUCUUGUAGCAUUGGCAUGGUACUAAGGAGGCUACCUGGGAAGCUGAGGAAUUGAUGAAAUUACAAUAACCGAAUCUAUUCUCAGGUAACAAUUUCGAGGACGAAAUCUCCUAAAGGGGGAGUUAUAACAACCCAUUUUUUAAUGGUGACGGAAUAGUGGUUCGGGACCACAAAUUUUUGUUGUAUCGACUUGUAAAUAUUUUUUAUACCAUAAUUACGGAGUCAUUAGAGUCAUAUUAAAAUUUGGUUCAAAAAUUUUAAUGUUCAGUUAGCUAAUUAAAGAAAAAGGACUAAAUUGAAAAAGGUGCAAAACUUGUUAAUUAUUACAUUUAGAUGAUUUAAUUGUUUAACUAAUAAAUAUGGGAGGGCCAAUAAGGCAAUUAAACCUUAUUUUUUGUUAGUGGACGGUUUUGGACUGAAAAUUAAAGAAAAAUUCAUUUAAUAAUAAAAUUGUAAUUAUUUCAAAAUUAAUAAUACAAAUUGAAGGCAAAAGACAUUUCUUCUUCAUUUUCUCUUCAUCCUUGCCAAAAACACCAUAAAAGCAUAGUUUGGAGGUUCAGUUAGUCUAUUCCUUUGCAUGAGUAAGUUUUUAGCCUUAUUUUUAAUGAAUUUUAUGUUUUUGAGAUCGUUGCAACUAAGUCUAGCUAGCUCAUACCUUUGUUUUUGAAUCUGUUAAAAAUUUUAGAAGUUUCCAUUGAUGAAUCUUGAAUGUUUUUGAUGAUAACUAUGUGUUUGAAGCUUUGAUUGUGGUAUUUGGUUGUUUUGUGAACUGAUUUUUGUUAGAUUUUGAUUUAAGGAUUGAAUUGUUAAAAUGUUAAAAUUUCAAGGUUUGAAAGUGAAUUUGAUUAUAAUAGGGACUAUUAAAGGGUCUAGUAUAUUUGACUGUAAUUUGAUUAUUAGAAAAUGGUCAAUUUGAUGAUUUUUGGGUUAAAGGACUAAAAUGCCCUUACAUACUUGGAAGUGUUUUGAACAAUAUGAAUGUGGAAGAGAUCCCUGUACUUUUUAAAGCUAAUUUGGAGUAAUGUCUAAAACAUGCUUGUUACUCUAAGCCUAGGAGCAAUAAGCUUCCUUUUGUGAGAUAGGCUUAUGUCCAACAUCUUUAUUUCAAUAAAAUGCAUUUUUGUUUCUCACUUCGAGCAAAUAUUCUUUGAUUAUUUUCAUUUCAUUCAUGAUCAUACUAUACAAAUAAAUAUUCUUGGAUUCUUUUGACCUUUUGAUCUUUCUUCGCCCUUAUAACAGAUCUCCAGAUAUCAAUGAUAUAAGCGACGCUGCUAUUGACUCAGAACCUCCUUUUGACCAAGAUACGUAUCUAGAGAAACCUCAGGACUUUGAAGAUGAUCGAGGUUGUAGUUUAUCUCCUGGUUUGUUAAUGAUGGUAAAACAAGAUGAGUAAUAGAUCUCACCUUACCAAGAAUUGGUGGAAUCCAUAGCUUUUCUCUAUAUGGGGCAUGGAUAUCAUUAGGCCGAUCUCACCAAAAGCUUCUAGUGGGUAUCGAUUUAUCUGUGUAGUUGUCCAUUACUUCACUAAGCGAAUGGAAGCUGCUUCAUACACUAAAAGUCAGCAUUCAAAAUAAAAAAGAAAAAAAGGAUCAUAUGUCGAUAUGGAAAGCCAGAAAAGAUUGUAUCGGACAAUGCACUGGACAUAAACCAUAACGCGAUAUCAGAAGUUUACAGCCAGUUCAAGAUCAAACAUCACAACUCGUCAUUGUUUCGCCCAAAAAGUGAAUGGCGCAGUCAAGGCAGCCAUUAAGAACAAUAAGAAGAUCGUGGGGAAAAUGUCUAACCUACAAAGAUUGGCAUGAUAAGUCGAACAUCGAUCAAAACCUUUACCUAGGCAAAUGACCCAAAAAAAAAGAAAAAAAAAAGAUGACACGAGCUUACCAAAAAGGGUUCACCCUAGAGAAAUCCAUGAUGGGGACCUGAUAUCAAAGAAGAUCCUUCCCAUACAAAUGGACUUCAAAAGAAAGUGGACACCAAACUAGGAAGGACCUUGUGUGGUAAAGAAGGCCUUAUUUGGAAAGGUAUUAAUUAUCGACCAAAUAGGAUAACAAGGACUUGCCUAAUCCUAUGAGUUCAAAUCAAGAAAUAUUUCAUAAAAAAAUAAUGAAGGAAAAAAAAAGGAGAGGCCAAGGCGAAAACCCGCAAGGGGCGCCUUGUGACCAAAGGGAUUUUAAGUUGAAAACCCAGGAAUGGACAAUUCAAACUUUGAUCAAAGGUGGGGCAUGUAGUAGUCUUGCUAUUCCUAAAUUAACAAUGAAGAGGGAUGCUACAUCUUGGGGCAUCAACAAAGCAUUCUGGAUCUUCGAAACACAUAUCAAGUUCAAAAGGGUCCUCAAGAAGUUUUGUGCAGAGAAACUCAUGCUGCAAUAUCUGGGGCACCUAUUUUUAUCUUAUUCAUUUUGUAUCUUAGCAAAAUUUGCUAUCUUGAUUAAUUUAUUCGUUUCAAGCUUUGCUCUCAAUAAAUACCAAUCUUGUUCAUUGUUAUAAUCUUUUUCAAGCAUUUUUACAUUGAAAUAACGAUUAAUGGACUAGUAAUAUUCAAACAAAAGGAGUUUUGCAUAUUGUUCUGAAAGGUUUUCUAAAUAGUAUGAGGACUUGAAACAGGACCACUAUUCCAAACUAACCAAAUUCAAGAGUUGGAAACAUUUGGGAAAGAAUAGCCCAAUUUGUGAUUAUUUCUUCGGGUUUUCUGUCAAAGAUGCCAGUUGAACAAGAAGGCAGCAUAGUACGUCAAUGAUAAAAACUCGAUGAACAACAAGCAAUGUCGACCCAAGCAUUAAAAGGGGAUCAUUCUUAAAAAAAUGACUUUCUGCAUUCAUGCAAAUAUCAUUCAUACAUAUCUAGUUUGGAGCAUUUGAUUCAUUCUUAUCAUGACAUCCUAAUCAUUCAGUAUAAAUAGAGAUCCAUGAAAUGGAUCCUACAGGUCAUGUUACCUAGAGAUUGGUGCAAUAGAUCAAUGAUACAAAUCCUAUACCCCUGAGUUGCAGCGGGAUGGAUGGAAGAAAUCACAAAUUUUAUCUCCCUGAAGUUGCAGUAGAGCAUAUCAAAUCUAUCAUGGCAAAUCUUAUAUCCCUGAAGUUGUAGUGGAGUAGAUCAAAGCCACUACCCUUAUUUCUUUGAAGUUACAGUGGAGCAGGUUAAAGUUACAAGUCUUAUCUCCUUGAAGUUGCAGUGGAGCAUGCAGAAGAUAGAGAAUCUUAUUUCUCUGAAGUUGCAGUAGAGCAGAUUAAAGCAAUAAAUCCUAUACCUUUGAAGUUGCAGUCGGUCGGACCGAAUCUACCUUGGCGAAUCUUAUCUCCCUAAAGAAAUAGUGGAGCGAAUUGAAGCCAUUAAUCCUAUACCCCUAAAAUUGCAGUGGGACGAAUUAAAGUUACCUUGGAAAAUCUUAUCUUCCUGAAGUUGUAGUAGAGUAGAUUGAAGCCACAAACCUUAUCUCCCUGAAGUUGCGGUAGAGCAAGUUGAAGUUAAAAGUCUUAUCUCCCUGAAGUUGCAGUGGAGCAGGUUGAAGUUACAAGUCUUAUCUCCCUGAAGUUGCAGUGGAGCAGAUUGAAGCUACAAAUCACAAACCUUAUCUCCCUGAAGUUGUAGCGGAGUAGGUUGAACUUACAAGUCUUAUCUCCCUGAAAUUGCAAUGGAGCAGACUAAAUAUAGUAAAUCUUAUCUCCCUAAAGUUGCAGUGGAGCAGAUUGAAGCUUCAAAUCACAAACCUUAUCUUCCUGAAGUUGCAGUGGAGUAGGUUGAAGUUACAAGUCUUAUCUCCCUGAAGUUGCAGUGGAGUAGACUGAAGGUAGGAAUCUUAUCUCCCUGAAGUUGUAGUGGAGCAGAUUGAAGCUACAAAUCACAAAUCUUAUUUCCCUGAAGUUGCAGUGGAACAUAUCAAAGCUACAAGUCUAGUCUCGUUGAAGCUAUAGUAGAGUGGAGCGAAGCACUAAUUCUUAUACCCCAGAAGUUGCAGGAGGAUGGAAUGAAACUCUUUGAGAAAGAGAAGUCCCAAAGAAGUCAAGUUUUGGCAAGACUAGGCAAAAUUAGCCCUUCUUGAAGUCUUUGCUCCAUUCUCAUUACAUGACAAUGAGCAAAGAGGGGCAGCUGUAAUGGGCCAAUUUUGGCCUAGCCCUAGUUAAAAUAAAAACCAAAUAAUAAAACAAGUCCAAUUAAUAGUCUAUUACAUAUGACCCAAAACCCUUACGAGCCCAAAAUUUAAAACCCAAUUAAAACCCCCAUCAGCCUACUACCUAAACUAACCCUAGCCCAAUUAACACAGAAACUAAAUAGCAAGCAAAACCCUAGUCCCCAAGGUGCAGUCGCCACAUGCCCCUCUGCACUUGACCAACGCCACACGUCACCACACCUCCUCACGCGUUUGGCACCACCUGCAAAAUGAAGAUCACACGCAAGCAGCAGUAACAAACAACAAAGAAGCAGACAAUAGAAACAAACAAAAAUAAUGGAAUCAAACAACUCUCUAUUCGGCUAUAAAGCCCAAAACUACAUCUUUGUAAUUUUUUACGCACUAUCAAGAAAUAAAAGAACAAAAACAGAAGUUAAGAAGAGGUUGAUUUCACUUUUCUUCUUUUUUUAUUUUCGAUUUCCUUUUUUUUAUUAUUUAUAUUUCAAAUCGGUUUUAAAUAAAAGGAUAAGAUAAGAGAGAAAAAGAAGAUUUACCCGAACCUUGAGUCGUGUCGUCGAGGCUCCUUUUCCAUCGUCGUAACCACGUCUAAAAGGGAGGGGAGAGCCCUUUUUCCUUCGCACUUUUUGGGUUUGGAGGGUAUGGUCUUCGAGAUUGUUUUAAACAAGGGCUAGAAAGCUCAUUUCGCACCCCCUUGACCACCGUCCAUGGUGGAGCCACGGCGAUCGUGACGGCGGCGAUGAGGGGUUUACAAAACCCUAGCCGAAAACAGAAAGGGAGAGGGAGAGAGGGCAAAAGACUCUCUGAUUUUUUUCAAAAAAUGGGGAUGAAAUGAAAAGAAAAUAAAAAAAUUUGGUUUAAAUAGCCCAGCAAAAUGUCACCAUUUUGCAAAACCCCCCGCCUCAAAACGACGUCAUUUAGGGUGGAAACCGCGCGACCCGACCAGUACCCACAGAGGAUCCGCGCAUUUUGACCGAAUGGUCUAUUUGCGUAUUGGAUCCCUCCGCUUUCUUAGCGCAUUUCAAUGUGGUCCCGUGUUACCUUUUUAUUUUGAUUUUUCCCCCAGAAUUUUCUCUUUAUUUCAACUUGGUCCUCGGGCCAUUUGAAGAGGCAGGCCCUUGAAACGCUGCGCAUAAAGAGGUUGGGAAUAUUUCCCAAUCAGUCCCUCAAGGUUUCAGCACGUUUUAAAUCGGUCCGUUGCUUCAUUUUUUGCCCGAAUUCUCCCUUUAAUUUUAUUUAGAUUUUGAUUUAGUCCUUUUUAAAUACUUGCAUUUAUUUUAUUUGAAUUUGGACCCUAAAUUUUUAUUUUAUUUGUAAUCUAACCCUUUUUCAUAUAAAUUUGGACUCUUUUUUAUUAUUAUUUAUUUUAGAUUAUUUUAUUUAUCUUAAAUUACAUAUAUUAAACUAUUUUAAAUUGUUUUAGGUAUAUUAUUUUAAAUUAUUUCAUAUACUAUACACUUUAAAUUGUUUUGUACAUUAUUUAUUUUAAAUUUGUUUUAUGUAUUAUUCAUUUUAAUUUGUUUUAUUAUUUACUUUAAAAUUUUUCAUAUAUUAUUAAUUUCAAAUUUUUAUAUGUAUUAUCUUUUUUUUAUAUACCAUUUAUUUCUUUAAAAAAUUUUUGUAUAUUACUUAUUUUAAAUUUCUUUUUACAUAAUAUUUACUUUAAACUCAUUUAUAAAUUAUUUAUCUUAAAUUAGUUUAUAUAUCAUUUGUUUUAAUUUUUUUUUCUCAUAUAUUAUUUAUUUCAAAAUUUCGCUUAUAUUGCCUAUUUUAAAAAAAAUAUACACAUAAUCUAUUUUUAAAUUGUUUUAUAUAUUGUUGAUAUUAAAUUUCUUUUUCACAUUAUUUAUUUUAAAUUCAUUUAUUAUCAUUUUAAUUUUUUUUACAUUUUAUUUAUUUUAAGUUGCUUUAUAUUUUUUUUUUAAUUUUUAUAUAAUUAUUUAAUUUAUUGGGCUUUAUUUAUUAAUGUUCUUAUUUAAAUGAUAAAUGUUGUGUGAUUGUUGUCCUCGUAUAUACUAUGAUUCAUUUACUUGUAAUUUCAUAUUAUUGUCAUUCAUAGCAUUUGUAUGUUAUUACUUCAUGUUCCACAUCGUUUUUUAGUUAUUUCAUUCAAAUCGCAUCGUGAAUUAAGCUACAACGUUUUAUCCAAUAUGGAUCGUUCUAUUUUUACUCCAAACAAAUAACGCAUGUCGUUUAAAUAUCGUAUUUGCUAUUAUUCAAAAACAAUAUUGGAUAAAACGUUUAAAUAUCAUAUUCACUAUUAUUCAAAAACAAAAAUUUCAAAAUAAGGUAAUGUUUCGCGUUUUGGAACAUCAAGGAAUUGUGCCCUAACUUACGGGGUUUCGAUUUUCUUGUUGAUUCUAAAUAGCCAAAUAUCCUUUUGAGUUUUAAAAUACACGGAAUUUCAAUCAAAAUUAAAGACAAACUUGCACUCGGGAGUUCAUGGUAUCGUGUCCUAACUUACGGGAUGUGAUACUCCGAUAUCUCGAGACGAGAAAAUCUUUAACAAUCGUUUUGAGCUAAUUCAAGCGUUUUUUUAAAUCGACAUUGAUAAAAAAGGUCGUAUCUUAAAUCCAUUCCCGAUUUUUAACUUUCGACAUUAAGACACUAAUUAAUCAAUUCGGUACCAAUUUUGGGCGUGACGAGAGUGCUAAUCCUUCCUCGCAUGUAACCGACUCCCUAACCCGUUCUCUCGAGCUUCGUAGACCAAAAAUAUCGUUUUAGUAAAAUAAAAUGUUUUAUUAAAACAAAGGUGAUCCGAUCACACCUAAUAAAGAUCGGUGGCGACUCCCGUUUUAAUCUUCACUUUCAAACAAAGUUGAUUCCCGUUUUCAAAAAAAUAGUUCCGACAGAUAUCUUAUUUCUUUCCCAUCAAAUAUGCAUCCCUUCACAAUUUUGUCACAAGAAUUCCCUUUCAAUAAGUGUCCAUACAACUAAAGAGGUUAGAGAAUUCAAAAACUAAAAAAGAAAGAACUUAGUUCAAGGCUAGGGUUUUUAAACACUAAAGACAUUGUUUGAAUUUUGGGUUUUUCAAUUUAGGGGAUGGGGAUUUCAAAUACUUAACGCUAAAUAAUUUGGGAAAAUUGGGAUAUUAGAUUUUUAUUUUGGGAAAGUUGUUUAUUUUUUUUCUUUUUUCUUAUUUACACGUAGAAUAAAACACUUGGUGUGCCACAUCGGUAAGUUAAUAAGAGGUUAAUUUUUUUCGUUCAUUUUAGGGCACUUUAGCAAACAUCAAUUGAAGAGUUAAAAAGAUGAAAAUUAAAUGAAAAAAUAAUAUAUAUUUUUUCAAAACGGAAGAACUAAAAAACAUCAUUAAAAAAAUUCAAUCUGAAAAUGUUCACAACUUGAAAAAUAAUUGAAAUAAUUUUAAUUUUAAAAAAAAUAUUCAGUCAACUGUAAAAAUAACUAAGUUAAAAAAAAAAUGUCGAAAUAACUACAUUAAUUAUUAAAUCUAAGAAAAAUAUAAUUUUUAUAAAAGGCUCAAUUCCGUAAUAGUAAAAAUUAUAAAACCAAUUAUCUAGUAGAAAAAAUAUCAAUUUAUAUAUAACACCUAAAUGUUUUAUAAUUUUAAUUGUAACAUAACUCCCCACAUGUAAUUCUUAAAUAUAAAUUUUAUUUUCUUUAAAAAUUUAAUUUUUAUUUUGAUUGCACUAAAUUAAAACAAAAAAUAAAUAUUAAAAUUCUAAUUUACUCUUAAUUUUCUUUUUAAUAAAUUAUAAUAAUAAGAUAAAACUCGAAUAACAAACAUGCAAUUAAUGUGACUUGAACCUUUUAUUCAACUUAGCAUACACUUUUUUUUUUUUAGAAUUCCCUUGUUUACUUGAUAGGGAGUUAAGAGGAGAAGUAAAUAUUAUGUAGACCAUGUUAUGCGGAAAAAUGAGUUAUACCAUAUUCAUAAUAUAAGUAAAAAAAAAUUGAUGAAACAGUUAAUUAUUAUUUUAUUUGAAUUGGUAAACUUAAAAUAUUAAAGAUUAUAAUGAUUUGAGUUUGAAUUUCAUUAGGGUUAAAUAUUUUUCUAAAAUUUUAAAAAGAUAAAAUUACUAUUAAAAUAAUAUAUAUUACUUUGCAAAUAUAAAGGGUUUUUAGUAACUUUAUGAUUGAGUUGAGACUAGGUUGAUGAGUGAUGCCAACUUAAUUUAAUCCUUACACGUUGCAUUUUUAGUUUUUUAUUUAAACAUUGCAUAUAAAAAUAGUAAGAGACAAAAAACACUAAUAAAAUUUUUUAUUAAAAGAGGACUUUAAAAUAAAUUUCUAACUAAAUUGAUAUUGAGUUGACUUGUGAUAUUAUCUCAACAAAACAUUUUAUAUAAGUAUAAACAUAUUUUGAUGGAAUUGCAGGAACAAAAUUAAAAAAUCAUUUUAUAGAGAUAAAAAAUGAAUCAUAAAUUAUUUAGAAACAACGAAAUACAAUUUUACCAAUUUUAUAAAAAGAAAAGGUCAAUAACUAAAUGAUAAAUCAACCAAUUUUAUUAACUCCAAAAUCACUACCUACCCUCCCUGCUAAAUUGGUAUGACUGUAUAGAACAAUUACAAUCCAAGAGUUGAUAUGAAAAGCUUUGAAGAAGUCAAUAUCUAGUUAAUUAGUAGGAUGUCCACUAUCCCAUCUCUAAUCAAACUCAUUCAUGCAUCCUACCAUACAUUGUAGUUAAUUAUUACAGUGUCACUAUCCUAUCUCCCAUCCAACGAAUUCAUGCAUCCUAUGGUACAGCGCAGGCAAAUAUGAAAUCUUCAGUUCUUCCUCAUUUCAUUAAGACUUCUAACUGCUUUGACAAUGAUCGCUAUCCAUCGUUUAACAUUCUGCACCGUUUUCAAUCCAGGUUCGUAGUUUUCGGUGGAGCUCAAUCAUUGAAUUUGAAUUUAGAAGAAAAAAAUAUGAAAUUGAGUUAUAAAACCUACGUUUAAUAAUGAAAAUAUUUUCAUUCACAUUCAGAGGUGAAAUUAGGGGUUGAGAAGGACUCCAAUUCUCUUUAAAAUGGAAAAUUUUUUAUUUAAAUUUUUUAAAAAAUUUAAAAAUUUAAAUUAAUAAAGGUAAAAUUAUACUUUACCUCUAAAAAUGAUAAAAAUAUGAUUUAGUUCUUUAAAAAUUAUAAGGAUAUAGGUUAUUAAAUUGAUGAAAUUAUAAUUUUACAAUCAUAAAAAUUACAAUUUAAUUUCAACCUCCUCUAAAAAUAAUUUAUGACUUCACUCCAAUUCACAUCAUCUUUAAAAAAUUUUAACAAUUCAUUUUAAUGAAAUAUUCUAACACCUAGAGACUGAACUUUUUACCAACCGAAAUGCCAUUUUGGGUUUCGCUAUAUUGUUAUAGUCAAUUGACCUUUAUGAAACUAUUUUGAUUUUUAAAGUUUAAUUACUUAAAUUUUGAUUACAAAUUUAGAUACAUUUGAAUUAUUUUUAAUUAGGAUGGUUUGUAAUUUUGCUAUGGUUUGGGCCGGUCCGUUCAAAAAAUGAAAGGGUUUGAAAAAAAAAAUAAGUUUAAAAAAUAGAUUUAGAAAAAAAAAAGACAUUUUCUAAAUAGGACAAGGCUCAGGUAAGUUUUUUUUUUUUUAUCUAAGCUCGGCCCAACCCGAAUUUGUAAAAAAAAUUAUUUCUAUAUUUUUAUUGUUUGCCACUUUCCCCCAUUGUUUUACUAUCAUUUCGCUAUUAUAUUGCUAUUAUUUGUUGUUAUUGUUUGGACAUUGUAUAGUGAUUGUUUUAUUAUUAAUUUUGUUACUAUUUUAGAGGUAUUUGCUUGUUAAGUUGUAUUUAUUUUAGUAUUAUUUAAGUAUUUUUUAUUUGUUAGGAAACAUUUAUUUUGAUAUUUUACUGUAUUAUAUUUUUUAAAUUUAAUUUUAUAUAAAAAAUAAUAUAAAAAUUUUAGUACUAACAGGCCAGGCUGGACUCGAAUUUUAAUAUUUGUAUAUAGGUUGAGUUUCAAUAAAAUUUUAAGCUCAUGUUUCGGGCCAGACUGAACCUAGAAAAUGGACCUAUUUUUUUAUUUGGCCUAGUCCGAAUCCAACCCAUGAACAACUUUAUUUGCAACCAAAUAUUGUAAAGUUAUAAAUAAAGAUUUAAUUGCAGUUUAAAAAGUCUUUUAAAAUUAUAUUAAAAUAUGAAUAUUUUUAAUGCUAACAAAUUAUGAUACCAUUAUAUUUUGAUGAUAAAAAAUCUAAUAAUUAUAAAUAUUUACUUAAUUUUACAUAUAUAUUUGAAAUUCAAUUUUUGAGGUCAUAUUUAAUAAUAUUUUAAUAUUUUUAAUGUUAAAUAAAUUAAAAUAAUAAUGUAAUAUUUUGCAAAACAAUAAUAAUUAUAAAUAUAUACUUAAGCUUUUUUAGAAAAAUUGUUAAUCGGAAUUUUAUUCUUUUACAAGUUUAUUGAAUAUAUGAAUAUGAAUCUAAUAUUUUUAAUAUUAAUGCAGAAACUCGUGAAUCGCAAACAAUUAAAGAAAUUACUUAGGCGACAUAAUUAUUUUUAUGACUGUGACAAGUAGGUAAAUUUAUUGCUUGAUGCAUCAUCAACAUUUAUAUUAAAAUGGACCUUAUUGUUAAAAAUAAUGGAUAAAUUAUUUGAUUUAUUAUACUUCAAAUAUUUUAAUAUUUUACAAUUAUAAUAUUAAUUCACCUUAAAUGUCUAAGCUUAAAAAAAAGAACUUUACAAGAUUAAUAACACAUAGCUAUAGAAAAUAUUUUAUUUGUGAAAUAUUAUGUAUAAAUUUCUUUACCAUGUUUUACAGCAAAAGUAUAAAAAUUAUAAAAUGAUUUAAUAUAUUUUAAUCAAUACCUAUUAAUAAGUAUUAAUUGUAGUAAUAAAAUAUAAUAUAUUCCAAAAAAAAUUUAAGUUUAAAUCUUGAAAAUAAAUUUAUUAUGCUUCAAAAAAAGUUAAUUUACAUGAAGGGUGAAAAAACGAUGGACUAUAAUAAAGAAAAAAGGACAAAUUCUUGUUUGUGUUGUAGGUAUGAAAAGAUUUUUGAUUUACAUGGCUACAGUGGAACUUGAAUGCACCUUAUAUAUACUACCACCCCCUACACAUGCAAAGCAUCUCUGCCUCGUACUAGUAAAAAGAUCCCGUUCCAAAGCCAUUUGCAGCUAGCCAUCCAAACUAGUUCACCAAACGAUGGCUUCUAAACCAGGAAUUCUCACCGAUUGGCCAUGGAAGCCUCUUGGAAGCUUUAAGGUAAGAUGGUUUCCUUCCUUCACUUUUUUAUUAUUCUAAACCAGGGAUUCUCCCAUGCGCUUAUACAUUGUGUUGUUGGAUGGAUAUAUUUACAGUACAUAAUCCUGGCUCCUUGGAUUACGGGGAGCAUAUACUCAAUUAUAGUUAAGGAUGCAAAGCAGUGGGAUGUUUUCAACCUUGCAAUACUCCCACUCAUGUUAUGGAGAAUAUUGCACAGCCAGCUUUGGAUUAGCCUUUCUCGUUAUCGAACUGCCAAAGGCACCAACAGGAUUGUGGACAAGGGUAUUGAAUUUGACCAAGUUGACAGGGAAAGGAACUGGUAAUUGAUAUUCCCAAGUAACAAAUAAAACUAAAUUUUUGUUUUCGAAAAUAGAUUAAUUUUUAAAGUGGGUAUACUUGUUUGGAUUGGGGAUGAACCAUGAACAUUGCAGGGAUGAUCAAAUAUUGUUCAAUGCAAUCCUUUUUUACUUGGGCAACAAAUACUUUCCAGGAGGUUCACACAUACCCAUAUGGAGAACGGAUGGUGUGAUUAUAACCAUGCUGCUCCAUGUCGGUCCAGUGGAGUUCCUUUACUACUGGUUUCAUAGAGCUCUACACCAUCAUUAUCUUUACUCUCGCUACCAUUCUCAUCAUCAUUCCUCCAUUGUCACUGAGCCUAUUACUUGUAAGCAGCUUUGUUGUGCUCCAUCCACUUGUUAAUUAAUAUUUUCCAAAACUACUUCUCAAACUUAAUCUUCAAAAUGAUAGUGAAAAGCAUAAAUAGUAAUGGUUUGUCUGUAGCUAGAGGUGUGCAUGGGCCGGGUCGGGCCAGGUUUGAGCUGGGCCCAGACAAAAUUUUAGGCCUGUUUUCUAGGCCCGAGCCCGAAAUAUGGGCCUAAAAAUUUGUCCAAACCCGACCCGACAUAAAAUUGUUAAGCCAGAGCCCGGCCCGGCCCAUAUUAAUUUUUUUAGCUUAUUUCAUUAAAUAAAAAAAUAAAAAACAUAAUAAAUCAAAUACAUUUAAAACAAAUAUUAAAACAAGAAACAAAUAAAAAAUGAUACUAAAACAAUUCUUAAAACAAUACACAAAUUGAAAAUAUAAUAAAAAGUGAUUAUAUUAAAAUUGAAAAUAAAAUGUAAAUAUGAUUAAAAAUAAAAAAUAUAUAUUUAGUAUAUAAUUCAGGCCGGGCCGGGCCAAAAAAGUUUACCCGAGUCCGACCCAUUUUCUAAACGGGCCUCAUUUUUUUACCCAAACUCAUAUUUCGAGCCUAUAUUUUGACCCAAACCCUCUCAUUUUUCAGGCAGGCCUGCGGGCCAGACCAGGUAGCCCGGCCCAUCACACCUCUAUCUGUAGUGCUGUGUUGCUAUUUUUGGUUUCAGUACUGCUGGACACCCUCAUAUUGGCACCAUAUCAACCUUUUUACGUUCUAAGAUGAGUUCAAGUGUUGUAUAAAUAUAUAAUAUCAAUAUAGUAAUUUGGUGGGGUGGAGGCAAUUAUAUUUAGUAAUAAUUAGCAUUCGAUUAUAUAUAAUAUAGUUUUGUUAAGAGAAAGAAAUAAUUAAGAAUGAUAAGUGUGCGUUUUGCAGCUGUGACACAUCCAUUUGCAGAACACAUAGUAUACUUUGCACUAUUUUCAUUACCAGUGUCGACAGUUGUGUUUUUUGGAACUGGAUCCAUCAUCGCCAUUGCUGGUUACAUCACUUACAUCGACUUGAUGAACAACAUGGGACAUUGCAACUUUGAGCUCAUCCCCAACUGGGUCUUCUCCAUUUUCCCUCCUCUCAAGUACAUAAUGUAUACUCCAUCGUAUGUUCUCUCUCUCUCUUCUCAUUAUCAAUUUCAUUAUCUACUAUUUAACUCUUUUGGGAUCAUGAAAAUUACAAGCACGUGACACGACGAGUAAAUUGUUUCUUCUUAAGGAGAUGCAUUAUCAAAAAAAUGCAUUAUCUACUAUUUUGCCCCUAGUUUAUCAACUUGUAUUUAGUUUGUGUCAUUUUUUUUUAUCUAGUUGGUAUCUAAAUUUACAUUCUUUAUACAAUAUAAUACCUUUGCAUGAACAUCAUUAAUUUGUGUUGAUGUGGCACUUAUAGCCAAUUCGGUGGUGACAUAUAACAGCCUCUUAGAAUAUUAUGUGUCAAACAUAAAUAAAACAUAAAAAUAUAUAAAUUAAUAAAAAAAUUUAACAUCAAGAAUGGAGAAUGAACCUGAAAUCAUUCUUGAUGUUGAAAACAUUUUAUACUUUUUUUAUUAAUAAAUUAAUAAAUGUUGUUCAAAUUCAUUCUGAAAAAUAUCUUUUAUUUUUUUAUUAAUUUAUAUCAUUUUAAAGAUUUUUUAUUUAUGUUUGAUACGUAAUAUUUUAAGAAGUUGUCAUCUGUCACCAUCAGAUUGACUAUUAAUGUUACAUCAAUACAAAUUAACAAUGUUAGUCUGGAGGUACCAAUUUUAAUUAUUUUUAAUCUUUGUAUUUUUUGCAUUUUAGAUUUUUAGUCCUCACUUAACAGUACCCUGCUAAAUUCAUCAAGUUAUAUUCUAUUAUUUUUAAAACCUUGUGUGACAAAAUAUAUUACCACAUAUGUAAUGUCAUAUCACCUUAUUAUUUUCAUAUAAUACUCACAUAAAAACCACAUCAUUUUAGUUAAUGGAUUUACUGACUACCAUUUGAGCCAUGACUAAAAGUUUAAAAUCGAAAAUAUAGAUACUAAAAAUGAUCAAAUUGAAUAAUAUAGAUUAAAUCUACAACUUGCACAUAGUACAAGAUUAAUAACACAAUAUUUCACCUAAUAGGUGUAAUUUAGAUUUUAUAAUUAAUACAAUAUAUUGUAUAUUUUAUAUUUAUAUUUUAUAUUUUAUAUAUUUAUAUUAUACAAUAAUUUAUUUACUUUUUAAUUUUAUUUCGGUAUAUCAUAUCUUUUCUUUUUUUUUAUUAACUUAUGUUCCUAUUUUUCCAAUCUUUCGUAUAAUUUUAAGUUAAAAAUGAUUAUCACAAUUAACUUCUACUGUUAACCAAAAACAUUAAUUUCCACUAUUAUGGUUUUUACAAAGUUUGAAUGAUUUUUUUAAUACUUAAAACACCUUUUAAAAAUUGCAAAAAAUCCAUUUAACAUUGAAUUUAAUUUAAAAUAUUUUAAAGAAAAAAAUUUAUCAUAAACAUAAAAGCUAAAAAAUAUAUAUAACAUACAUAUAAAUUUAUUAAAAUCAUUUUUUACAAAAUAUUUUAAGUUUGGUUGAUUUUAAGUUGACUUCUCAUGAAUAUGAUUUUAUUCUCUCUUUUAAUGACGAAUUAAGAUUCAAAUUAUUACAACACAAACGAAUUAAGUCCAACUUUCCCAACUAUACCAAGACCUUACGAGAAAUUAUUGUAUAAAACAAUUGCAUAACAUCAACAUACCACUUUCAUUUAAAAAAAAUGCCACCUUAAUUAAAUCAUGCUACAUAUCCACAUUUAUAUAGAAAGUCUAUUAUUUAUUACACUAUCAUAUGUGAUAAUUAAAUAACACAUGAAGUAACUGGUUCAUGCAAACCUUUUUCUUAAAUUGAUAACUUAUUUUAAAGCAAAACAUAUAUAAUAUAACAUUUCUUAAAUGUAUACAUAUGAUUUGACAUACAUAAAAAUAAUAUUAAAAUUUUGAGCAGGUUUCACUCGUUGCACCACACACAGUUCAGGACCAACUAUUCAUUGUUUAUGCCAAUCUAUGAUUACAUCUAUGGUACAAUGGACAAAUCUUCGGAUACCUUAUAUGAAAUUUCACUCCAAAGAAAAGAGGAAACUCCCAACGUGGUGCAUCUAAUGCACCUAACCACACCUGAGUCAAUCUAUCAUCUCCGCGUUGGAUUUCCCUACUUGGCCUCUAAACCAUACUCAUCAGCUUGGUACUUGUGGUUGCUCUGGCCUGUUACAUUGUGGUUCAUGAUGCUUACCAGGAUUUAUCGUCGCACUUUUGU
rnacentral:lncRNA from 1 species